rnacentral:lncRNA from 1 species
AAAAAAAAAAAAACCCCACCCCAUGAGGGAGGGAAGGGAGCGUCAUGGGGCAUAUAUAGUGCUAUGCUCCUAGGAGGGAGCGUCGCGGGGCAUAUAUAGCGCUAUCCUCCACCAAGCAAAAAUUAUCACUUCUUUGCAGGUUGCGUAAGCAUUCGCGCAACAUCAUUCAUCAAUUUGCUCGGUUCUUCUUGUGAGGGUAUAUGUGCAAGCAACUACUUCCACUCACAUUAUAUCUCGCUGAAUUCCGUGUUGAAUCAUUUCAAUCUCGUGCCUGGAUCAUAUGAUCAAUUCAUCAUGAUGAAAAGGUAAAUUGGCUCUUGGAUUGAUGCUUCAUAGUAUGUUUGUAGACUCACGCUCGCAUUGAACUACCUCCACAGAGUUCUCUUGAUGGAGAACAAUAACUGUCCACAAACUCAGUCGAGUUGCCAAUACUUUCCUCCUCCAUUGGCAUGGAUCAAUCAGAAUCCCAUACCAUACGAUGACUAUAAAACUCCAACGUGGGUUAUUGUUGCUUUAGUCAUUGUUGCGGUCACGCUUUGUGUUUUCCUUUUCUGGUGCAUUUGGUGGCCGGGGAAGCAGGGGAAACAGGGGGAAAAGGGGCCGCCGGGGAAGCAGGGGCCACAGGGGCCGCAAGGGCUACAGGGACCAAAGGGGCUGCAAGGGUCGCCAGGGCCACCGGGGCCAAAAGGGCCGCAGGGGCCGCAGGGGCCGCGGGGGCCAAGGGGGCCAUCGUGCUCAUCAUGCUCGUCAUGCUCAACAAGGUCGUCGUGCUCAUCAUGCUCGUCGUGCUCAACAAGGUCGUCGUGCUCGUCGUGCCCGCCGUGCUCGUCGUGCUCGUCGUGCCCGCCGUGCUCAACAGGGUCGCUGUGUUAAUGGCUGUGAGGGCAACGACGGUGGCAAAGUGGGGGUGGCAACAACUACAGUGGGGCAAUUAGCCGGCACGGAUGGCCCAUUUAUUUGUGAGAAGUGCAAGCAUGGAAGAGUACCAGCUUGUCUAAUCUAGACAAUAAAUGAGACAAAAAUUACAAUAGUCUUUCUUAUCUUAAUGUAUGCUUAUGAAUUUAGAAGCUUCUAUUUAUGUUUGUGUGUGAAACUUGAACUAUGCACAAUGAUAGAUCAUCUACCUACUAUACAAUGUUAGAGAUUCAAUGCAAUGAAUAACUUUUGUGUUGGAGGGUUUUUCGAAUUUCUUACAUGAGCAGUUUUCUGGUCAUUGAUAAAUAAAUUUUUGAAUUAUAACGAAUUAUAAUUAUAUGCAUUUUUUUGUAAUUUCUAUACAAAAUGUCGUAAAUCAACCAAUCAAUCCAACAUACAUAAUAAAAGAGUUCCUGCUCUUGGUGGAGAACCGUUUGACAGAUUUGCUUUAUUAUUGCCUUAUAUUCCAAAGAGAGUCAUUGGCACUAAGUCGGCUGGUAAUACCAGCAAAAUAGAACUAAGGAGGCUUGCGAAAUUUUGAAUGGAAGUGCGGUUGCCCUCACAGCCACUGACACGGUGGCAAGCCUCCUCUGAAACAUGAACAUAUCCAAUCAAAGCACGAUUCCUGAAAUAUAAAACUGCAAUCAAUCUUGCAAGAAAGUUUGAAAAAAGGAAUAUUGGAGCAUCUCUUCUUAUCGUACCCCUGGACGAAACCGAUUUGGACGAACCCCGCAGUAAACAUCCAUUUCUCAGAUCAUAUUAUAACACGAAUUGAAGUGUUAUUGACUGGGGCAGUUCUGGGAAAAGCAAGUAAAAUGCUUUGGGCCGAUGAGGACACGACUGGGGCAGAAAUCAUAUUUUUCACGACCACAGAGACCAUAAAAUCAAAUGCUAUUGGUCGAUGAGACAAAAAAAAUCAAAGAUGCCGAUGAGGACGCGAUUGGGACAGACAUCAUAAUUUUUCACGACCACGAAGACCAUAAAAUCAAAUGCUAUUGGUUGAUGAGACAAAAAAUCAAAGAUGUAGCUGACCCAAGCUUUCGAGACUGAGUGCAGGGUAGUCAAAGGAAAAUGCGGAAAAUUUCCCUUACUUGAUGGAUUUCCAAAAUUAUUGAUACAAAGUUCGAGAGAACCGGCAACAAUUCAUCAAAAAUUAACCUAAUGUAAAAUCAAUUUCUUCCCAAGAUUAAAUGGACCAAAAUCGACUCAACUCCUAUAAUAACAGGCAAUAUAUUCCCGCAAUAUAAUCUCAUAAUGAAUAAAAAUAAUGCCAAAAUGAUAAAAACAGACAAAAACAAACACGACAAGUUUAUUUCAAAAAUUAAUGCGGAAAAAAUUAUGGACAAUUCAAAAAAUUUCACUAAUCACAAAAAAAUAGUAAGAUGCACAAAGGUUCUUCUUUAGUAAUACAUUAGAGAUUCAAUAUCAAUAAUAUAAUGACAUUUCGUCACAGUAAAAGCGGAUUAAUACAUAUGAAGUAAGAAACCCUAAUCACAAUUGGAGAAAUUUGAGAUAAUUUAGAAAAAGUUUUCAAUGAACAAAACGGAUUGACAAAUGAAACCGAUGGACUCGCCUGUCUCGACUCAUCUGUCUCGGUCUUAUAACAAUGUAUCAAAAUUUAAGUCAACUCCGACGAUAUUUGGCAGCCCAUUUCCCGUCUUCUCCGAACGAGCAGCCCGCCUUUCUUUUCCUUUAUUGCAUUUUUGACUUUUUGACAUUUUCUUUUAUUUGUUAACAUUAACCGGGCGCCACACAGGCAGACCAGCCAACAUUAAUAUCUAGUACAGUCAAUAAAAAAAAAAAAAGCGGGACCAUCAAUUUGAUUGCCAAAUAACCUAUCAAUAACUUAUCAAUGCCGUUAGAAACUUACCAACUUUGAAAUGAAUUAAAGAAUAACCAACUCUUUGGAAAUUUUACAAGCAUUCUAAAUAAAUUACAAAAACUAUAAUGAGUCAAUUUAUAAACUUACCAACUUCUGGUCACUCUCCUUAUCAUUUUGAUUUUUUCAUUUGUUGAUGAUCUCUAAGUACCCCCUCCAAAUGUCUCUUUUCCAUGUGAUGAAAUUAAACUCAUUCUGUGAUCGACUUGAAUCAGAUGGUUGAAACAGGAGGGUUGUUUUUGGAGGCCUAUAAGGACAAACUACAAGUAAAAUGUAGCUUGUGAUUGAGUGCCUGAAACAAGAAAAAUUGAAACAUAUUGAGUAUUCUUGAGAUGAAUCUCUUUGCUGCUUCAUUAUAAUAUAUUUAGUUUUGAUCCUAAAAGUUAGCAAGGGUGCCAAAAUCAUUUGCAUACACACGGAAGAAGUGGUCGUGCUUAGAGAGAAUGCAAUUGUUUAGGUAAGAGAUGAAAUAUGCGAAUGAUUAUUUGUAAACACUUAGAAGUGUGGUUAAAUAAUUUUUGGGGAGAGUAUGUCUACCGUGUUGUGUGCACAAGGUGUGAGAACAGCUAUUGAAAGAGAUCUAAUAAUUAUUUUGUCUAUAGUGAGAUAGCCAUAGGAGGAGUCGAGUCCACGCGAUACAAGUUCUUAGCAAUUGCACUAUUGGCUGAAGUAGUGAAUUUCAAUCUAAUGGGGCUGCUAGAGCUAGAAGAGAAAGCAUAUCCCAAUUGAAACUCUAUAAAUAGCUUUUGUAAUUUCAUUUUCCCUAAACUCUAUAAGUUCCUUAUUGCAAUUUAAUAGUUCAAUUGCAUAUAAAAAAACAUUUUUAAAUAAGGUGCUGGUUCUAGAAAGAUAAAUAUUUUUAUAUGUAUAAAAAAACACUUCACCCCUUCUUUUAUGUAUUUGGACCUAACAAUAUGGAUUGCCAUGUUGGAGGUGUCAAAUUUUGUAAUACUACAAUAAUGUAACUUGCGAACCUUGUUAAUAAUUUAAAGGAUUUUACUAAGGACAAUGAAAAAAAAUCAUUAUUUUUGAAUUUUUUUAUGAGAACUUGAGAUGGAGUUCGAAGGUUUACACUAUUAUUUAGUUUUUAAUAUUAGAGUUGGAUCUAGUCUGAUGCGAGUAAAUAUAUUGUAUUGAGUUGGGUGCGAGCACAAGAUUGAGAAAACCGAAUUGUCAUAUUUUCGAGAUAAUUGCACAAUCUCUCCUCAAAUUAUUAUACCGAAAUUUUAAACCUAUCAAGGUAUAAACUUUUUAACUGAAAUAACGCGGUAUUAAACUUACAAGGGAAAGUGCAAUAAAACAUUUUAGCUAAAUCUCAUUGAAAUCAUCUAACGUGACGUUUCAAUUAUUUUCGACUACUUAAGUGUAACGAUGACAGCAUGACAUGAUAAGACGAUGAUGUUUUUCUUCUGAUUUAAGCACCUGAUAGAGAAAUGUCAAUAGGCUUAUUUGUGGAAUUUAAUGCUCUCCCUUGCGCCUGAUUGUAGGCCAAGGCACGAAAUAAUAUAAUGGGAAUCCACCCUUGUCCGAAAGUAGAUGCGCUAUCUAAUCAUUCAUUGUCUCGGUAAAAGGCGAUGAUCACAUGCUUCAGUUGGCCAGCAAUUAGUACACUGCUAAGCUGUCAUCAAAAUAGGAUUGCAUCUCCAUAAUUUUAUCCGUUUGUUUGUUGAUGUGAUAGCUAAGAAAAAUCGUCCGUACAUGUUGCUUCUUUUGGCUUUACAUAAUCUCCUCCAUUCAAAAGGUGCACCAGUGGAGGUACCAUACAUCCUCGACGACGGCGGCGGCCACCAUGAGGUUGUUGACACCUCAUCAGGCUUUGCCAACGAUGAGGUUGUUGGUGCCUCACCAGCGUUCUCCCGCGAUCGCGGCGAUGAGGUCGGCGUCGCGGCCUUCCCCCGUUGCGGCGAUUGCGGCACUGACGUUAUUUUUGGAAUAUUAAGCUUCAAUAUCAAUUUCGGUGAAGUGGCGGUUCUGUCCCCGGGACCACGACAAUUUUUUAUAAUAACACCGACGGCUACGGCGACGACAAUGAUGACUACGCUGACGGUGAUCCACCUCGAAGUGUCCCGGCAUGCAGCGAUGUCGCUUUCCAAAGAUACAGAAACUGGAACGUCCCCUGCUGAUGGAGGAGGAAGGAUGGGAAAGCCGAACAACCUUGUGGACAGUUAUUGCUCCCCAUCAGGAAAAUCCUCCUGUAGUUCAACGCCAGCGGUGAGCCUGCAAACAUUUUUCGAAGCAUCGUUCAUACCACAAAAAGAAAAAAAAAAAAGGUGGUAAUUUUAAAAAAAGAUGGUACCUUAUUAGAAAAGAAACAUUAUUUUUUUUUAUCACAAUAGAUUGGGAAGAUUAUAUGUUUUAAGCGUGAGAUCAAGAUAAUCGAAAAGCCGAACAGUCAAACUGAUGAGCUAAAUGCAUCUUUUCAAUCCACGGGGUAUCCAACCACCACAAGAUAGAAAAAUGUUUGCAGACUCACCGCUUGCGUUGUACUGCAAGAGGGUUUUCCUGAUGGAGAGCAAUAACUGUCCAGAAGCUUGCCCGGGUUUCCAGUACUUCCCUCCUCCAUCGGCAUGGGACAUUCCGGUUUCUGUAUCUUUGGAAAGCAAAAUUGAUGUUUGCCGGGAGACUUCGAGGUGGAUCUCCGUCAGCGUGGUCAUCGUUGUUGUCGUCAUAGCCGCCGGUGUUGUUAUAAAAAAUCGCCGUGGUCCUCGGAAUACAAUCGCCAUUCCAUCGAAAAAGAUAUGGAAGCUUAAGAUUCAAGUGGUGCCGCCGUAGCUGUUGCCGCCACCAUUGCGACAGCCAUCGCAGCUGCCGUCGCCACGGCCGUCACAGCCAGUGUCCCAGCCACCAUCGCAGCCGCUGUCGCCACCGCUGCUGUGCUAUCCGUGUCAUACGCUGUCACCGCCAUCAUCGCUGUGGUCGCCGCCGCUGCUGUGUCAUCCAUGUCAUACACUGUUGUCGCUGCACUAUCCAUGUGAUCCGUGUUAUUGUCAUUAGAUAAAUAAAUUACCAUACAUGGUAAUUGAAUGAUGCAUAACGAUAGAUCGUCUAUACUUAGCAUGGGCACUUCUAAGUCCUAUGAAUUGUAAUUUGAUUUUUCAAUCCAAUUAUGUAAUUAUCUUGGAGAUGCCACUAACUUAUGAUAAAUAAAUUAGCAAUCCAAGUAAGAUGUGGGAGUACAUUUCACUCCUAUGAACUAAAGAUUCACCGAUCGAUUUAGUUGCAUUAGAUCUUCUAGUAUGAAAACAAUUUACAUGCAAACUUCACCAAUUUUAUUCCUUAAAUCCUCUAAACAUAUAAAAAGUGAUUAUGCAUAGUCACUCAAGUAACAAAAAUAAACAAGCAAGCAAUUACAGUAGAAAGCUAAUAAAAGAAAUGAAUGACAAGAAAAGUAAAGGACACAAGUGGCAUCGGGCAAAAUUAAGCAAAACCUGGUUAUUAAGGCCCGGGACAAGCCCCGUGAGCUACAAAUGUAAAUUCGAUAUAAGCUCUCCAAGGGAUGCCUGAUGCUCAAAUAGAAAGUGAAUGUAUGACAUGUCAUGACCAUCUACUAAAUAAAUUACAUUGCUAAAAUGAAUUGUCGCAUGUGAAAAAUAAAUCUAUAAAAUGCAAUAUAAAGUGCAGUGCGAUAUUAAGAAAACAAAUCUAUUUGUGAUCGUGCAUGGUACCUAAAAUGCACCCUUAAAAAUACUUUUAAUUUUUUUUUAAUAUUUUAAGACGCAAAAAGAAAAACUAAGAAAAUUAACUAAGUGUCGAAAUGGACAUGAACUAAAGCUUAUGUGCUUGAAUCAACCUAUAUUCCAUAUUUGCAUAGUAACUUGGACACCAAAAUCACAAAUAAAAAUUAUCCACUCCAACAUUGGUGGUGUCAUGUAAAAUGACCAGGUGACAUGACCAAUUUUCCAUACCAAAAGCCGCCACCAAUAAUGGAGGACAGAAGGGAGCCAUUAUAAUGAGAGGUCACCUAAUGAAAAUUCGCACUUCUUUGCUGAUAGUAUAAGAAUAAUACCAAUAACACCACACACCUUGGUUGUUCUUAAUGAGGUACACACAAGCACCCCCUUUGACUCUUCGUUUUAUACUAUAUUAUACUUCAUUCCAUUUUCAACCAUCUCCUUCUCGUGCUCGCGUCAUAUAAUCUUCUGGGUUUAUGUGAUCAAAAUAGUGUUUAUUUUCUAAUAAAGCACCCUCCUUUAGAACAACUACUUCUUUUCUUGUGUGAAUUGAUGCUUCAAAAUAUGUUUGUGAACUCAUCGCUUGCUUUUAACUAAGCAGGACUUUCUUGAUGGAGAACUAUAACUGUCCACAGAAUUGUUCAGGUUGCCCGUGCUUCCCCUCUUCAUUUGUCCCGAAUUCGGUCUCGUCCGACGACAAGAACAUUUCAUGGUGGGAUGCUCCUGGAUGGGUCAUCGUCGGCAUAGUUGUCGUCGCGGUUGAAAUCUGUGGUUUCCUCUUCUACGUUCGUCGUGGUCCUGAGGACGCAGAAAUCACUCUCCCAGUUGACGCGGAAAUCUCCCUUUAAUAGGACACUGCGAGCAUUUCGUUUCCGUUGUCGUUAGCGUUCUUCUCCUGAGACAAUAAGAUCAAGCUUCAGGGCAUGUGUCUGUGUGAAACUCGAAUAAUUUAUAGUGACAGGUCGUCUAUUCUAUUAUCCAACAUUGGAGAUUUGAUGCAACAAAUAAUUGUGUUGGAGGAAAAAAAAAUGUGACGAAGGGUUUGUUAAAUUUCGAUAGUUCUAAGGUCUAUCAAGAACUGGAUCUUUGGAUUUAUCGAGACAUUUUCAGAUUUGAACCAUUAAAAGAAAACUAAUGAAUCACAAAGAAAGAUUUAGCAUAGACUAUUACAAGGUCAUACCAAUGGCAAUUUUAAGAUUUUGAUUUAAUUAAUUAAACAUGCAAUUUAAUUCAUUUAGGAGUUGCCACCAUAAAAGGGGUAUGUAAAAAUGUUGGGAUCGAUUUUUAACAUCCACCUAUUUCCCUCACUUCGAACAUAAGGCUUUAUGCUCAAUUUCUUAUGCACAAAAUCUUCAUGAAGGCGAGCGCAGAGCAUGGCAUCAAGAUAUAUCCUAUCUUAUUAUUCUAAGAUUUAUAAUAUGUAAUGGAACUUUGAAGAGAAAAAGGGAAAACUGUUUAAGCACACAAACGCAUGAUUGCUUAAGGCUAGUCUGCCUUUUUUAUGCAUAAGGGAAAGAAAAGAUAAGCAAGAUUGCAUCAUUGGUAACGCAAGCAUAUUAAUGCCACUUUAGUCUUCAAUAAGGAGCAGAGCUUGAAGAAGCAAAGCGAGCCUAUUACGUUUUUCAGGCCCUUUGACUUGAUAUUCUAUUACUCAAGUGCUAGCACCCCCAUAGAGUCAAGCUCUUCUGCUAUCAAUGAAAUUGAAAGACAGACAAAAACUAGUGCGUUUUGUAAACAUGCGAUUCACGCCUAUGACUUACAAUUAAUACAACACAAGGACUCUUAACACUUAUUACAACAUCGUGACUCAUCUUAAGACAUUUAUUACAACAUGGCUCAUCUUCGUGAUUUAUCACAACAUGACUUCUUUUUAUUUUAAUUCAAAAGAAAAUUGUAUUCAUUACUCAAAAGGAUACAUAAGUACAUAGUGUUCAUGACAGAACAAAUCGAAACAGAGCAAGAAUAGUCAAACGGAGCAUCAGCAAAGUUAACCACACACUUGUUCCAAGAGAACAUAUCUGUCAAGCAAAAGAGAAGAUCGUGUAUCAAAUGGCAACCUUUGGCCUCGGUUCAAUAGACUCACUUGUGAGUGGAGUAUAUUUAGUGCACAUGUGAGGCGAGCCAUAAAGAAAGCCUCACAUUGGGUAUUUGGAGUGAAAAGGAAUGGAGCAAUUGUAAUACCCUAAUUUUCAAAAGGAGGUCAUGGUCAAUCAAAAAGAGUAGAUCAUGUGCACCAAUCAAAAUUGGAUGGCAUGAUGACAUGCUAAAUAAUCAGGAGCUAUCAACCACCACUCCUCAUAAUGUCAUAAAAUUUCCAUAAAUGUAUCACAUUAAUUAGCUAAUUCAAGAUUUCACUAACAAUUGUGUUAAGAGAAAUGGACAUAUAUCUUUUUUAGUCAUAAGAGUUAAAGGAAAUUAUAUAAUUCAGUUGCACUUUUGCAAUAAGUUUUAAAGCUUCUACCUUUCAUGUUAGAUUUGUAACUACAAACAUAUUACAUCUAAUUCAGCUCUUAAUCAUCAAAUUCAAAUUAUUGCACUAUUCCAUUUACAUUGCCAAAAGGCAUAAUCUAAAUUUAGAUAGAUAUUUUCCUUUAAAAUAUGAUCUCUCUUUCCGCAUAGACAUAUAGAUAUAGAUUUUAACACUUUUUGUUCCUACUGAUGUGGGCUUGUAAACUAAGCUGCAAAGACUCAACGGAUUGGCUCUAUUUCACAAAAUUGGCUUUCUAUUCCUCUACAAGCCCUUCGGUCUCUCCUUUGUUUAGUUCCCCUUGCCUGGGACUCUUUAGACCAUGUUCACAAUUUCAAUAAAAUUUUCUUUGACCCAAAAAGGACGAACUUCACCUUUUCUGUUGCCCCAUAGGAUGAUACACAUGAGUCAAUUCUUUCUUCUUAUUCUUCUUUUUUUCUUGGGUCUGUCCAACUUGUUCAGACCAAUAAUUGCGAGUGACCAUCGGACGAAGAAGACAAGACAGAACAAUGGCAACACUUAUGGGUGGUGUGGGUCCUGGAAACUGAGAUGUUAUUUUCAAUCCCUUCCCAACUGAAAAGCACACGCUUUAAAUGAUAAGUAACUCUUCACAUGUGCCCGCUGUAGGAGUGCAUGCGCUAGCACAUGGACGUGCUAGGUGGGUCACUUUCACAUGAGUAAUAUCCACUUUUAUGUGUAUAAAAGAGUGCAUGCACUAGCACAUGGAUGUGCUAGUGUGGGUCACUUUCACACAAGUAAUAUCCACUUUUAUGUGUAUAAAGGAGUGCAUGCACUAGCACAUGGAUGUGCCAAGUGGUUCACUUUCACACGAGUAAUAUCCACUUCUAUGUGUAUAAAGGAAUGCAUGUGCUAGCACAUGGACGUGUUAGGUGGGUCACUUUCACAUGAGUAAUAUCCACUUCCAUGUGUAUAAAGGCAUAUUACCCAUGAUCAAAUUUUCAGUCUAGAGUAGCACUGAAUAAAUUUAUGUAUAUGUACCCAUCCAAUGGAUGAAGAGUGUAAGAUCUAUAUUUACUUGUCACGACCUAUCCCUUCGUACGGAGGAAAAUAAGUUUAGGGGUAUUGUCUAAAAAACAAACCUAUGAUCUAGUGCGCGCUCUCCUAAACUCAUACCUCUCACAACUUUAAAGUAUUCGUAAAAAUUUUCUAAUAAAGAGUCCCAACUAGCCUAUUGAGGUUGACUAAGAACCAAGUGACACAUUAAAGUGUAACUCACCUCCUACACAACUAAAGAGUUUAUGGUUGGGGACUUGUUUAUACUUAUUAAACAAUUAAUGCCAUUUUGGUAUAUAAUCUUAUUCAUUCAAAAAGAUUUUCUAUCAAGUAGUCUAUGUUAAUGUUAGACAUGUUGACCAUGUGAACAUGCAAUCAUUAACAUGACAAUCAUAAACUAAAGUGACAUCAAAUAAAUUGCAUUGGGAGAGCAAGAUCUAGCAUUAUCAAAUAAGGAGCCUGCCAUUUCUAACUAAGCUAAAGGGAAACCAUAAUCAACAUAUGGAAAAUGCAUAAUCGACGGCAUUUAAUUUAAGGAUAAUCGGAAUCUUAUCAAUGAUGAAAGGGCUUGUUUAAUUUUUUAACACAAUUUUCUUAUCAAUGAUUUUCUCGUAAUUUUAAGAGAGGGCUACCUUGAAAGAUUCGGAAUUUUUAAUUAAUUUUUAAAUAUAUAUUUUCUAUUCAACUAAUUAGUAGUCCGAAAAUAGGGACCUGGCCAUAACAUGGAUUAACUUGGACUUACGGUUUAGAUUAGAGGGCACAAUUGAUCUUAUCCUCAAGCCCACCCCAUUUCUGCCCCUUCUAAGGUUUAGAUUAGAGGGCACAAUUGAUCUUAUCCUCUUCCACUUUAUAACUGAGUGCACUAAACCCAUCUUACUAAAAAGAACUCAACCCAAGCACUUCCAAAAAUGAAGGCAGCCCGCUAAAUUCCAUCUUCGAUUAUCUUGAUCUCACGCUUGAAUCAUAUAAUCUUCCCAAUCUAUUGUGAUUAAAAAUAAUAAUGUUUCUUUUUUAAUAAGGUACCAUCUUUUUUUUUAAAUUGCCACCUUUUUUUUUUCUUUUUGUGGUAUGAACGAUGCUUCGAAAGAUGUUUGCAGGCUCACCGCUGGCGUUGAACUACAGGAAGAUUUUCCUGAUGGGGAGCAAUAACUGUCCACAAGGUUGUUCGGGUUUCCCAUACUUCCCUCCUCCAUCAGCACGACAUCGCUGCAUGCCGGGACACUUCGAGGUUGAUCACCGUCAGCGUAGUCAUCAUUGUCGUCGUCGUAGCCGUCGGUGUUAUUACUAAAAAUCGUCGUGGUCCCGGGGACAGAACCGCCACUUCACCGAAAUUGAUAUGGAAGCUUAAUAUUCCAAAAAUAACGUCAGUGCCGCAGUUGCCGCAACCGGGCUGACGCAGUUGUCGUCGCCGGCAGAGGCUGAUGCGGCGACGACGACCUCAUUGCAGCAGUUGCCGCCGGCGGAGGUUGAUGUGGCGAUGACACCGUCAUCGCUGAAGUGGCGGCUGAUGCCGCAGUGGCUGCCGCUGUCAUCACUGCAGCCAUCGUCGUCGUCGUUGCGGUCAUUGUCACCGCCACAGCAGCUGCUGUCGUGUUGUUCAUACGGUGAUCAAAUGAUAGAAUUACCGUGGGUGGUAAUUGAAUGAUGCAUAGUGACAGAUCGUUUGAUCUGUCUUAUAAUACUUCAGAUUCGAUGCAAUAGAUAAUUCUUAUUAUUGGAGGAAAUAAUGUUUGUGUUGGAGGGUUUAUUGAAUUCGGCAGUUUUAUGGUCCAUCGAGAAAUCCCGUAUCAUAACAAAUUAUGCCUUUCUGAAUUUUCUCGUAACUCCUAUGAAAAAGCUGCAAUACACAAAAUCUUAAAGGUUUUACAAUCAACGGACGAGAUUUAUUUUUCUUUAUCCAGCGGUCAUAAGUAGUUACGUAUCCGUUCUCAAGGGGUAAUCGUAACACCCUUAAUAAAAGGGUAAGAAAAUAACCUCUUUUUUUUUUAAAGAAAAAGCCCAAAACAACUUUACAUCUUCACCUUGCGCAGGAAAACGACGGCAAUUGUCGUGGUGACCUCCCGACUUCCGAGGGCAAAUUAGAUUGGCAAGGAAAUUGACGGAUUGCCAAGGUGCGUUGGUCACCGGCCCUUGUCUGGCUGGCGACCAUCUAAGGGGGAAAAAGAGAGGAAGGGAAAAGGAAGAAAAGAAAGGAGAAAUUGCUUGUAUCUUAAGUUGUUUCUAUUUUAUUUUUUCUUCAAAUCUAUUCUCGAGAAUAAAAAAUAUAUAUCAAAUAUGUUUUUAUUCUAUGUUACAGAGAACAAAUAAAAUAAAAAACACUUAUUCUCAGGAGCAUUACCAAAUGCAUUGCAAGUGGUUCCUCUUGCAAGGAGGAAUCUACACUUAGCACGACCCUUCCAAGCCGUAUCAAUCAUAAUUUGAUUUUUCAAUUCAAUUAUACAAUUAUAUUGGAGACGUCACUAACUUAUUAUGGGUCAAUUGGCAAUUCAAGGAGGAUGCGGAAGUACAUUUCACUCCUGUGAACUAAAGAUUCAUAAGUUGAUUUAGAUGCGCCGAGAUCUUUCAGUACGAGAACAAUUUACAUGCGAACUUCACCAAUUUUUAUUCCUUAAAUCCUCUAAACAUAUAAAAAGUGACUAUGCGUAGUCAGUCAAGUUAUAAAAAUAAACAAGUGAGCAAUUGUAGUAAAAAGCUAAUAAAAUAAAUAAAUGACCGGAAAAAUAAAGGACACGAGUCGUUUCGGGCAAAAUCAAACAAAACCUUGCUAUUACGGCCUGGGACAAAACCCCGUGAGCUAUAAAUGUAAAUUUGGUAUAAACUCUUCAAGAGAUGCCUGAUGCUCAAAAAGGAAAGUGAAUGUAUGAUAUGUCAUGACCAUCUACUAAAUAAACUACAUUCCUAAAAUGAAUUGUUGCAUGUGAAAAUUAAGUCUAAAAAAUGCAAUAUAAAGUGCAUGCGAUAUUAAGAAAACAAAUCUAUUUGUGAAUGUGCAUGGUACCUUAAAUGCACCCCUGAAAAUACUUUUAAAUUUUUUUUAAUACUUUAAGAUACCAAAAAAAAAAGCUAAGAAAAUUAACUAAGUGUCGCAAUAAAUAUGAACUAUGUCUUAUAUGCUUGAAUCAACCUAUAUUACAUAUUUACAUAGUAACUUGGACACCGAAAUCACAAAUAAAAAUUGUCUAUGUCAACACCGAUGGUAUCACAUAAAAGGACUAGCGUUCAUGUCAAUGUCGAUUGGCUAAUUUUGGUUAGAUUGACUUAAUCAGCACAAAUGCAAAAAUGUUUAGAACUUAAUUGUUCAAAUAUAUAUAUAUAUAUAUAUAUAUAUAUAUAUAUAUAUGAUUGAAUUUGUACAAUUAUAAUAAGUUUAUGAUCCUUUUGAUAAUUUUCCUGACUAAGAGCCGCCACCAAUAAUGGAGGAUAGAAGAGAGCUGAGAGGCCAUCUAAUCAAAAUUUGCACUCCUUUGCUGGUUGUGUAAGAAUUAUACCAAUAACACCACUCGCCUCGGUUCUUCUUGAUAACUUACAAGCUCCUUCGACUCUUCAGUUUGUGCCAUAUCCUACUUCAUUCGGAUUUCAUUCUUCUCCUUCUCGCACUCGGGUCAUAUAAUCUUCUCCGUUUAUGUGAUCAAAAAAGUGUUUAUUUUCUUAAAAAGUACCCUCCCUUUGAAGAACUACUUCUUUUCUUAUGUGAAUUGAUGCUUCAAAAUAUGUCUGUAAACUAGUCGCUUACAUUGAAAUACGCAGGGUUUUCUUGAUGGAGAAUAAUAACUGUCCACAAAAUUGUCCGUGCUGUCCGUGUUGCCCGUACUUCUCCCCUUCGUCCGAUGGCAAAAUUUCGUCGUGUAAUACUCCGGGAUGGGUCAUCGUCGGCAUCGUAGUUGUCGCCGCCUUAAUAUGUGGUUUCCUUUUCUACUUUAAUCGUGGUCCUAAAGACACAGAGGGCAGUCUCGCGGAUGAGCCACAAAUCUCCGUCGGUACAGGCGGUGUGAACAUUUCGAUUCCGUUGUCGUUAAAACUCUUCUCUAAAGGAUAGUAAUCUGCAAGCUUCCGGGCAUGUUUCUGUGUGAAACUUGGAUGAUGUAUAGUGACAGAUCGUCUCUUCUAGUAUCCAACAUUGGAGAGUUGAUGUAAUAAAUAAUUGUGUUGGAAGAAAAAAAAAAUUAUGAUGAAGGGUUUAUUAAAUUUCUGUAGUUCUAUGGUCUUUCAAGAAAUGGAUCUUCAGAUUUAUUGCAACAUUUUCAGGGGUGAACCAUUAAAAGAAAACUAUGGGAUUGAGGAUGAGACCAACCGGUCCUAGGACCAAGAAUCGGACCGUCCAAUCCAAUCCAAUGGAACCAGCCACUUAGCAAAAAAAUUAGAAAAAAAUAAAAAAUAUACUAGAGUUAUUACAAUUUUAUGGUAUAUUGCUAUUUCUAAGAAAUUAAAAAUAUUAAUAAAAAAAGAGUCGAUCCAAUCCCAUCCAAUUCCCCCUCAAGAUUAGGAAGCGGACUGAAAAUCGUCAAUUCCAUUUUUAUGGAACUGGAAACUAGACCAACGCCUUUGAGAACUGGAUCAACGUCCCUAGGAAUCGAAUUGAACCGAACCGGCCAGCCGAUCCGAUUCGGCCGGUCCGAUAUGCUCACCCUUAAUUAAUAACUUUUGCAUUUUUAAAGUGAGGAUGUACAUGAAAGAGGCAUGCCUCACGGCAAAUCAACAUAAUGGUAAUGUCAUUAAUGUUAGAUCAUGAUUAUCUGCCACGUGAAUUGAAAGUUCCCAACUCUUUGUCAUGUUAUAAUGGCUAUCUAUAGUGUGCUUUGGUCCACUCAUCAAUAAUUUUUGCUUUUUCAAAGUGAGGAUGUACAUGAGAAAGGCAUGCCUCACCGACCGGUGAUGUUGACUUGCCAUGAGGCAUACCUUUCUUGCGGUAGGACUUUCAUCCAUCUCUUCUCACUUUAGAUGCGAGAGGCUACUUUAUUUAUCUAUCCUGUGAUAACCAAGAUUGUUCCACUCUUCAAUAAUUUUUGCUUUUUUAAAGUGAGGAUGUACGUGAGAAAGGCAUGCCUCACCGACCGGUUAUGUUGACUUGCCGUGAGGCAUGCCUUUCUUGUGGUAGGACUUUCAUCAUCUCUUCUCACUCAAGAUGCGGAAGGCUACUUUACCUAUCUAUCAUGCAAUAGCCAGGGUUGGAUAACCCUCACAUGAUGUCUACCUUCACCAUUGAGUGGCCCUUAAUUCUUGGUCAAUUUUUUUCUUCCCGACUGAGAGGGAAUACGGGAGCAAUAUUGUGAGGUCUCGCACCCCUUGUUUCUUUCCCUUGAGUCUUUUAAGGACUUGCUUAAAUCAUGAUCAUGAUUAUUUGGCACAAGAAUUGAAAGUUCCCAACUCUUUAUCAUGUUAAUUAAUCAUUCCUUCUUAAGUACAUCCUCACUUUAAAAAAGGCAAAAAUUAUUGAUGACAUAUGAACAAAAGGUGGGGGCCCCGAAUUAAAGAGUUCCACAUUCCCAUCAUUCAUUAUGGAGUCUUUGAUUAAAUGUGACUUGACAAUCAAGAUGCCAACAAUGAGCACUGGGACAAUGGCCACGGUCGAUUGGAGCAUCAUUUGAAGUUCUGGCAAAAUCCAAAAAGAAAUCAUGUAUUUAUGUGAAAGGUAUAAUCAUGAUAUGAAAUCGUGUAUUUAUGUGAAAUGUAUAGUCAUGAUAUGGUGAUAGGGCUAGUAAGGACACCUAGAGGGGGGUGAAUAGGUGUUCUAGCAAAUUUACACUAGACUUUUAACAAAUUAACUCGUCUUUCAAGAAUAACAGAUUGAAUAUGUAAAAGACUAUAAGUAGUUAGAUAAAUCUACGAAUUAAAGCAAGGAGUAUAGGGAAAGAGAAUUGAAACACAAGGUUUAUAGUGAUUCGGCUUAGACCAAGCCUACGUCCACUCUCCCGCACUGACAGCCUACUCGCUGGAUUUCACUAUGAACCAAAAGAGAUUUUUACAGUCUCAUGUCCUUGAUUUCACAAUGUAGAAACUCUACUACACUUCCUCAAAGUCUCACAAGUUUUUAAUCUCUCUUUUGAGUACAACUUAAGCUCAAUGAUAGAGAAAGCAAAGAACUAAGAGCUUCAGAUUUUGGAAUUUUUCUUUCACGCACACACUCGAACAACUUGAGCGUCUUCCUUAUAUACUCCUUCAUGUCUCUAUAUCCAUUGACACUUUCCAAAGAAGUUCUUCCAAUCUACCCGUUGGAUAGAAUCAAUCAAAGAUAUCUCGAGUCAUUUAAGCAAUGUGAUGAUAGUCCACAAAUCCUGCUCACCCAUACAAUCAGGAUCUAGAUUUCUAUAAGUAGAACAUUCCAAGUAUACUUCGCCUUUCAAAAGUUCUUGAUUAUUCGAAUUGAUUCCAAUAAGAAUAAUUGAUCACAAUGUGCUAUCUCCAACCAUAAAAUCUUCUCCAAACCGUACGAACCGAAUCCUUAAAGAUAAACUCGUAUUUGAAUAAGUCUUCUCUUCGUUGGUCAAGAAACUGGCAGUGUAAGUUGACUUUAAGUCUUGAGUCUUGUAGUCUUUAGACUUUGACGACAGAGUCUAGAGUUCAUCAUACUUUAAUAAUUGAGUCUUGAAGUCUUCAGACUAGACUGAUGGAAACGUUUUGUCAACUUCAAAAUAAGAGAGUUUUCUCCAACAAUCUCCCCCUUUGUGAUGGUGACAAAACUUUCUUGCAGAUUUGAAUGCCUUUGACCUACAAAACAAAACAUAAGCAGAACAAGAUAUUUCAUAAAAGGUGAGUAGAUUUGGACAAGAAUAGUAAUGAUUAUGCAAUCACAGAAAACACGUUAGUCCUGUAAAAUAACUAUCAUUACUUAAUCAUUGUCAUAGCCUAAGUUACUGUAAGCAUCAAAAAAAUCAAAUCAAACAGUCAAAAAGUCCAAUCCACAACCAAACAAAAGAUAAGUCCAAAAGUCAAAUAAGUCCAAACCAAUAGUCAAAUCUGCAUAUACUUUCUCCCCCUUUUUGUCAACGGCAAAAAGUGGAGAAGAUAAAAAGAAUUGAAUAAAACCAAGGUUUCUUGGGAAUGCGAACAAGCUGGAAAUCCCCCAUAGACUUAACGGUCUUCUCCAACUUCCUCAAAUCCUCCUUCAGUUGUUCUAAAUCCUUCUAAACCCUCACCCUUUGCAUUUGCUUAAACUUAAAGAUUAAGGGCUUGUACUUGGUCGUGCAAAGAAACUGAAGUAGCUUUAUGAGCAUUCUGCAUGGUCUAAAAUUCACAUCCCAACCCAUAAAUCUGAGCUUUAAUCUCCAGAAGAAGCUCGAGCAGUCUUUUAAAGUCUGCUGAAUUGUCAGUUUAAGUACUUGCUUCAACACAAUCAGAUUGUGGAGUAUUAACUGAUGAUGGAACUUCAGUAUGUACAUUCAAACUUGGAGAUGAAGCCUCAUUACCAUUUUCAGGAAAUUGAGAGGCAUACACAUUUUCUGGAUCAGCAAGAGAACGACUAACAUCAUCACUAGUAAAAGCAAGUGAAGAUCCUUCAGGUGGAGAAAAUUACUCUUCUUGUUCUUGCUCUUCUUCAAUAUCACGAAGAUCUUGUCCUUCUUCCUCUGCACGAAAAUCACCAUGAUCCUCUUCUUUUGCUCAUUCUCUUCCUUUCUCUACGUCUUUUGUUCUUCCUUCUUCUUCUUCUUCCCUCAUCACUCCUUUCUCUACAUCUCGCUGCUCUAUCUCUUCUCUGUCUCGGUUCUCUUGAUCCCCUGUCUCUGUAACAAAACUCUGUAAGUUCUUCAAAGCAAGAGCAGAGAUAGUGAUGUCAUCAUCAUCUUCUUCAUCCUCCAAGAUGAGUGCUCUCCUCUUCUUAGAUGGUGCUGUCAUGGGCUUUUUGCUUUUCCUUUUUCCAGCCGCAAAGUCUUGUCAUGCCUUGAUAGGGGUCUUCACCUUAAAGCACUCCAAAGCCUUGUUUAGCUCCUUCAAACGUAUCUUGGAAACCAUUUUCAGUCCCACUACCAUUUGAUCAAUGGUUCGAACACACAGAAUUUUGGAAGGCUGAAUGUUAAGAUGUUUGAACAAACGAGUGACAAGAGCAGAAUAAAGGAGUUGUCCCUUAUCCUUUACCACUGUCCUAUACGUGUACAUAAGGAUAGUGUGAGCUAGAGAGAACUAAAAACCAAUGUUAAUGGCAUACAUCAGCUUUGCUUUAGAGUUUAAGACAUCAGUCUUUAAUAUGGAUUUGGUCUGAGAUAGUUAAUGACAAUCUUGUAAAGUAAGAUAUUGAAGGCAUUCAUCCUAGAGUAAGAAAUUCGGCCUUCAGCAAUUCUAUCUCAAACAAGUGCCAAGGAAGCACGAGCAAUAGACACACUAAUUGGUUGGAAACUCCCUCUUUCCACCCCAAUCACAUCAGCUAGAGUGUUCACAUCAACCACAAAAUCCUAGUCUCUAACACUAAAGGAAAAUCUAUUCGCAUCUAAAACGGAUCAAUUAGAAUAGAAAUAAGCUGUAAGUUUCGAAUGAGUAACAGUUGUUUCAGAGCAAAACCGUUUGAGUUAAAGCAAUGUAAACUUCUCCCGUAACUUCACGGUUAAUGAAUCGAGAAAAUCAAAAUCCACACUCCUAGGGUUCAUCACCCAUCGCUUCAGCAAUUUAGAAUAAGCUUGCUUGUGCUCCUUAGAACGAAAAAAAUCUGUUCUUGUACCACGAAUGUUCGCAGCAACACCCAUCCUGGGCUUAAAAUGUGUGAACAUCCUCUCUCAUCAUCUUUUCCUUUAGUUUGAUUAAAUGAUCCAAACCAUGGAUCACUUGGGAAAUUUGCAAGAGCCCUUUUUGCCGAACCAGCAGUAGCAAUGCUCAAACUCUCCAUCGUCUUUAAAAAAUGAGUUUCAUUUUUGUACCAUUUUUCACUCAAAAACUCAUCAAUAAAGGUCAUUGGAGAACCGCAUUCCUUCAAAGUGGUGUAGAGUUUGAAAAGAAAUGCGGGCUUAAGAGUCCUUACAUGUUCUACAUUCUCGAUUAAAUCUUCAUCUGCUUGUUGUUGCGAAGGCACUUGAGUUCUAGCCUGAGAAGAAUGGCACGGUUGAGAAUAUUGGUGUUGACUUUGCUGAUGCUUUGGAGAGUCUUCUUCCUUGAUUAAAUCAAAGUGCGUAGGACCCUCACGCAUAUGUUGUGGUCCCCUGCUUGCGAUCCUAGAGAACUUUCUUUGGGAAGACAUUGUCACAGUUUUUGAGAGAUUUCUCGAACUCGAUUCGCGAAAAAAGAUGAGAACUUUAUGGAUUGAACUAGUGAAAAAAAAAGAAAAACAACAAUAUAUAAAGCAAACAAAACAAGGUAUAUGAAUCGUCAUAAAAGAAUAAAUAAAAAUGCAUUUUUGAAAUAAAUAAUUGCCUUUUUGAAAAAGAAAAACUGCCAUAAAUUCAAAGACUCAGAAAAGAUAAUUUCUAAAAAUAUAACAAUCAAUUAGUGAUUAAAAAGUAACAUACCUUUUAAAAAUUUAAAAUGCUGAAAUCGAAAUAACUUACAGUAGUAACUUUUAGUUAUUCUAAGUCUGAAUAACUUCAAACUUUACCUCUGAGUCUGAGCAUCUUCAGACUUUACUGGAUAAAGGUUGUGAUAUUCAGUCUGUGCGAAUAGACUCAAAUAGGCUUUUUUCUAAAGGUUUUGUAAAUAUGUUUGCCAGUUGAUUCUUUGAAUCGAUGAACCGUAUCAUAACUUCUCUAUUUUGAACAUGAUCUUUAAUGAAAUGAUGUCGAAUCUCUAUGUGUUUUGCUCUUGAAUGAAGAAUUGGAUUCUUUGUAAGAUUGAUUACGCUGGUGUUGUCACAUUUGAUCUCGAUGCACGAGUUUUCGAUUCCAAAGUCUCUCAGUUAUUGUUUUAACCAUAAAAUUUGAGAACAGCAACUUCCAAGAGCCACAUACUAUGCUUAUGAUGUUGAAAGAGCUAUAGUGCUUUACUUCCUUGAGAACCAAGAUACUGUCAUGUUUCCCAACAAUUAACACGUACCAGAAGUACUAUUUCUAUCAAUUCUACAUCCUGCUAAAUCUACAUCUGAAUAUCCAAUGAGGGUAAAGUCUCAUUCUUUGGGAUACCGUAGACCGAAAUUUGAAGUAGUUGCGAUGUAUUUGAUGAUGCGUUUUGCAGCACUUAGAUGAGAUUCUUUUGGAUCUGAUUGAAAUCUUGCACAAAUGCAAACACUAAACAAAAUGUCAGAUCUGAAAGUAGUAAGAUAAAAAAGUGAACCAAUAAUACUCCUGUAAAGCUUUUGGUCAACUUUCUUUCCUCCUUCGUCUUUGUCCAACUUCGAAGAAUUUGACAUUGGUAUUUCAAUCUUUAUACAAUUCUCCAAUCCGAACUUUUUAACGAGAUCUUUUGCAUAUUUUUCUGGGUGAAUGAAAAUUCAUUCCUUCAAUUGCUUCACUUGUAAUCCAAGAAAGAAAGAUAGUUCACCCAUCAUAUUCAUCUCAAAUUCAUCUUGCAUAAACUUAGAAAAAUUCUUGCACAAGUUUUUGUUAGGUGAUUUAAAUAUGAUAUCAUCAACAUAGAUUUGAACAAGUAGAAAAUCUUUACCUUCUCUUUUAAUAAAUAAAGUAGUAUCCACUUUACCUUUAAGAAAAACCAUUCUGGAUUAGAAACUUACUUAACCUGUCGUACUAGGCUCGAGGUGCUUAUUUUAAUCCAUAUAGAACAUUCUUCAGUAUGAAUACUGAGUCUAAUCUUUUUGGAUCUUCAAAUCCAGAAGGUUGUUCCACAUAGACUUUUUCUUGGAUAAAUCCAUUUAGAAAUGCGCUUUUGACGUCCAUUUGGAAUAACCUAAAAUAUUUAUAGCAAGCAAAAGCAAGUAAUAAUUUAAUUGCUUCUAACAUUGCUACUAGUGCAUAGGUCUUAUCAUAGUCUAUCCCUUCUUCUUGCAUAUAUCAUUUGGACACGAGUCUUGCUUUGUUUCUGACCACUUUUCCUUUUUCGUCCAUCUUGUUUCUAAAAACCCAUUUAGCUUCAAUAAUGGAUUUACCUUUUGGUUUAGGAGUUAAUUCCCAGACAUCGUUGAUGCUAAACUGUCUAAGUUCUUCUUGCAUAGCUUCAAUCCAGCUUUCGUCAGUUAAGGCCUCUUCUAUGCUUUUGGGCUCUAUUUUAGAAAUAAGUGCCAGAACACUAGAAUCUUCUUGCAUUUUGGAUCUAGUCCAAAUCCCUUCAUCAAUGUGCUGAUGAUGAGUUCAUUGGGAUGACUAGACUUAUGCUUCCAGUUAUUGGUCAGUCUGACAAAUUGUUGAUUUUCUACUUCAAUUGAUUAUUCCGUUCGUUGAUGAUCUUUAGAAGUGUGAGUUACUUCAGAGGAGGUAGACUUUGUAAGGUCUGGAGCAGGUUCAGAUUCUUCAAACUGAGUCUAAGUUAGUUGAUUCUGUAAAGAGUCUUGGAAUUUGACAUUCAUAGAUUCUUCUACAGAGUGAGUCUUUUUGUUGAAUACUCUGUAGGUUUUACUUGUGGUGGAGUAGCCAAGGAAAAUUCCUUCAUCUGAUUUCUCUUCAAACUUACUAGUUCAAUCAUUUGCAUUUUUCAAAAUAAAACAUUUGCAAUCAAAUAUAUGAAAAUAAGAAACAAUUGGCUUAUUUCCUUUGAAUAACUCAUAGAGAGUUUUCUCCAUAAUAGGCCUUAAGAAUACUCUGUUAAUAAUAAAACAAGCUAUAGAAACUACUUCAGCCCAAAAACAAGAAGAAAUAUUACUUUCAAUUAAAAUAGUUCUUGCAAUUUCUUACAAAGAUUGAUUUUUUUUUCUUUCCACAACUCCAUUAUAUUCUGGAGUGUAUAGAGAAGAGAAAACAUGCUGAAAACCAGAUUCAUCACAGAAUUUGGCAAAGUCUUGCUUUUCAAACUCACCUCUGUGAUAUGUCCGUAUGCUUGAAAUAGCAUAUCCUUUCUCAUUCUAAACUUUCUUAGCAAACUUUGAAAAGUAAGAAAAUGUUUCAGACUUACUUGCCAGAAAGUAAACCCAAGUAAAUCGUGAAUAAUCAUCCACAAUUACUAGGCAAUAUCUCUUUCCACUAAUGUUUUGAGUUCUGGUUGGUUCAAAAAGAUCCAUAUGCAGAAGCUGCAAAACACGAUUAGUAAAGAUCUGAUUUAUUAGUUUAAAAGAGCUUCUAACAUGUUUUCCCAACACACAUGGUGUGCAUAAGUCAAACUUUUGAUACUUCAGGUUGGGCAGUCCACGAACAAGAUUCUUGGAUGAGAUCUUGGCAAUUUGCUUUAUGUUAACAUGGCCAAGCUUUUGAUGCCAAAGAUUUGAUUCAUCUUGAAUCAAUAUUAGACAUUGAGAUCUUUCUGGUUUUAUAUCCAGAAGAUAAAUGUUCUCAUGUUUUCGUCCAGUAAAAGAUUGAGAAAGAUCUUUACUAGUUCCCAAACAUAUUCUUUUUUUGGAAGUUGAUUUUGAAUCCAGUGUCACACAAUUGGCUAAUGCUUAGUAGAUUGUAAUUUAGUCAUUCCACUAAGGACACAUUGUUGAUUGUGAGACUUCCAAUUUUUACGGUUCCACACCUAAUAAUUCUUCAUUUGUUGUUUCCACCGAAAGAGACUUUUCCACCAUUUAUUUGCACAAGUUUUAUAAAACAACUUAAAUCUCCAGUCAUGUGUCUUGAACAAUCACUAUCCAAAUAUCAUUUAUUUAUUUUUUUAUAGUGACCUGCAAUUACAAAAAGAACUUAAGUUUUCUUUGGUACCCAGAUCUUUUUCGGUCCAGCGGAGUAAGUUUUGAACACAGUCUCUCCCCAAUCCUUCUUAACAUGUCUCCAAACCAUAAGACAAUCUUUCUCAAAAUGUUUUGAGCUGUUGCAUUUUGAACAUUUGAGAACACUUUGGCCAACAAGUUUUACAAAGACCUUUUUAAAAUGAUUUCUAUAAAAAGUUCUUGUAGGUCUUUGUUUGAUUCUUUUCUUUACCUUUGGAAAAUCAAUUAAAGGAAUGGUUUAGGGGGUCAUUCACAAUCUUGACUUGUUGAAAUAAGGUCUUUGUACUGAAACAAUAUUUUCCAACUUCUCAGAUUCUAUUGAAAAUCUUUUUGAAAUAUUUGAAAUUUCUUAUUUCAAAAAUAUAUUUUCUUUUGAAAGAGAGUUUGCAUUUUCUUUUAAAAUCACAAAAAUUUUGUCUAGAUUUUCAAACUUUUCUUUUCAAGAAAUUUCUUGUUGCUUAAGUGUAGAAUUCUCCCUUUUUAGCUCAAAAAUCCUCUUAAGAGAGGUUCUGAGAUUGAGACAAAGUUCAUCAACGUAUUUCGAGAUUUUAGUAAGAAUUUUUAAAUUGCUUACCUUGAUUUCAUUCUCUAAGUCUGAGUUUGAGUAUAUUUUAGAGUCUAAGGGCGCAUUUGGCAACGAUUCUGUUCCUGGGAGCUGAUUCUGACUAGAAAUGAUUAUUUUUUAUUCUGUUCCCGGGAACUGAUUCUCAGUAAAAAAUUGCGUUUGGUAACUGUCCAAAAUUUUUUAUUCUAGAAUAGAAUUGCAUUUGAUACCGUGUUAAUUGAUUCUGUUCCAAAUUAAUUUCUUUUGAUUUUUAAAUAAAUUUUAAAUAAUUUGUUUACUUUUUUUCUUUUCUUUUUUCCUUUUUUUCUUUUUUUUUCCCUUUUUUCCUAUUCUUCUUCUUCUUCUUCAUCUGGCCGGUCGCCGAACCAGGGACCGGCCAGACGAGGGCUGGCGACGCUCACCGGAGCGUCGCCGACCCUCGGCGAGGUCGGCCUUCGUCGGCCGAGCCUCGCUGGCAGCUGGGCAAGGCUCGCCCAGCCUCACCGGUGGCCAGGUUGGCCUCACCCAGCCUCGGCGAGGCCAGCUUGGCCACCAGCGGGGCUAGGCGAGCCUUGCCCAGCUGCCAGCGAGGCUCGGCCGACGCAGGCCGAAGGAUUGCCCAGCCACCGGCGAGGCUCGACCUCGCCCCGAUUUGGUGAGGCCGAGCCUCACCCAACUGCCGGCGAGGCUCGCCUGGCCACUGGCGAGGCUCACCCAGCCCCGCCAGUGGCUGGGCUUGCCUCCGGUGACCUUGCCAGACCGGCGACCGGCGGUGGACGGCAGCGGUGGGCGGCGGCGGACGGCAGCGGGCGAUGACAGACGGCAACUGGGAUGACGAAAGGGAAGAGAGGGUUUUACCGUUUUGAUUCUUUUUCUGAUUCUCGGAUAGAGAAUCAAAUUUUUUUUUUUUUAUUCUCAAAUCUUGUCCAAAAUUGUUCCCGGGAACAAAAAUUUUACGAAACGCGAUUAUCGUCCCAAACUGAUUCUGAGAACAAAAAAUCAGAAUUUGGCACUGUUUGGCACGUUGCCAAACAGGCCCUAAGUCUGAUCUUGAUUUUGCCAUUAGAUAUAUAUUGACAUAAUCUUCGCCACUUUCUUCACAUUCGGUAUCACUCAUUGUCUCUACUUUGAGAGGUUUUCUGUAUUUCUCAGCUUUUCCCUUAUUUUUCUUCAACAGAGGACAGUUGAGUCUGUUGUGUCCAUUUUUCUUGCAUUCAAAACAAAUUACAUAUUUGUUGGCUUCAUCAUCCUUAGUUGAUUUUUUUUUUUAACUUUUGAGUACUUUGUUUUUUCUAAUUGAAUCUCCUUCCUUUUUUGUUCAGUUUCCUGAACCUCCUUAUCAUAAGUGCUAGCUCUUUAUCGUCCAUAUCAUCUUCAAAGUCUAUAACAUUAUAAUCAUCGUUAGAUAUUAAAGCAACUAACUUAUUACCUUUAGGAUCUUCUUCCUCGUUGAUUUGCUCCACUUCAUAAGACUGAAGUGUGCCAAUCAACUCGUCUACAAAAAGUGGCAUGAUCAUUUGAGUUUCCCUUAUUAAAGUCUUCAUGUAAUUCCAGUCUUUGGAGAGUUCACGUAUCAAUUUGUUAACCUUUAUUGGUCUUGAGAUUGGUUGUCCCUGAUACUCCAGACCGUUUACAAUCUCUGUAAAAUGACUAAACAUGUCAGUGAUAGAUUCUCAUGGUUUCAUCUUGAAAGCUUCAUACUGUCCGAUUAGAAUAUUGAUCCUUAUUUCUUUCACUCGAUUAGUGCCUCCAUAGGUAAUGUGCAGCCUAUCCUAGACUUCUUUGACUGUUUCACGAAAAGAAAUUAUGUUACACUCAGUAGGAGAUAAAGCACAAUAUAAAGAAUAAAUUGCUUUAGCAUCAAGAGCUUGUCUCUUGGUUAUUUAUUCUUGCGUUAUCUAGCUAGCAUCUGCAACUUCUUUUCCUCUUUCUGAAGCUAUGUAGCUUUAGAAAUGAUUCCUUUUUUCUACUACAUCUCAUUCUAGAGAAUCUUUCGAUCUUAGGAAUGCCUUCAUUUUGUUUUUCCAUACGUUGUAUUCAUUUCCAUCAAAGUAAGGAGUUCUAGUGUUGCUUUAGCCUUCAACCAAACCUGGAGCCAACAUACUAGUCAUAGAUCCUUAACUCAUAAGUAAAAAACACUUCAAUUAAAUGAGCACAUAGGUUCUGAUACCAAUUGAUAGGGCUAGUAAAAACACCUAAAGGGGGGUGAAUAAGUGUUCUAGCAAAUAUACGCUAGACUUUUAACAAGUUAACUCGUCUUUCAAGAACAACAGAUUAAAUAUGUAAAAGACUAUAAGUAGUUAGAUAAAUCUACAAAGUAAAGCAAGGAGUAUAAGGAAAGAGAAUUGAAACACAAGGUUUAUUAUGAUUCGGCUUAGACCAAGCCUACAUCCACUCUCCCGCACUGACGGUCUACUAGCUGGAUUUCACUGUGAACCAAAAGAGAUUUUUAUAGUCUCACGUCCUUGAUUCCACAGUGUAGAAACUCUACUAUACUUCCUCAAGGUCUCACAAGUGUUUAAUCUCUCUUUUGAGUACAACUUAAGCUUAGCAAUAGAGAAAGCAAAGAACUAAGAGCUUCAAACUUUGGAAUUUUUCUUUCAUGCUCACACUCAAACAACUUGAGCGUCUUCCUUAUAUACUCUAUCAUGCCUCUAUGUUCGUUGGCACUUUCUAAAAGAGUUCUUCCAAUCUACCCGUUGGAUAGAAUCAGUCAAGAAAAUCUCGAGUCAUUUAAGGAAUGUGAUGAUAGCCCACCAAUCCUGCUCACCCAUACAAUCAGAAUCUAGGUUUCCAUAAGUAGCCUUCCAAGUAUACUUUGCCUUUCAAAAGUUCUUGAUUAUCCAAUUUCCAAUAAGAAUAAUUAAUCACAAGGUGCUAUCUCCAGCCGUAAGAUCUUCUUCAAACCAUACGAACUGAAUCCUUAAAGAAAAACUCGCAUAUGAAUAAGUCUUCUCUUAGUUGGUCAAGAAAUUGCCAGUGUGGGUUGACUUUGAUUCUUGAGUCUUGCAGUCUUCAAACUUUGACGACAGAGUCUGAAGUUCAUUAGACUUUAAUAAUUGAGUCUUGAAGUUUUCAGACUAGACUAAUGGAAACGUUUUGUCAAAUUCAAAAUAAGAGAGUUUUCCCCAACAUAUGAAUCUUCCAUUUUGAAUGAGGUUGUCUUGGGACCCUUGGGAUUGUCUCGAUUUGGCCUUUAGGCUAACGAUUAUGGACAAUUGGCAGCAAAGGUUGGCUAAGUUUGUGACGCUAAUCCCUCAAAAAUGAUUCCAUAGGGAUUCAUAGUAUUAUCCAUAUUGUGCUUUUCUUUUUGUCGGCUAUUACUUUUGGCCACAGCAAUUUGUCUUAUUGUCUUUUUGCAUUGGAUCAAACAUAAACUCACACUUGUAUGCACAAUAGAAUUGAUUAAUUAGUUAUGUAUUUACUCUAUGUUUGAGAACAUAUCGUUAAUGGACAGCUCGUAAUUAGGAACUUCCACUAUGGUUGUAAUUGAUAAUAAACCUAUCUUAUUUGACCAUUUGGACUAAUGUGAGGCUUCUCUUAGUUAAUUCAACUCUUUUCAUGAAAUAAAUUUCACUUAAAUCUUUUGAGUGCUUGGUGUAAGCACUUUCCUUAAAUCCAAAAAACAAUGCUUAGAAUUCAAUAAUACAAACCAAUCUAUGGUCCACUAAAGAUUUUGCUUUUUUUUUUCUAUUUGGCAUUAGUAAAUACAUUUUGAAGCACUCCUUCGUUGAGUACACAUAUGAGAUAAAAAAAAAAAUUGCUAUAUUUCACUUUUUGGAAUACAAAGAAGUAGUCAAUGAUUCUCAAAAGAGAAGAUCGUGUAUCAAAUGGCAACGUUUGGCCUCAGUUUGAUAGACUCACAUGUGAGAGGAGUAUAUUUAGUGCACAUGUGAGGCGAGAAAUAAAGAAAGCCUCACAUUGGGUAUUUGAAGUGAAAAGGAACGGAGCAAUUGUAAUACCGUAAUUUUCAAAAGGAGGUCAUGGUGAAUUAGAAAGAGUGGAUCAUGUGCACCAGUUAAAAUUGGAUGGCAUGAUGACAUGCUAAAUAAUCAGGAGUUAUCAACCACCACUCCUCAAAAUUAUGUCCUAAAUUUCCAUAAAUGUAUCACAUUAAUUAGCUAAUUCAAGAUUUCACUAACAGUUGUGUUAAGAGAAAUGGACAUAUAUCUUUUUUAUUCAUAGGAGUUAACAGAAGCUAAAGGCAUUUCUUCUUUUGGUCCAUCAGCUUUGACGUCUGCAAGGAAACCUCCCAAUUAGAGAUACCUUUGACGUUUCUUCUUUCUCAAAUUGGAUAGACAAAAAGGCAAAUGGAAACCCAAGUAAUCUGAAUGAACUAGUAUAUACUUCCCCAAUAAGCCUGAUUGCAAGGGUUACAAAAUUACCAAUUAACAUUCGAAUUCCUACCAAACAUAAGUUCAUCGAACAUCAAAGGUAAGAAAAGAGAUGAGCAUCUAUUGAUAUAUAUUCCAACUUCAGGAAAUGACCAAAAAUUAAGUCGAUCUAUAACCAUAGUAAAAGUAUGUAGUAUAUAAGUUCUUUUCAAUCCAUAACCAAAAGCUUAACAAUCAAAUUGAUGAGCUAAAUGCAUCUUUUCAAUCCAAGGGGGAUCCAACCUAGUCAAUAUAACUUCUUAUCCUCCCAAGUUCCUGAAGCAUCCUAUCACGCCCCGAUCCUCGAGCACGCACCCAUCCCUCACCUAGUCAAUUAAUAGUGAUGUCCCAGGAUGCAUCGCUGACCCUUUCAUUUUUAAUAUACACAUGCGGAAGCAGAUAUAAAUUCUCAGACAAUAAAAUAAUGGGAUAGGAAAGUAGGACUCCAAAUUUUCACACUUUGAAAACAACCACACUUAUAUACAUUGCAAACCAUAAUGUAUAUAUAUACAAGGCGAUUUAUUAAAUCAGGUCUUAGGCAGCCAGUUCACAAAAUAAAGUCUACAAAAAGGAAUUGACUUCCAUCAAAAGGGAAAUGUCUUACGACCAGCUAGCCGGACAAGAUCACCAAUUCUUCGGGCUUCACCUCUUAAACUUCGGGGCUUCCAAUCCUUCACCCACACCAUUUAAGGACCUAAAAAUGGUUAUACAAUAAUCAGUGAGACAAUGUCUCAACGAGUUCUACCCCCCCAAAGACUCAAUUAGAAGACCAAUAUGUCACAAGAGCCGUCUAUGCACAACAGAAGUCAAAGGACUUACCUUAGCCUUAGAUUCCACUUGCAAUUCAAUACAGUUCAAUAGGCACCCAAUCAAUCACCAUAGAUCGAAAUAUCGAUCAAUCGAUCUAGUUAAUUACAUGUCAUCACGACCUUCCCCCCCUGGUCAUUUUAAAUAAAUAUCAUACAUUCUCUAAGAUGGAAUAUCUGGUCAUCAAGACCAUGUGCAUUCUUCAAGAUAACAUACCGAGUCACCAAGCCCACAUGCCUUCUCCAAGAUGACAUACCUAAUUACCGAGACUACAUGCAUUCUCAAAGAUGAUGUACCUAGUCACCAAGCCCACGUGCCUUCUCCAAGGUGAUGUAUCAAGUCACUGAGUCAACAACUCAUAAUGUCUUUCUUCGAGACGACAUGCUUAAUCAUUGAGCCGACAUAAUAUAACGCAUUUCUCUUAGACGACAUCCUUAGUCAUUGAGCCAGUGUGAUAUAUUGCAUAAUCAAUUUCUCAUUUUUAUCAUGCCCGGUAAAGAUACACGUGUGUAGGUACACGUCCAACCUUAGCCAAAAUAGUAUAAUUUCCUUUCCACAAAUCUCACUAUUUUCUGUAGUCCACCAAAAUAUCUUUUUGGCAUUGUCAACCAAUGCCCGGUUGUCUUUCAAUUAAUUACUCAAAAAUAAUUAAUUUAGGAAUAAAUCCUAAAAAUCAUAAUUAAAUCAAUUCAACGCAAAUUAAAACUCAAAUAAAUAAAUAGAUUGUACCGUGGUAAUCAGCAUAAAAUUCCGAUCACCAACUAUCCCGGUUGAAUUUCCAGAAAAUAAAUAAAUAAUUAAUUACACAAAUUAAUUAUUAAAUAGCAAUAAAUCCAACUUAGGCCCGUAAUGCCUAAUUGGUCGCCGAAACGGACCCGGAAAAAUUCUGAGGUUCGUUCAAUAAAUACUAGAACCUAUCGACUCACUAAUGGCUACAUCUAACCACCUAACAUGCAUUGGCAAAUCACUAAUUUAAUUACUCUAAUCUAAUCUAACCACAUAAUCAUGCUUAAAUAAAUCUAUUCAAUUCCUAAGCAUCAUUAGUCUACUAAGUGAGGAUUAGUGAGUUUAACUCACUUGUUUAUCGAAUUGUUCGGUUCAAUUUGACGGAAACGCGACAGGAGCCGACUUUCUCCAAAGCGGCCUAGGUUUCGAGGCCCGGAACCAUCUCAAAACGGGCCAAACAACACCUCAGAAACCCACUAUAUUUCUAUUAUGUUCUUGCUAAAACAUAAGGGAACAAAGCCGGUUUAGAGUGGGAAUUGAUCGGGAAAGGGUCAAAGGGUUAAACCAGGCUUUGGCGGAGGCUUACCGGUGGAGGAACAGCGAAGGACAGCUCCGGUUGAGCUUCACACGACCCAGGGCAACAGCUAGGACGUGCACUAGACGGGGAAACACGCAUGGAAGGCAAGCUGGACGCAGCUGUGAGAACGGGAUCGCGCGAGUGGCAUGCGACGGCGCCAUCGGCGAUGGGCGGCUCCUGCUGUCUCCGGCGAUGCUACUGGCUUCCGCUGGCUUCUUGCUAGCUGCUGGUGGUUGAAUAGGCUGGGAGGAGAGGGAAUGGCUGGCCAGUUGGCUUGAGGAGCAAGGAGACGGGACAAGGGCUCCACCAAUGUCCAAAUUUUCCAUUCCUUAGUCUCCCUUAACCAUUCUCAGCCACCAGCCCUUCCUUGGCCUCCAUUAGGCCACCAAUGCUCCCCCUUGCAACCUUGAAAUGGUCCAAAAGGCUAGGCAAUGGGGGGCAUACGAAUUUCCUUUAAUUUCUUCUCAAUUGGCCAUCAAUCCUUCCUUGAAUCAACACAAACCAGCCUUAAUAAAUUCAAUUGACCAUCAAUCCUUCCUUGAAUCAACACAAACCAACCUUAAUAAAUCCACCAAUGUCCAAAUUUUCCAUUCCUUGGUCUCCCUUGACCAUUCUCAGCCACCAGCCCUUCCUUGGCCUCCAUUAGGCCACCAAUGCUCCCCCUUGCAACCUUGAAAUUGUCCAAAAGGCUAGGCAAUGGGGGGCAUACGAAUUUCCUUUAAUUUCUUCUCAAUUGGCCAUCAAUCCUUCCUUGAAUCAACACAAACCGGCCUUAAUAAAUUCAAUUGACAUCUCAAUUAUCAAAUUGGUAUUUUUCAUCACCAAUUGGUCCAUCUUGCAUCACCAUUGCGUGAUAAAAAAUGAUCUCGGCCUUUUUUCCGAACAAAAACGGCCCUACCUCGACUUUUUCCCAAAAAGUCUCCGUUUGCAGAAAAAUCUUCUGAGACUGAGUCGACGUUCCUAUAAUUUAUUGUGACAUGACAGAAUCUUCAAUUUUUGAAAUCAGACUCAAUUUCGCAAUAAAUUUUCAUUUUGUGAGUUUUUAGCGUGACCUAGGCUACCGGGUAACUUUCAGAACUUUUUCAGUGCAAUUGACCCGUAAUCAAUUUUCUUCGAACCACAAUGAACCUACUCGAUACAUUGGCAACUCUUGGUUGUCAUAAAAAUCUUAAGAAUUCAAAUAUAGACACAGGGUACCAAAACAAUAAGAAAAUUAGUCUAGUGUCAGCCAACGAGAAUUUUCCAAUUUAGUGGGGUCUCACGGCGUAAUAGCCUCUAAAGAUAAGCACAAUUGAGUAGCCGAUUUCUGGUUGAAUUCUCAAGUCUAUUGCCUUAAAAUUCCUUAACGGCUUCCCUAGAUAGUCUAGUUAUCUCAAGAGUGAUCAGCUUUGAGAACAGCCCUAUAAGCGCAUCAAUGAAAUGCCCGAUUAAUUCAAUAUAAAAUAGGAUGGAAAAUUUGGGAUGUCACACAUACCAUCACUUUUCCUCAAGAGCACAAUUGCUGUUGGAUCACUCUGCAAGAAUCCAUUAAUCAAAGUCAAUUAACCUUUUAGCAAGCUUAAAUUUAGGGAGAAGAAUAUAGAGGAAACGCAAAAAAGCAAAAAUCUCUUGCAAUUGACUGUACUUUUUGAAAAUUUUAUGACUCAAUUGCAUUUCCACGAUAAGUUUUAGAGCUUCUGGUGCAGUUAUUCUUUCAAUUGUUCGAUUUGUAACUACAAACAUAUUACAUCUAAUUCAGCUCUUAAUCAUCAAAUUCAAAUUAUUGCACUAUUCCAUUUACAUUGCCAAAAGACAUAUACAUAUAAUCUCCCUUUCCACAUAGACAUAUAGAUAUAGAUUUUAACACUUUUUGUUCCUAUGGACGUGGACUUGUAAACUAAGCUGCGAGGACUCAACGGAUUGGCUCUAUUCCCCAAAAUUGGCUUCUAUUCCUCUGCAACCCUUCGGUCUCUCCUUUGUUUAGAUUUCCCUUGCCUGGGACUCUUUAGACCAUGUUCAUAAUUUCAUUAAAAUUUUCUUUGACGAAAAAGGAAGAACUUCACCUUAUCUCUUGCCCUCAUAAAAUGAUCCACAUGAGUCAAUUCUUUCUUUUCUUUCUUGGGUCCAUCCAACUUGUCCAAAUCAAUAAUUGCGAGUGAGCAUCAGACGAAGAAGAUAAGACAAAACAAUGGCAACAAUUAUUUAAUUCUAUGUUUAGACUUUUCAACUAACGGUGCCCCGUGAGUUGGUUAGUAAUGAAAAUUAUUAUCUUUUGGCCAAAAAAAAAAAAACCCACCCCGUGAGGGAGGGAGGGAGCGUCGCGGGGCAUAUAUAGUGCUAUCCUCCUGGGAGGGAACGUCGCGGGGCAUAUAUAGCGCUAUCCUCCACUAGGAAAAAAUUCUCACUUCUUUGCAGGUCGCGUAAGCAUUGGCGCAACAUCAUUCAUCAAUUUGCUCGGUUCUUCUUAUGAGGGUAUAUGUGCAAGCAACUACUUCCACUCACAUUAUAUCUCGCUGAAUUCCGUGUUGAAUCAUUUCAACCUCGUGCCCAGAUCAUAUGAUCAAUUCAUCAUGAUGAAAAGGUAAAUUGGCUCUUGGAUUGAUGCUUCAUAGUAUGUUUGUAGACUCACCGUUCGCAUUGAACUACCUCCACAGAGUUCUCUUGAUGGAGAACAAUAACUGUCCACAAAAUCAUCCGAGUUGCCAAUUCUUUCCUCCUCCAUCGGCAUGGAUCUAUCAGAAUCCCGUACCAUACGAUGACUAUAAAACUCCAACGUGGGUUAUUGUUGGUUUAGUCAUUGUUGCGGUCAUGCUUUGUGGUUUCCUUUUCUGCUGCAUUUGGCGCAAAUAUUGGCUGGGGCCGCCGGGGAAGGAUGGGCUUCAAGGGCCACCAGGGCCACAGGGACCAAAGGGGCCGCAGGGGCCGCUAGGGCCACCGGGGCCACAAGGGCCGCCGGGGCCACAGGGGCCACAAGGGCCACGGGGGCCAAAGGGGCCGCAGGGGCCAAAGGGGCCGCCGUGCAAGUCGUGCAAGUCGUGCAAGUCGUGCAAGUCGUGCCAGUCUUGCCAAUCGUGCAAGUCAUGCCAGUCGUGCCAGUCGUGCCAGUCGUGCAAGUCAUGCCAAUCGUGCCAGUCGUGCCAGUCGUGCAAGUCGUGCCAGUCGUGCCAGUCGUGCAAGUCGUGCGAGUCGUGCGAGUCGUGCGAGUCGUGCGAGUCGUGCUAGUCGUGACGGCCGUGCUCGCCAGGGCCACCGUGUCAGUGGCUGUGAGGGCAACAACAGUGGCAAAGCGGGGGUGGCAACAACUGCAGUGGGGCAAUUAGCCGGCACAGAUGGCCCAUUUAUUUGUGAGAAGUGCAAGCAUGGAAGAGUACCAGCUUGUCUAAUCUAGACAAUAAUUGAGACAAAAAUUACAAUAGUCUUUCUUAUCUUAUUGUAUGCUUAUGAAUUUAGAAGCUUCUAUUUAUGUUUGUGUGUGAAACUUGAACGAUGCACAGUGAUAGAUCAUCUACUCUACUAUACAAUGUUGGAGAUUCGAAUCGAUGAAUAACUUUUGUGUUGGAGGGAUUUUCGAAUUUCUUACAUGAACAGUUUUAUGGUCAUCAAUAAAUAAAAUUUUGAAUUAUAACGAAUUAUAACUAUAUGCAUUUUUUUGUAAUUUAUAUACAAAAUGUCGUAAAUCGACCAAUCAAUCCAACAUACAUAAUAAAAGAGUUCCUGCUUUUGGUGGAGAACCGUUUGACAGAUUUGCUUUAUUAUUGCCUCAUAUUCCAAAGAGAGUCAUCGGAACUAAGUCGGCUAGUGAUACCGACAAAAUAGAACGGACUAUUUUAUCAGAUUUUUUGGGUGGGCUUUGUACUCCAAUCUGUACGGGGGAAACUAUUAAUCCCUACUCGAAAUGAAGUGAUGAGGAAGGACAUAUCCAGGAAGUGUUUCAUGAGUGAAUGGAAGUGCGGUUGUGGCAUAUAAUCCUGAAAGUCUUAUGAUCAGUGGAUGAGACGACAUCAAUUGUUUCUCAUAGGAUCCAGCUAGCAUAACGAUUCUUUAAUUUGUAUCGGUGUUGUUGUGGCUACAGUUUUCCAUUGCCAAAAGAUGGAAAUCGGAAGGGCAAAAGGAGCAGUGGGAUGGGAUCGUCAUAGUUUAUCUAAAGAAAUAAAAUCCAACUAAUGAUGCCUAAUGAAACACCGCAUUGCCUUUUUAGUAACUUCCAUUGUUCAUUGAUGUAAUUAGGCUUAGCCUCGUCGCCCUCUAAGGGACCAUGCGCUAACUUGCAAGAAAUCAAAACCAAUAUCUUGUCUUUCCAUGUACUAUAAACUUCUUUAUGACGAAAAAAAUAGAAAAGUAAAAAGAUGAACAAUUAUCAAAAAAUUAUUGGGCUUAGACAUUGCACUACUAGACAACCACACCACCAAUCAAACAUGAGGCUUGAUAGAGUCGGAAGAUAAAGCAAUCGAAUGGCAUGACCAGGCUAUGCAAAAGGUACAGUAUAUGAUUAGGAAAAAUAGAUAGAAACAUCUUACGUAACAAGUCAAAUGAGUAGAAUCGAGCUUUUAAUAAUGGAGUUUGAAUCGAGUUCAAUUUCGAGCCCUAUAUACUAUAUUGAGUCGAGCUCGAGCACAGGGAUUUGAAACUGAAUUUUGUUCACACUCAUGAUUCAAUGUCAAAGCGUUGAUUUCCAGUCAGACUUUGCAUAGAGAAACUACUUCAAAUCAAUAAAUAGCUCGAUUGCAUCUUUAUAAUUUUUUUGUUAAAUGAAAUACAUUAUCUUACAGUCUUUAGGGCAUUGACCCCACUAAAAAUAUAUGAUAGUUCCAUCCCUGCAUGUUGACAAGUAUGAUGCAAGUUGUCUUCAAAAUUUCACAAGCCUCCUCCAAAACAUGAACAUAUCCAAUCAAAGCCCGAUUCCUGAAAUAUAAAACUGCAAUCAAUCUUGCAAGAAAGUUUGAAAAAAGGAAUAUUGGAGCAUCUCUUCUUAUCGUGCCCCUGAACGAAACCGAUUUGGACGAACCCCGCAGUAAACAUCCAUUUCUCAGAUCAUAUUAUAACACGAAUUGAAGUGUUAUUGACUGGGGCAGUUCUGGGAAAAGCAAGUAAAAUGCUUUGGGCUGAUGAGGACACAACUGGGGCAGAAAUCAUAUUUUUCACGACGACGGAGACCAUAAAAUCAAAUGCUAUUGGUCGAUGAGACAAAAAAAUCAAAGAUGCCGAUGAGGACGCGAUUGGGACAGAAAUCAUACUUUUUCACGACCACGAAGACCAUAAAAAAAUGCUAUUGGUCGAUGAGACAAAAAAAUCAAAGAUGUAGCUGACCCAAGCUUUCGAGACUGAGUGCAGGGUAGUCAGAGGAAAAUGCGGAAAAUUUCCCUUACUUGAUGGAUUUCCAAAAUUAUUGAUACAAAGUUCGAGAGAACCGGCAACAAUUCAUCAAAAACUAACCUAAUGUAGAAUCAAUUUCUUCCCAAGAUUAAAUGGACCAAAAUCGACUCAACUCCUAUAAUAACAGGCAAUAUAUUCCCGCAAUAUAAUCUCAUAAUGAAUAAAAAUAAUGCCAAAAUGAUAAAGACAGACAAAAGCAAACACGACAAGUUUAUGUCGAAAAUUCAAUGCGAAAAAAAUUAUGGACAAUUCAAAAACUUUCACUAAUCACAAAAAAAUAGUAAGAUGCACAAAGGUUCUUCUUUAGUAAUAUAUUAGAGAUUCAAUAUCAACAAUAUAAUGACAUUUCAUCACUAUAAAAGUGGAUUAAUACAUAUGAAGUAAGAAACCCUAAUCACAAUUGGAGAAAUUUGAGAUAAUUUAGAAAAAGUGUUCAAUGAACAAAACGAAUUGACAAAUGAAACCGAUGGACUUGCCUGUCUCAACUCAUCUAUCUCGGUCUUAUAACAAUGUAUUGAAAUUUGAGUCAACUCCGACAAUAUUUGGCAGCCCAUUUCCUGUCUUCUCCGAACGAGCAGACCGCCUUUCUUUUCCUUUAUUGCAUUUUUGACUUUUUGACCUUUUCUUUUAUUUAUUAACAUUAACCGAGCGCCACACAAGCAGACCUAGCCAACAUUAAUAUCUAGUAUAGUCAAUAAAUAAAUAAAUAAAAGCGGGACCAUCAAUUUGAUUGCCAAAUAACCUAUCAAUAACUUAUCAAUGCCAUUAGAAACUUACCAACUUUGAAAUGAAUUAAAGUAUAACCAACUCUUUGGAAAUUUUACAAGCAUUGUAAAUAAAUUGCAAACACUAUAAUAAGUCAAUUUAUAAACUUACCAACUUCUGGUCACUCUCCUUAUCAUUUUGAUUUUUUCAUUUGUUGAUGAUCUCUAAGUACUCCCUCCAAAUGUCUCUUUUCCAUGUGAUGAAAUUAAACUCAUUAUGUGAUCCACUUGAAUCAGAUGGUUGAAACAGGAGGGUUGUUUUUGGAGGCCUAUAAGGACAAACUACGAGUAAAAUGUAGCCUGUGAUUGAGUGCUUGAAACAAGAAAAAUCGAAACAUAUUGAGUAUUCUUGAUAUCUAUCUCUUUGCUGCUUCAUUUAAUCUAUUUAGUUUUGAACCUAGAAGUUAGCAAGGGUGCCAAAAUCAUUUGUAUACACAUGGAAGAAGUGGUCAUGCUUAGAGAGAAUGCAAUUGUUUAGGUAAGAGACGAAAUAUGCGAAUGAUUAUUUGUAAACACUUAGAAGUGUGGUUAAAUGAUUUUGGGGGAGAGUAUGUCUACCGUGUUGUGUGCACAAGGGGUGAGAACAGCUAUUGAAAGAGAUCUAAUAAUUAUUUAGUCUAUAGUGAGAUAGCCAUAGAAGGAGUCGAGUCCGCACGAUACAAAGUUCUUAGCAAUUGCACUAUUGGCUGAAGUAGUGAAUUUCAAUCUAAUGGGACUGCUAGAGCUAGAAGAGAAAGCAUAUCCUAAUUGAAACUCUAUAAAUAGCUUUUGUAAUUUCUUUUUCCCUAAACUCUAUAAGUUCCUUAUUGCAAAUUAACAGUUCAAUUCCAUAUUAAAAAAACAUUUUUAAAUAAGGUGCUCGUUCUAGAAGGAUAAAUAUUUUUAUAUGUAUAAAAAAAAACACUUCACCCUUCUUUUAUGUAUUUGGACCUAACAAUAUGGAUUGCCAUGUUGGAGGUGUCAAAUUUUGUAAUACUACAGUAAUGUAACUUGCGAGCCUCGUUAAUAAUUUAAAGGAUUUUACUAAGGACAAUGAAAAAAAAAAUCAUUAUUUUUGAAUUUUUUUUAUGAGAACUUGAGAUGGAGCUCGAAGCUUUACACUAUUAUUUAGUUUUUAAUAUUAGAGUUGGAUCAAGUCUAAUGCGAGUAAAUAUAUUGUAUUGAGUUGAGUGCGAGCACAAGAUUGAGAAAACCGAAUUGUCAUAUUUUCGAGAUAAUUGCACAAUCUCUCCUCAAAUUAUUAUACCGAAAUUUCAAACCUAUCAAGAUAUAAACUUUUUAACUGAAAUAAUGCGGUAUUAAACUUACAAGGGAAAAUGCAAUAAAACAUUUUAGCUAAAUCUCAUUGAAAUCAUCUAACGUGACGUUUCAAUUAUUUUUUACUACUUAAGGGUAACGAUGACAGCAUGACAUGAUAAGACGAUGCUGUUUUUCUUCUGAUUUAAGCACCCGAUAGAGAAAUGUCAAUAGGCUUAUUUUUGGAAUUUAAUGCUCUCCCUUGCGCCUGAUUGUAGGCCAAGGCACGAAAUAAUAUAAUGGGAAUCCAUCCUUGUCCGAAAGUAGAUGCACUAUCUGAUCAUUCAUUGUCUCGGUAAAAGGCGAUGAUUACAUGCUUCCGUUGGCCAGCAAUUAGUACACUGCUAAGCUGUCAUCAAAAUAGGUUUGCAUCUCCAUAAUUUUAUCCUUUUGUUUGUUGAUGCGAUAGCUAAGAAAAAUCUUCUGUACAUGUUUCUUUUGGCUUUACAUAAUCUCCUCCAUUCAAAAGGUGCACUAGUGGAGGUACCAUACAUCCUCGACGACGGUGACAACGGCGGCGGCCACCAUGAGGUUGUUGACACCUCAUCAGGCUUUGCCGACGAUGAGGUUGUUGGUGCCUCACCAGCGUUCUCCCGCAAUCGCGGCGAUAAGGUCGGCGUCGCGGCCUUCCCCCGUUGCGGCGAUUGCGGCACUGACGUUAUUUUUGGAAUAUUAAGCUUCAAUAUCAAUUUCGGUGAAGUGGCGGUUCUGUCCCCGGGACCACGACGAUUUUGAUAAUAACACCGACGGCUACGGCGACGACAAUGAUGACUACGCUGAUGGUGAUCCACCUCGAAGUGUCCCGGCAUGCAGCGAUGUCGUGCUGAUGGAGGAGGGAAGUAUGGGAAACCUGAACAACCUUGUGGACAGUUAUUGCUCCCCAUCAGGAAAAUCCUCCUGGAGUUCAACGCCAGCGGUGAGCCUGCAAACAUUUUUCGAAAGAUCGUUCAUACCACAAAAAGAAAAAAAAAAGUGGUAAUUUUAAAAAAAGAUGGUACCUUAUUAGAAAAGAAACAUUAUUUUUUUUUAUCACAAUAGAUUGGGAAGAUUAUAUGUUUUGAGCGUGAGAUCAAGAUAAUCGAAAAGCUGAACAGUCAAACUAAUGAGCUAAAUGCAUCUUUUCAAUCCACAGGGUAUCCAACCUACUCAAUAUAACUUCUGAUCCUCUCAAGUUCCUAAAGCAUCCCAUCUCCUUUCCUCAAGAACACAACUGCCAUUGGAUCACUCUGCAAGAAACCAUUAAUCAAAGUUAAUUAACCUUUAAGCAAGAUAAAAUUUAGGGAGAAGAAUAUAGAGGAAAUGCAAAAAAGAAAAAAUCUCUUGAAAUUGACGGUACAUUUUGAAAAUUUUAGGAUUCAAUUGCACUUUCACGAUAAGUUUUAGAGCUUCUGGUGCAGUUAUUCUUUCAAUUGUUUGAUUUGCAACUACAAACAUAUUACAUCUAAUUCAGCUCUUAAUCAUCAAAUUCAAAUUAUUGCACUAUUCCAUUUACAUUGCCAAAUCCACAUAGAUAUAUAGAUAUAGAUUUUAGCACAUUUUGUUCCUACUGAUGCGGGCUUGUAAACUAAGCUAGAAGGACUCGACGAAUUGGCUCUAUUCCACAAAAUUGGCUUCUAUUUCUCUGCAAGCCCUUCGGUCUCUCCUUUGUUUAGAUUCCCCUUGCCUAGGACUCUUUAGACCAUGUUCAUAAUUUCAAUAAAAUUUUCUUUGACCCAAAAGGGAAGAACUUCACCUUUUCUCUUGCCCUCAUAGGAUGAUCCCCAUGAGUCAAUUCUUUCUUUUCUUUCUUGGGUCCGUCCAACUUGUCUAGAUCAAUAAUUGCAAGUGAGCAUCGAACGAAGAAAAUAAGACAGAACAAUGGCAACAAUUAUGGGUGGUGUGUGUCCUGGAAACUUAGAUGUUAUUUUCAACCCCUUCCAUUCUGAAAGGCACAGGCUUUGAUUGAUAAGCAACUCUUCACAUGCGCCCGCCAUAGGAUUCCCCUUUCUCCCUCACAUAAUGCGUGGAAAGUGACUAGUGUUUAUUUUUUUAAACUACGGUUCCUACGAAGACAAAGCAUAAUCGAAAGGGCCUAUGUAAUAAUUUCCUCAUUGCCAUGUCCGUUUAUUCAUACUCAUGUGCAUGACUGGAUGAAUUUAUUUAUUAAUUACUUUGUAUUUGAAAAAUACUACAAUAAUAGAUGGUUUGUGGUUAGGAACUUCCACCGUCCUUGCAAUGGACGGGUCACAUUUGAAAAUACCUUUGUUGAUCGGAGGAUGUAUGGUAAUUGACUUGUCAUAGCUAAAUUCGUCAACAGUUGAAGAAUUUAGCCACCCUUGCCAGCGUUGGGCAAACGCGGCCCUCGCUUGGGUGUUGCCCUCGCCAACCUAGGGAGGGUGACCUUUGCCUAGGUCGGGCGAGCACAGCCCUUGCCAAAUCCCCAAGGGCCACCCUUGCCUGACGCGGCCUAGGCCGGAUCUGGCAACCUCGCCCAACACCGACAAGGGCGGCCCUAGCCCGAGUCUAACUUCCCUUUGCCAUGGCCAGUGAAGGUAAGAGAGAAGAAGAAGAAAAAAGAAAGAAAAAAGAAAAAAAAACAUUUGAAAAAGUAAAAGAAGAAAAUGCCCUAUACUUUAGGAUAAAUGUCUCACGCGAAUAUAAGUUUAGGGCUUUUUUAUGUCACGAAAAAAAGUUUGGGGUAAAUGUGUUACAAUUAAUAAAAUUUGGAGUUUUUUGUAUCACAAGAAAAAGUUUAUGAUAAAUUAGUCACUUUGACCAAAGUUUGGAGUUUUUGGUAGCUUUUUUCCUAAUGAUUGUGCAUUUUAUCCCAAGAGCUAUCAUAUUUGUAUACGAAAUUAUGUGCAAUCAUGUCAUAUAAUGCUUUUUUUUUCCUAAUUUAAAUUUUUCUUAAUAGUGGGUAACUCUAUCUACUCUUUUGCUAAUAAUUAUUUUCAUCAUUUUCUUAUAUUCACUUAUUCGCCAUCGUGGCUGCGGCCACCCAUCAUCGAACUCAUCAACGAUGCCAAGCUGCCCAUGUUGUCCGAUGAAGUUGCCAAGCUGCCCGUGUCGUCCGAGUUGUAAUCAAAGGAUAAAGUUACCGUAGGUGGAAAUUGAAUGAUGCACAAUGAUGGAUCAUUUAGUUUAUCGUAUAACAUGCCAGAUUCGAUGCAAUAGAUAAUUUUUGUUAUUGCAGGAAAUAAUGUUUGUGUUGGAUGGUUUAUUGAAUUCGGCAGUUUUAUGUUCCAUUGAGAAGUCCGGUAUCACAACAAAUUAUGCCUCUCUGAAUUUUCUCGUAACUCCUAUAAGAUAGCUGUAAUAUACAAAAUCUUGAAGCUUUUACAAUCAACGGACGAGAUUUAUUUUUUCAUUUUCUAAUGGUCAUAAAGGGAUCACGUAUCCGUUCUCAAGGUUAUUCGUAACACCCCUUAUAAAAAGGUGACAAAAGAAAAAUAAAAAUAAAAAUAAAAAGCCCCUAACAACAUUACAUCUCCACCUUGUGCCGGAAAACCUUAGCAAUUGUUGUCGUGACCUCCAGAGGGCAAAUUAGACUUGCAGGAAAAUUAAUGGAUUACUAAGUGAUUCCCCUUGAAGGAGGUGUCUACACUUAGCAUGGUCCUUCCAAGUCCUAUCAAUUGCAAUUUGAUUUUUCAAUGAUGUCUACACUUAGCACAUAAAAUGAUCGACAUCCAUGUCAGCGUCAGCCAACCAAUUUUGGCUAGAUUGGCUGAAUUGACACAAAUAAAAAAAGAUUUCGUAACACCCCUUAUAUAUAUAUAUAUAUAUGAUUGAUUUGACACGGUCACAAUAAGUUUGAGGCUUUUUUGGUAAUUUUCUAAAUCAAAAGCCGCCACCAAUAAUGGAGGGUAGAAGAGAGCCAUUAUAAAGAGGGGCUACCUCAUGAAAAUUCGCACUCCUCUACUGGUUGUGUCAGAAUUAUACCAAUGACACCACUCGCCUCAAUUCUGCUUGAUAAGGUACACGCAAGCACCUCCUUUUGACUCUUCGGUUUAUGCUAUAUCCUACUUCAUUCCCUUUUCAAUCAUCUCCUUCUCGGGCCAUGUAAUCUUCUCGGUUUAUGUGAUUAAAAAAGUAUUUCUUUUCUGAUGAUGUACCCUCCUUCUGACGAACUUAUUUUCUUGUGUGAAUUGAUGCUUCAAAAUAUGUUUGUAAACACGUCGCUUGCAUUUAACAACGCAGGGUUCUCUUGAUGGAGAAGAAUAACUGUCCACAGAAUUGUCCGUGUUGUCCGUGUUGCCCGUACUUCCCCCCUUCGUCCGCCGACAACAUUUCGUGGUGGGAUACUCCGAGAUGGGUCAUCGUCGGCAUCGUAGUUGUCGCCAUCGUAAUCUGUGGUUUCCUUUUAUACUUUCGUCGCGGUCCUAAGGACACAGAGGGCAAUCUCUCGGUGAAACCAGAAAUUACCUUUGGUAUAGACAGUUUGAACAUUUCGAUUCCGUUGUCGUUAGGGUCCUCCUCCAAAUGAUAAUAAUCUGCGAGCUUCUGGACAUGUUUCUGUGUGAAACUCGAAUUAUGUAUAGUGACAGAUCGUCUAAUCUAGUAUCCAGCAUUGGAGAUUUGAUGCAAUAAAUAAUUGUGUUGGAGGAAAAAAAAUUGUGAUUAAGGGUUUAUUAAAAUUUCAGUAGUUCUAUGGUCUGUCAAUAAAUGGAUCUUUGGAUGUAUUGUAACAUUUUAAGAUGUGAACCAUUAAAAGAAAACUAAUGAAUCACUAAGAAACAUUUAGCAUAGACUCUCACAAGGUUAUACCAAUGGCAACUUUAAGAUUUAGAUUUAAUUAAUUAAACAUGCAAUUUAAUUCAUUCAAGAAUUAACACUAUGAAAGGGUGUAUGUUAAAAACGUCAGGAUCAACUUUUAACGUCCAGCUAAACCCUCAUUCUAAACAUAAGAUGGCCAAUAUCUACAUCAGCGACACUAAAACAUCGUUACUGUUAAUCACUAGGGAAGACGCCGAGUUGGCUAAUGGGAUUCUCUUAACAUGGGCCCGUUGACCCCGCGGAGAGAAGUCUACACUGGGAUGCCUUUCCACGGUCACCAGAAAUUAAAAAACGUCCAAAGGGCGGUGCAACUUUAUGGAGUGGAUUGAAUCUCUAUUGGCUUUUAUAGUGGGGUCGCUUUGCGUCCUUGAUGCGUUUGUAGGUGAAAGGUGAAUGUGUGUGCGAAUGGAUGGGAGCUGAAUUUAACUUUGUAUACCUAAGCAAGAUAAUGCAUGCAUCUGCUAAAAGAAUUGGCAUGUUGGCCUGACGAACUUAAUUAGCAAAAGAUGAAAAAGUCUACUACUUAAUUGGAAAAAUUGAAAUGCUUAAAACUGAAUUGGCAAAUGUGCAAAAGAUUUAUAACUUUUUGGACAAUUUUCCCUCUUUUUAUCUUCUCUUCCUAGAACUUACGUCCAAAGAAGCACUUGCUACAAUUCUAUCAUUCUUAUGUGCAACUUUCCCUACAAAAUAAUUUCACGAAUAAGAAAAGGUACUCCUUUGUUUUGUGGCUAUACUUAUAUUGAACAUCAUUGAGAAAAGUAACAAAAAAUUCAUAAAUUUAUUAUAUUAGUAUCAAUUUAGCCAUAGGCAUUUUUAAUGAGACUAAUUUAAUCCUAAACAUUUUCACAUUAGUAUCGAUUUAGUCCAUCUAGCCAAUUUAUGUCGGAAAUUGUUAAUGUGGAUGUUAGUCAUUCUAUGUGAUAUGGCCAAUAUUGAUGUGGACAUUUUUAAUAUUUUUUUUUUGAAUUUUUAAAAUAUUUUUUUAUUUUUCCCUCUCCCUCUUCUUUGUUUUUUUCUUUUUGCUAGUGGCCAUCGCUAGUCGCCAACCAUAGCCAUGGUUGAUGAGGGCCGGCCUCGCUUGGGUCGCCCUCGCCAGUCGCAGGCGAUGGUCAACCUCGCCAAGCUACCUCUAGGUGAGGGCGAGCGCUGGCUGUCUAAGCACAGCCAUGCAAGGGCCACUCACUAGAUCUAGUGAGGCCAACUAUCGCCUAGGCUAGGGCGGCCUUGCCACCCCUCGCCCAAGCAAGGGUUGGCCUCGCCAAGGCUCGCAUAAGUGAGGGCAAAGCCUGGCAAGCCCUGCCUAAGCCACCAUCGAUCGCCAGAUCUGGUGAGGCCUUGCCUAGCCAUACUUGGACGCCUAGCGCUAGCCUUGACUUAAGGGCAGCUUGGCGACACCAACCCUUGCCAGCCAUAGCUGUGGUUAGUGGCUAGCAAUGCCCAUCGGCAAAAAUAAAAAGCAAAAAAGAGGGAGGGGAAAAAUUAUUUUAAAAAUUCAAAAAUAAAUUAGCAAUCCAAGUAGAAUGCGGGAGUACAUUUCACUCCUAUGAACUAAAUAUUCAACCAAUCGAUUCUGUUGCAUCAGAUCUUUAAGUAUGAAACCAAUUUACAUGCGAACUUCACCAAUUUUUAUUCCUUAAAUCCUCUAAACAUAUAAAAAGUGAUUAUGCAUAGUCACUCGAGUAACAAAAAUAAACAAGCAAGCAAUUACAAUAGAAAGCUAAUAAAAGAAAUGAAUGACAAGAAAAAUAAAGGACACGAGUGGUAUCGGGCAAAAUUAAGCAAAACCUGGUUAUUAAGGCCCCGGGCAAAGGCCCGUGAGCUAUGAAUGUAAAUUCGAUAUAAGCUCUCCAAGAGAUGCCUGAUGCUCAAAUAGGAAAGUGAAUGUAUGACAUGUCAUGACCAUCUACUAAAUAAAUUACAUUCCUAAAAUGAAUUGUCGCAUGUGAAAAAUAAAUCUAAAAAAUGCAAUAUAAAUUGCAGUGCGAUAUUAAGAAAACAAAUCUAUUUGUGAGCGUCCGUGGUACCUAAAAUGAACCCCUAAAAAUGCCUUUAAUUUUUUUUAAUAUUUUAAGACACAAAAAGAAAAACUAAGAAAAUUAACUAAGUGUCGAAAUGGACAUGAACUAAAGCUUAUGUGCUUGAAUCAACCUAUAUUCCAUAUUUGCAUAGUAACUUGGACACCGAAAUUACAAAUAAAAAUUAUCUACUUCAACGCUGGUGAUGUCACAUAAAAUGACCAGCGUAAUGUCAACGUCAACUAGUUUUCCAUACCAAAAGCUGCCACCAAUAAUGGAGGACAGAAGAGAGCCAUUAUAAUGAGAGGCCACCUAAUGAAAAUUCGCACUUCUUUGCUGGUAGUAUAAGAAUAAUACCAAUAACACCACACACCUCGGUUCUUCUUGAUGAGGUACACGCAAGCACCUCCUUCGACUCUUCGGUUUAUACUAUAUCCUACUUCAUUCCAUUUUCAAUCAUCUCGUUCUUGCGGUGCCGUCAUAUAAUCUUCUGGGUUUAUGUGAUCAAAAUAGUGUUUCUUUUUUAAUAAAGCACCCUCCUUUUGAACAACUACUUUUCUUGUGUGACUUGAUGCUUCGAAAUAUGUUUGUGAACUCAUCGCUUGCAUUUAACUACGCAGGACUUUCUUGAUGGAGAACUAUAACUGUCCAGAAAAUUGUUCAGGUUGCACGUGCUUCCCCUCUUCAUUUGUCCCGAAUUCGGUCUCUUCCGACGACGAGAACAUUUCGUGGUGGGAUACUCCAGGAUGGGUCAUCGUCGGCAUAGUUGUCGUUGCCUUUGUAAUCUGUGGUGCCCUUUUCUACUUUCGUCGUGGUCCUGAGGACGCAGAAAGCACUCUCCCGGCAAACGCGGAAAUCUUCCUUAAAUUGGACAGUGCGAGCAUUUCGUUUCGUUGUCGUUAGCAUUCUUCUCCUAGGACAAUAAGAUGCAAGCUUCUGGGCAUGUCUGUGUGAAACUCGAAUAAUUUAUAGUGACAGGUCGUCUAUUCUAGUAUCCAACAUUGGAGAUUUGAUGCAACAAAUAAUUGUGUUGGAGGAAAAAAAAAUUGUGAUGAAGGGUUUGUUAAAUUUCGGUAGCUCCAUGGUCUAUCAAGAACUGGAUCUUCGGAUUUAGCGUGAUAUUUUCAGAUGUGAACCAUCAAAAGAAAACUAAUGAAUCACUAAGGAACAUUUAACAUAGACUAUUACAUGGUCAUACCAAUGGCAACUUUAAGAUUUUGAUUUAAUUAAUUAAACAUGCAAUUUAAUUCAUUUAAGAGUUGCCACCAUAAAAAGGGGCAUGUAAAAAUGUUGGGAUCAAUUUUUAACAUCCAUCUACACCCUCACUUCGAACAUAAGGCUUUAUUGCCUCAAUUUCUUAUGCACAAAAUCUUCGUGAAGGCGAGCGCAGAGCAUGCCAUCAAGAUAUAUCCUAUCUUAUUAUUCUAAGAUUUAUAAUAUGUAAUGGAAAUUUGAAGAGAAAAAGGGAAAACUGUUUAAGCACACAAACGCAUGAUUGCUUAAGGCUAGUCUGCCUUUUUAUGCAUAAGGGAAAGAAAAGAGAAGCAAGAUUGCACCAUUGGUAACGCAAGCAUAUUAAUGCCACUUUAGUCUUCAAUAAGGGGUGGAGCUUGAAGAAGCAAAGCGAGCCUAUGGUAGCAGCCUAUUACGUUUUUCAGGCCCUUUGACUUGAUAUUCUAUUAGUCAAGUGCUAGCGCUCCCAUAGAGUGAGGCUCUUCUGCUAUCAAUGAAAUUGAAAGACAGACAAAAACCAGUGCAUUUUGUAAACAUGCGAUUCACGCCUAUGACUUACAAUUAAUACAACACGAGGACUCUUGACACUUAUUACAACAUCAUGACUCAUCUUAAAACAUUUAUUACAACAUGGCUCAUCUUGGUGAUUUAUCACAACAUGACUUCUUUUUAUUUUAAUUCAAAAGAAAAUUGUAUUCAUUACUUAAAAGGAUACAUAAGUAUAUAGUGUUCAUGACAGAACAAAUCGAAACGGAGCAAGAAUAAUCAAACGGAGCACCAGCAAAGUUAACCACGCACUUGUUCCAAGAGAACAUAUCUGUCGAGCAAAAGAGAAGAUCAUGUAUCAAAUGGCAACCUUUGGCCUCGGUUCAAUAGACUCACUUGUGAGAGGAGUAUAUUUAGUGCACAUGUGAGGUGAGACAUAGAGAAAGCCUCACAUUGGGUAUUUGGAGUGAAAAGGAACGGAGCAAUUGUAAUACCCUAAUUUUCAAAAAGAGGUCAUGGUCAAUCAAAAAGAGUAGAUCCUGUGCACCAAUCAAAAUUGGAUGGCACGAUGACAUGCUAAAUAAUCAGGAGUUAUCAACCACCACUCCUCAUAAUGUCAUAAAAUUUCCAUAAAUGUAUCACAUUAAUUAGCUAAUUCAAGAUUUCACUAACAAUUGUGUUAAGAGAAAUGGACAUAUAUCUUUUUUAGUCAUAAGAGUUAACGGAAAUUUUAUAAUUCAAUUGCACUUUCGCAAUAAGUUUUAAAACUUCUAGUGCAAUUAUUCUUUCAAUUGUUAGAUUUGUAACUAUAAACAUAUUACAUCUAAUUCAACUCUUAAUUAUCAAAUUCAAAUUAUUGUACUAUUCCAUUUACAUUGCCAAAAGGCAUAAUCUAAAUUUAGAUAGAUAUUUUCCUUUAAAACAUGAUCUUUCUCUCCGCAUAGACAUAUUGAUAUAGAUUUUAACACUUUUUGUUCCUACUGAUGUGGGCUUGUAAACUAAGCUACAAAGACUCAACGGAUUGGCUCUAUUCCACAAAAUUGGCUUUCUAUUCCUCUACAAGCCCUUCGGUCUCUCCUUUGUUUAGUUCCCCUUGCCUGGGACUCUUUAGACCAUGUUCACAAUUUCAAUAAAAUUUUCUUUGACCCAAAAAGGACAAACUUCACCUUUUCUGUUGCCCCCAUAGGAUGAUCCACAUGAGUCAAUUCUUUCUUCUUCUUCUUCUUUUCUUGGGUUCGUCCACCUUGUCCAGACCAAUAAUUGCAAGUGACCAUCGGACGAAGAAGACAAGACAGAACAAUGGCAACACUUAUGGGUGGUGUGGGUCCUGGAAACUGAGAUGUUAUUUUCAAUCCCUUCCCAUCUGAAAAGCACACGCUUUAAAUGAUAAGUAACUCUUCACAUGUGCCCGCCGUAGGAGUGCAUGCACUAGCACAUGGAUGUACCAAACGGGUCACUUUCACACGAGUAAUAUCUACUUCUAUGUGUAUAAAGGAGUGCAUGCACUAGCACAUGGACGUGCCAGGUGGGUCACUUUCACACGAGUAAUAUCCACUUCUAUGUGUAUAAAGGAGUGCAUGCACUAGCACAUGGACGUGCCAGGUGGGUCACUUUCACACGAGUAAUAUCCACUUCUAUGUGUAUAAAGGAGUGCAUGCACUAGCACAUGGAUGUGCCGAGUCGGUCACUUUCACACGAGUAAUAUCCACUUAUGUGUAUAAAGGAGUGCAUGUGCUAGCACACGGACGUGUUAGUGGGUCACUUUCACAUGAGUAAUAUCCACUUCCAUGUGUAUAAAGGCAGAUUACCAAUGAUCAAAUUGUCAGUCUAGAGUAGCACUGAAUAAAUUUAUGUAUAUGUACCCAUCCGACGGAUGAAGAGUGUAAGAUCUAUAUUUACUUGUCACAACCUAUCCCUUCGUAUGGAGGAAAAUAAGUUUAGGGGUAUUGUCUAAAAAACAAACCUAUGAUCUAGUGCGGGCUUUCCUAAACUCAUACCUCUCACAACUUUAAAGUAUUUGUAAAAAUUUUCUAAUAAAGAGUCCCAACUAGCCUAUUGAGGUUGACUAAGAACUAAGUAACACAUUAAAGUGUAACUCACCUCCUAUACAACUAAAGAGUUUAUGGUUGGGGACUGGAUUAUACUUAUUAAACAAUUAAUACAAUUUUGGUACCUAAUUUUAUUCAUUCAAAAAUAUUUUCUAUCAAGUAGUCUACGUUAAUUUUAGACAUGUUGACUAAUAUGUAAGGUGACCAUGCGAACAUGCAAUCAUUAACAUGACAAUUAGCAACUAAAGUGACAUCAAAUAAAUUGCAUUGGGCGAGCAAGAUCUAGCAUUAUCAAAUAAGGAGCCUACCAUUUCUAACUAAGCUAAAGGGAAACCAUAAUCAUCAUAUGGAAAAUGCGUAAUCAAUGGCCUUUAUUUUAAGGAUAAUUGGAAUCUUAUGGUAGAGCUAAAAGGGCUUGUUUAAUUUUUUAACACAAUUUUCUUAUCAAUGAUUUUCUCAUAACUUUAAGAGAGGGCGACCUUGAAAGAUUAUUUCUAAGCAUUUUCUGUCUUUAGGAAAAAUAAAAUAAAAAAAAAUCGGAUUUUUUAAUUAAUUUUUAAAUAUAUUUUUUUAUUCAAUUAAUUAGUAGUCCGAAAAUAGGGACCUGGCCAUAACAUGGAUGAACAUGAACUUACGGUUUAGACUAAAGGGCACAAUUGAUCUUAUCCUCAAGCCCACCCCAUUUCUACCCUUUCUAAGCUCAAUUCGGAAAAAACUCCCAAGUAAGCUCACUCUUCCACUAAAGAUACACCAAGCCUAUUCCUUUGUAACUGAGUGCACUAAGCCCAUCUUACUAUAAAGAGCUCAGCCCAAGCACUUCCGAAAAUGAAGGCAGCCCAAAUCUACUAAAACCACUCAAGCCCAAAAUAAGCUCAGAUUCGACAAACGCCAACUUAAACCCCUACUGUCGUCUCUCUUCACCUAGCGCGAGUCGUCUUCCCCAUGAUAGCUCCUUCCAAGUCAACAGAACACGAAUCCACCACGGCUAAAGCUCACUAAACCAGAAAAUCAACGAACAAAGCUCUACACACCAAACCAUCAAGACAGUAAGCAUGCAUACGUACUCAACAAUCAAGCAACGGGGCCACCACCAACGGUUUCCUCUAGUCAUCGAGCUGCUCUUGCUCAGUAAAAACCAAGAGGAGAUCCCCCACACAUCCACAACCGAGACUCUCUCCAAACCAUAACGCGAAUAAAUUCUUCUCGUCGUCGACGACGCGACCAUAUCCCAUCAUCUUCAUAGAAAGCGACUUUCAGCCACCAAGCAACCACUUGUCUCCAUCGCUAAUCACUCGAGGCUCCCGUUGGUGGCCACACCCCAAACGCCAAGGGCAACCGCAGGGAUAUGCCAAGGCCCGAAGCAAAGCGACCCAGAAAAAAUCGGUAGAAAUGAAUUUUGACCUAAAACGUACUCGCUAAUCACAAGAGAGGUUACAGCGUCACACAUGUUCACGUGCUCCUUUCGACAACUCAAAAGUUGAGAUUAAACCGAACGGAUUUGGUUCAGGUAUUUCAUCGAACAUUUGAACCGCACUAGCUAAAAGGGGGAAAAACCGACCAACUCGCGCCGGGACUCGCAAUAAUCAACAAGCGGUGACCCAAAAUAGCGGCGCACAGACGAACGGGGCCGGUGCUCGUGGGAACCGGACAGCGAAGAAGCCUGGUCUGGCAAGCCCAAAACGGCGCAAAACAAGGCACAAACGGGGGGUCGGCCGAGGGUCCCUACCCGGCUCGGCCACGGCGAAUGGAGGCGAGCUUGAUAGAUCGGACCACGUCCGGUCGCCUCGCACGCCCCCGAGCCGGGAUCCUCGAAAAACGGCUCGUCCCGUGAAAAAUCGAAGAAAGAAAGGAAACGUACGUGACCUACCGGAGAGUUGGCGCGGGGAAUGGGAGCCGCGGGUUCGAGAGCGCGGUCGGGAGUCGUUAGACGGGGUCAGGCGUGGCCGGACUGCUGGAGGACUCCUCGCUAUCAAACUCUCUCCCUCGGCUGCUCUCACGAUCUCUCCACCUCCGAAUCUCUCUCCCUCUCUCUCUCUCUUCCCCCGUCUUUUAAGCUCGCGGCAGGCGCGAAUGGCUCUGCCACCGCCAAGUCGCCUUGCCGGCCUGCCCCCGACCAAACAUCCCGCUCGACGCCCCCUCCGCUGCUCUGUUGCCUCUGCUGAUCCGUACGUCUUCCUUUUUGCAGAUGAGGCGUGAGGGAGAAGGAGGAACGAAGAGCUCAGCGGGCCGGGCCAAGAACAAGGGGAAAUGGGCUGGCCCCCGUGGGAAAAGAAGAAAAGGCCGAACCGGUGUGCCCCGGCCCAGUCUCACGUUUUUUAAAUGAUAAUUUCUUUUUUAGAAAACGUUAAAAAAUAGUAAUUUUUUUAAAAUUUUAAUACUAGUAAUUCAAAUGCUCAUAAUACCUAAAUGUGAUGCAAUUUAAUGGAAAUUAUUUUUGUAGGGGUUAAAAUUAAUUCAUAAUUUUCUAUACAAUUAAUGAAUAAUUAAACAAAUUGCUAAAAUUUAAGUGUCAGCAUUACUUUUUCAAUUUUUCCUUCAUCACAUUAAGGUACUUCAGUAACAAUUGUGAAACUAAACUAUACUUGUAUUCACAAAGAGGUGAAUCAUAUUCAUCCACUAGCAAAAUGAUUAGCAAUUUAUAGAAACAACACUUGGGCAAUGAAACCACUUCUACCCUUCCCUUUUUUCUUUUAGCUUUUAAAGAAGAUGCACUAACAGAAAAUAAUAGAGCUCUUACACAGAAUUUCAAACCUUCAGUGGCAGCUGUACACAAAUCGAGCAUGAACAUAAUUCUUCCUUUGUUUAUUUUUGUGAUGUUCAAGCAACUUUAGUACGAGUGGCACUUCUUGAAGAACUGCUCAAGGAGAGGUACGAAUGCCCUUUUGAUACCACUCAUAAAAAGGUUUUCAUGGGGUCUCUUCAAAUUUGUUCCCCUAAAUCCUCUUAUAUGUAAAGAUGAUUAGUCAUUGCGCUUGAGAAAGUAAAAAUUAAACGAGCAAUAAUAAAUAAGAACCAACUAAAUAAAUAAAUAGAUAAAGGUGGAAAGAAAUAUAGAACCCGACCUUGGGUAAAAAUUCAUAAAGCCUUGUUAUUAAUACUUGGAAUAGGACAUUCGUGAGAUAUAAAUGGAAACUUAAUGUAAACUCUCCAAAAUAAACUACCACUAAAAAAAAAACAAAUAUUAUAUGAAUACUAAACGAGUUAUUUCCCUAAAUGAACUAUGAUAUAUGGAAAUAAGAAUCUAACUGAUGCUAUCGAAAUGUAAUGCAAUGCAAUCUGCUUCAGUUGCCCCAAAUGCAAUCCUAGAUGUAUUUUUCGAUGGAGAUGCAAUUUAUUCUUGUUUUUUCUUUUUGUGUAUAUUUUUUUUGUUCACAUUCCCUUUCAUUCCUUUAUUUAUAUUUUUUAAACACGAAAUUGAACUAAGAAAAUUAACCAACUGCUGAAAUAAAUAUGAGCUAAAAGUUUAUAUGCAUGAAUCAACACAUAUUUCCGCUCCAUCACCAUCAAUUUGAUCGUCUACCAUUUCCGAUCAGUAACAGUCGUUGUCACAUCUCCCUCGCUGGCUGCCACAGCCUCGGCCUUAACGGAGCAAAGCAUCUAACACCCAUCACCACCACCACCAAUCGAACUUCUCGCUCUCGUCUAAGGCAGUGGAGAUUCCUUUUAAGUUGAUAAAUUCACGCUCUGCUGGAGAAUUCAUUCACAAAAACAACCACAGCACGCUCUCUGAAGCUUGGUACGUGUACGAGGGCUGAGUAACCAAGCGAAGCAAGAACACAAUGCGGAGACUGAGAUGACGAUUCCUCUCUAGCAAUUUUUAGCUGGGUUUCUCGCGUUAUAUUCCUCGCCUAUUGAUAGGAAUUCCCGUUUGUGCGACACCUCACCGUUCAUGCUCACCGCCUGUUCGACGUUUUGCCUCGGAGAUGGCAAUGAUGAGUCAAUUGAUCAAUUUGAGAUUGCAUAGGAGUAGUUUGUAUGUUGUUGUUCGGUGUGCUGAUCAUAUAUUGCUAAUUGAUGCUUCAUCCUUUGAUGGUCUGCAGUUCUCCUUCCCUUGGUGCUUCCGUUUACUUGUUCUCGAUGAAUUAAAUACUGCUUUGAAGGCGUGGCUGAAUUGUCCUCUAAACUGAGAGCCUCUGGAUUUAUUUUUGAGCUUGAAGUGUUCAAAGUGCACGUAUCAUUAUCGUCCAGGUGUUAGUGAAGAGAAAUCCUCUAUAAUUGCAAAUUGUUCAUAUGUUGGAGUUGUAGCUUUUCUUCCGCAUACUAAUUGCUGCCCAAUUUUGGGCUUGGUUGAGACUCCACUCCGCAUGUGUUGGACUGUUGGAGUAUUGUUUGUGUCAUGCUUGCAAUAUAUGUGUAGGUACAUGGUGGUUUAUCUCGGUUGUCACCAUGAGCCUGCACUAUAUUCAUUUCAGGAUGUGCUAUUUGUUGAAUUUGUACACUCACCAUAUCAUAGGCUUGGUGAAUAUGUCUAUUCUUAUGGUACGUGGAUCAUUUAUUGGAUUUAUCGUUGUUCUUCAUGUUCAAAAAUAUGUUGAUCUCUUGGAUAUGAGUGUUGAACAAAAAUAAAUUGAUUUCUUGGCUAUGAAUACUGUGUAUGUGCAUAACAUGCUUUACGCAUUUAAGAUUGAUUUUUAAAAAGAUUCAUCUUUGAAGCGAUGGGCACUAUAAAUAACGAGGGUUCCAAUCCAAGCUGACAACAAAAAAAGUGCAAUGGGCUCAUGGCCUAAACAAUGACAAGAGAUAGAUCUAUGGGCUUUUGGUAUAUAUAUAUAUAUAAAGCACGUGUGUGGACUAAACCCAUUUCAAAGCAAGCCCAAAAGGCAGCAAAAACAUGGGGUCUAACGUGUUGGGUUUAAUGGGCGAGAUAAUUUCUUUGCUUAACAUUCCAUUGAAUAACUUAUCGGUGGGCCUAAAAGACCCCCAUUUCAAUAACUGAGCUCCAUUUAUAUUGUUCUAGAAUCAGUUUCAAAAAGUCAUAAAUUUUUUGUAUUUUUACUAUUUAAUUAUAAACAUUUCAAUUUUGACAAUUAAAUCCUAAACCUUGUCAUAACUUAUCAAUUAAUUCAAUAUGGUCAAUUUUGAUCGAAAUUUAUUAACAUGAUGCUAGUUAUCUUAUGUGGAGUGGUUAGCCUUAAGGCAAAUACUUUUUUUACAAUAAUUUAAUAUUUUUUCAAAUUAUCUAUCUAUUCAUUUUGUCUUUUCUUUUUAACGCUUCUUCUUCUUCCCUAGCCUCAAUGAUGGUCAACGAUUAGCCAGAGUUAAGGCUUGGCGAGGUCGACCUUUUCAACCAUUGGCAAGCCUCGCCAUUGCUAGGAGAGGUAGGGCCUUGCCGUGCCAAGCUAAGGCUCAGACCUCGUAGCCUCGCUUAGGGCGAGACCAAGACUUGGUGACUAGUUAAAGGCUAUGUAGCACCGACACGCGACACGACAUGAGUGUCCGACACGACACGAUACAUCGACACGUCAUUUCUAAAAAAUAGAGAAUUCUGACACAUUACGACACGUUGUAUAUUAAAUGAAUAUUAAUGGACCUAGACUUAGAACCAGGGAAGGAGAGUAAAUUUCAUGCAAGUAUGCAUCCCACAUGGGGUGAACAACUCCUGUUCAAGCCCUUCAGGGACAACCUUUUAGCAGAAAACCAUUUAGCCCUUUAGUUCAAAGCCUAGAGACACUUAGAGAUGCCAGGAUGGAAACGUUUCUAACCUACUCAAGCUGCAUUUCUUGGAGGAUUCUACCAGGCUGGAGAAGAACAAGAAUUUAGAAAGCCAUGGAGAGUUUUUCACAAAGCACACACUUUACUUCAAGGGACUCUGCCCAAAACGAUACACCCUCCUUACCUUAUAUAGGCAAUAAGAGGUCACCAAGACGCACACAGGGACCUUACUCACCGGUCCAGAUACAAACAGAGGCAUCGGAAACUUCCGGGAGGGAAUUAUUCACACACUAUGAACAGUAACUAUACUGUGAAUAGUACUUUCCUUAACCUAGUGCUACAGUAAAAGUGAACAGUGAUUUUGCUACAGUGAAAUUGUACUGACUCAACGGUCUCGUUCGUCAUGAGCAUUGUACUACAAACUGAGUCUUCCGAACUAUCUUCUUGGAGAUGUGCUUCGUAUUUUUGUUCAAGGGCUUCAAGGUCUUCAGGUGAGAGGAUUUGGUUCAACCUUCGUGAUGAGGAUGCCUCUUCAUGAGCCCAAUGUGAUGCUUUUUCUUCAGCCCAGUUUGUGUGUUCAUUUUCUUGAGUGUCGGCAGGAAUUCUUGGCUGAGGCCAGUUGGAUGGCUGUGCAUAGAAAGAUGUGUCCGUGCUUUGGAAUUGUCCGUAGGGAUCUUGGGACAAAGGUCCUCCAAAGCGCGCAUAGGGGUCCUGGGUGGAUUGGACAAUGUCAUCUUCGCUUGUCAUUUCAUGCUCUUGGGACGAUGUAGCUUGUCUGUAUUGCUCGAGUGCUUCCUUAGCUUCUGGUGCUAGGUCAUAAUGAUCCCACGUAGUGGGUAUAUUAUGCCAAACAUCUUUGGGAAUGGUCUUGUUUUCCUAGCACAGGAUUCUCUAGAGUUCUCGAUAUUCGUGUUCACAGAGUCUAACAGAUCUUGGAUAAGAUUUGUGAAUUUGUGCUUCUCGGCUAUCCAAGUAAGGUUUAUAGGAUGUGGUUCCUAUUUCCUGUGGAGCAUCAAUGAUUCUUCCAUUGUUUGUGAAAAAUGCCAUGGACGUCGGAAAAACAAAAUGGUAUGGACUUCAAGAUUCGGUGUCAUGGUUCUCAGUUCCUUUUCCAAGAGUUGUUUCCAGUAAGUAGGAUGAUAGAACUAGUUAAGAAAGUCUAAGAGAUUCUUAUCACUUUCUUUUUCAACAUUUCUUCCAAGUAAGAAUAUCCUGGUGAGGUUGGUAAUAAACCUUAUGGUUGGAAUUUCAAUGGCUAUUAGGUACUUAUUGGUUAAGUACCACAAUAACGUCUUGAGCUGUUCAGGGAAAUAAUCUUCCUUCCAAAUAAGAGGAUAAAUGAAUGGAUAAUUUAUAUUUAACCUAAAAGGGUAAAGAAUCGAACCUCCAUUGAAUCUGAAUAUGUCUGUGUGGCCUUGCCACAUGAGAUUCUCCAAGUUCUCAGUAAGGGUGUCAUUUUGGAUUUGCUGAAUAAUCUCCUGGGGAUAUUUCCAGCUUUGCAAAUCUUUGAUCUUCUCAAUCUUGUAUUUCACUCCAUGAUUGAACAUAUGGAAAGCAGGCCUUUUGAUGUACAUGUUUAUUUCGGCUGGUGCUUUUGGCCUUGAUAAGAAGUCAGCAAGUACAUUCUUCUUUCCAGGAAUAUGUUUGGUUUCAAAUGAGUAUUUUGAAAACCAUUCAGCCCAUCGAAGUAGUUGGGAAUUUGGAAUAUGUUUAUGUUUAAACUUGGUCAUCUGAGGGAAAGAUGCCAUGUCUAAUUCCACCAGGAAGUGGUGGCCGAUGAGAUGAAACUCAAACUUUUUUAUUUCACUUUUUACUGCUAAGAUUUCUUUGAAAGUGGAAUGGUAAUGCAUUUCAGCUUAAGAAAAAUUUCCACUUUUAUGAGCACAGAGGUGUCUCUUACCAUCAAUUUCUUCAAAGAGAAUGGCUGCCAAGUAUUCGUCACUAGCGUCAGUUUGAAGAAUUAUUUUGCCUGUUGAUGGUAUUUGCAAUGGUGGGAGAUUCUGCAUAAUCUCCUUAAGUUCAGCGACUGCUUUGGUCUGGGCUUUUCCCCAAGGUGGGGAAUUCUUCUUCAGCAUGGAUUGCAAAGGAAUCAGAAACUUUGCAAUGUUUGGGACAAAAACCCUGAGAUAAUUAAUUAUCCCAAGAAAUUGCUGAACUUGUUUUGUUGUAAAGUUAUCUUGAGGAAACUUCAAUAAUUCUUGAGUGAUAUGUGGCCCUGGAUAGUAUGUACCUUUGUUAAGGUGCAUACCAAGAAAUUCGAUUUCUGUUUGGGCAAUAUUCAUCUUUCUUUGAGAAAGCAUGAUACCAUGUUUCUUCACGAUUUCUGCAAAUUGCUCAAGGAGUUGACAGUGUGACUGCUCAUCAGGACUGUAGAGCAGAAUGUCGUCAAUGUACACUGCUGCACUUGAUAAGAUUGGUUGGAAAAUGCGACAUGUGACCUUUUGGAAAAGGGAUGGUGCUACCUUUAAUCCAAAAGGAAGAACUUUUCACUGGAAGUGCUGGUUAGGGAUACAGAAUCCUGUUUUGGAUCUGUCUUCAGGAUGGAUGCCCAGUUGCCAAAAUCCGGCUUUGAGGUCGAAUUUGGAAUAGAUGUGGGCCUUGAUUAGACCACUAAAGAGAGAAUCUCUAGAUGGUAAGGGGAACUUAUCAUCUUGGAGAAAAAGAUUGAGAGGUUGAUAGUUGAUCACCAGUCUCAUUUUUCCUCUGUUUUGCUCGGCGCGCUUAUUGACAUGAAAGGCUUCACGGGCCCAUUGUGAAUCGGAUAUUUCAAUAAGGCCUUGUUGCAAUAGUUCUGAGCAUUCCCUUUGAGCUAAAGCCAGAUGUUCUAGCUUCAUUCCCAUGUGGCUCGCCUUGGUUGGGUUUAUAUCUUCAUUCUUCUUGAAAGGAAGGCGAAUAAAGAACUCUGGAUUUUCCCAUAAAGGAUGGGAACAUUUUUGAGCGAAUUCUGAAUGGGAUUCUGAACAAGAUUCUAGCAACUUUUGCAUAAUUGGAUCUAGUAGACUCAUAUGAAUGGAAAAGAGUCUGAAUGUCGACGAACUCGGAGAAUUGAUCUUUAUAUCUAAGACCUUUUCCAGGAAUGAUGUGAAGCUAAGAGAUUUGAGUCAUGAUGUCCCACCCAAUUAUCAGAUCUUUAUUGGGAAGGUUUGAUCCAAAGAUUUUUGUAGUUAUGGAGCACUGAGGGAAGAACUGGACAGUUACAGGAGUGGUUCUGACAUUUGUGGAGAAAGUAUCUCCUGAAGCAGAAUUGAAAUAUCGGAUGUAAGGAGUCCCGAAUUCUUCAAGAAGAACUUUGGUGUCUAAUAUUUAACAACUUGCUCCUGUGUCAAUGAGAGCAAUAACAAUGAUGGGUUUGGCAAACUUUGAAGUGAGGGUUUUUACAGGGAAAUAGGGACAGUGAGUUUGACUUGAAAAUAUGUCAAGGUUUGGUUCUGGGGAUGAUGAUGAUAUAUGGAAAAUAUUUUCAGAUUCUGAGUCUGACUCAGUCUCACUGGAAGUUUGAUAGGAGGGAAUGACACAAAGAGUUUGUUCAGAUGGUUCUUCAUCAACAGAGAAUAAGGAUUCAAUAUUAUCAUUUUCAAGAGAAAUACCUGUUUCAUUCUCAAUGUGAUGAAUUAGAUGAUUCUGACAUUUUCUCGCUUAAGGACAGUUUUUGGCAAAAUGUCUUUUCUGAUUGCAAAUGUAGCAACGGUUUGAUUUUUUAUGGCCUGUGCGAUCCUUCCUUUUGCGUAGGUAUCACCAUUUCUUCUUUUUCUGGAAAUGCUUGGAGCCAUGUUUGGAUUUCUUUAUCCAAAACUUCUUGUAAUGUUUCUUCUUCCAGGAAUACUUGCCACAAGUACCAUCACAGUCUUUCUUGGAGCAUUUGAUUUUUAAUUUCUAGCGAGAACAAGCUGAUUCAAGACGCUUGUCGUCUGUGAUGUAAGUACGGACCAUCUGGCGCUUUAAGCACAAUUCUUCGAGACAUAAAUGAACUUCUUGCUGUAUUUCUCCCAAGGGAACAUCUUGUAUUCUUCUUUGUUUUCCAAAGAAAGAUCUUUCAACCAUCUGGGAUAGUUCUUUAGGGAUGGAAGUAAGGAAAACAUGCUUCAAAUUUGGAUUUGCUCCGACUUGGUAAAAAAGCUGAAGCAUUAUUCGAUAAUGCUUAUCAAGAUGCUUUUCCUGGAGAGAGCAGCAUCUUCUCUCGAAAAACUGUCUUCUUUUUAUUUCUAUGAGAUUAGUGGGUUUUCCCACAAAAACAUGAUAUAAGAGAGUGAUGGCAUGGCUGAAAUUAGGUGACAUCAGAAAAUGAAUCUGGUCUUGUUCUGAAAUUAAUUGCCACCAGAGUUUGAGGCUUCCUGUGAAUCUUGUAACAAAGUUGUACAUGACAUCAUUCAUAUCAUGGUUAGUGAUAGACUGAGUAUUCAGCCAAGUAUGAAAUUCUUCAAGCCUUUCUAGCCAUUUGUGAUAAGGAAUAUCAUGAAUGGUGAAGAAUUGUUUUGAUGCUAUAGACACAUGCUGAGCAGGAUUGCUUGUCUGACCAAUUUCUGGGUCAGAAUAGUUUGAUUCCAUUUCAUCAUCCGGGGGGUCAGCCAUGAAUAUUGAUGAAGUUACUGGUGCAAUGGGAAGGGAAUCAACUGCAGGAAUUGAGAAGGAUGAAGAAGAUGAGAGGGAUACUGAAUCUGAUUCAGUAUCAUGAGAAGUUUGCUCUACUGGGAGCAGAAUCUGUUUUUCUGGAAUGACAGGAUCAGGCUGUUGGAUAACAGGUUCAGGUUCCUGAGUUCCUAAAUCCUUUAGAAAAGAUUCUAAUGGAUUUGAUAGCAUCAUGUGAUCUGGCAUUUCUCUUAUAACAAUGGAACUUGAUUCUGUGGGCGGUAUUUUUUCUUUCCCUUUUUUCCUUCUGUAGGGCCUUGAGGCGAUUUCGUAUUUUUGCCAUAUCUGGUUCUCUUCUGUAGGGAUCUUCUGGAAUAGUGGCGAAAAUAGACGUCUGCGGUGGUGGAGGUAAAUACUCGGUUUUAACAGGAGGUGCCAAUGGAUCAAACGGUCUGAACCUUCCUUCUUCAAGAAAUUGGAUUUGCCUCUUGAGCUUCUCUAUUUCUGGUUUUGGGCUUUCAAGAUAAUGGUACCCAAGAUGUUGUCCUAAUUCCAAAGCGUGAAGCCUUUUCUGGAAUUCAAAAAGUAUCUUUUUGGUACUUUCAUCAUACCUUCGGAGAUCUUGUUGCACAUUUCCAAUUUUGGAAUCAAUUGCCUUGAAGGCAUUGUUUUGUGCCAACAGAGUUUUUGACUGCCAAUUUAGAACAGCUUCAGCAGCAGGGGUUUUUUUUUUUUCUGUCUCCCAUGUUCAUCCACAUCAGUGGGAGUAGGGAUUUUAGGAACAUGGCGGUAUCUGCCAUGGGGAUCAAUAAACUCUUCUGCAGCAGGGAACGAGAGUUUAGAACUUUACUUGACAAGAGGAGGAAAGUCGGUAUCCUGGAACAUGGCAAUAGAAGAAGUGGGUGGUGCUUCUUCUGGAACUUCAAGGGGGUAAGAGUGCUUCUUAGCCCAUUUGAGGAUUGGCUUAUAAAAUGGGGAGAGAGCUUGCCUUUUCUGGGGAGGAGAUGGUGGUGGUGUUUUUGGUGGAUCUGGUAAGGCUUGGGAUGUAGUAUUGACCUCUGGCGGUGGAGGUGGUGCAUAAGAAACCAUGAACGGGUAUUUGUCACAUUCACCGAGAGUAUCAACGGAGGAAUCUCUGUCUAAGUAUCUUUGGUACAUCUUAUCCUUUGGCCUUUUCCUUCGAGGUGGAGGUCUUGCAAAAGGGUCUACCUCAUCAGUAGAAUUUAUACAGGAGGAACAUUGGCAGAAGGGAUCCUAAAAACAAUGACUAUAAUUGUCUUUAUAGUAAUGAACAGGAUGUCCAUCACCAUCGAAGUGUCAAACAUGUUUUUUUGGAUCUGGCUCGAAAAAAAAUUCAGGAACACAUGGUUCGAUCAUGAAGAGGGUAUGGAAGAUAGAAGGACUUUCUUCCUUUUCCUUGCCAAAUUUGAUGGAAACAGUUCCAUCUUUUUUUCAUACGAACUCUGAGUCCGUAGACUGGAAAGGCUUGUUAUGCUGGUGUAGCUUUUCGUAGUUGGUGAUCCAAGUCUCUGGAAGGAGUUUGGCCAACGUAUCCUUCGGGAUCUGUUUGGGAACAUGGGUGCAAGACGCUUGAUCAUUCUGCAUGGAGAUGAACAAUGCAUCUUCAUUACCGUUGUUGAAGUUGAGGUCAAGUGCAUGGUUCUGCACUCGAUAAACCAUUUGGUAAUGUAGUGUUGCAGCCAUAGAGUCAGCAGUUUGAGGGGCUCCGGUAAGUUGGACUUGGACUUUUAAUAAAGAAAGUAACUGAGGAUCUGAAAGAGCGAUGUUGAAAUUUGGAUAUAAAGUCACAAAGACUGUUCCGGCAUUCAAAGUAGUUUGAACAGUUCCAAUGCAAGCAUGCUGGUAUUGUAAAAAUCUGGUAUCUAACAACGCGAUUCUUGCCACGACUGGCAAACCUUUACGACCAUGGAAAGUGAGAGCAAGACGAACAGCUCCAUAAUGGACAUGAGAAUAUCCCUGUUGAACCCAUUGUCUGGGAAAUUCGGGAGGGAUCUGGAGAGUAACAAAGUACUCCUUUUCAGUAGCAAGAAUAGGAUGCUGGUCGAAUUUGGAGGACUGGACGUACUCCUUUACUUGCUUUGGGGUUUGGUGAAUAAGCUGGUGGAUGGAGCGGAUGGGUGAAAAUGACGAGUUUGGUUUGGCAAAAGCUGAAUAAGGGUUCAUGAGGGGGAGUUGGGUUUCAGAAAUCUUGGUUUCAUCGCUAAGAGAGACUUCAUAAAGAUAAUCUAUCUUAGAAGCAUUAGAAACACGAAAUUCUAGAGGUGUUGAAGAUGAAGAAGAGGAAGCAAGAGAAACUGGUGCUUCGAGGAUUUCUGGUUCUGUAGACAUGAUGAAAAAAGAUCUUCUCAGCACUGGAUUCACCUAACAAGCGCAUGGAAUGGAUAAUUAAAAAAAGAGCCUAUAAUAAAUUUAUACUAAUAAUAUUAACAAAUCAAUUCAUUUGAAAUUCGAAAGAUAUAUUCAUAAUUAAUGCGAAACAUUUUUUUAAUUUUAACAAAAGUUAUCGAUGAAACUGAAAAUUAAUAAGAAAUUAGAAUCAAUUUAUUUAAAUAAAUCCAUGAUUUUCUACAAUAACCAAAAUUUAUCAUUAUUCAAAAUUUUAUAUUUUUAUUUUUCAAAAUCAUUUUUUAAUUUCAUUUAUUUAAUUUUCCGGUUAAAAAAACAAUCCCUAAAAUCCACCCCUUCUUUCGUUCGUCCUUUUCCCUCCAUCCCCACGUUUAUUUUACUUUUUUCCCUCCCCCCACUUGAUAGUGACAGGUGAGCUGUCACUUCCCCCCCCCCUCCCCCCCACUCCUCUCUCUCACGCGAUCAGACCUCCUUUCUUUUUUUUGUUUGUAAUUUCCUUAUGAAAAACCCUAGCGAGCCACCGAGUCCUCCUUUUCCUAUCCUCCUUGCCGCGCUGCACGACCCCCUUCCCUCCUCUCCUCUUCCUCUUGUUGCCGAUCCAUCACAACAGUGGCGGCCCUCACCUCUCUCUGGCUGUCUCUCGCCGUCACGGUGGUCCGUUCGUGGCUUUGUCUCGCCGGCGGGAGUUUGCCUUCUCUCUUCUUUCUCUCUGUUCGGCUCUUUCUCUAGCUGUCUCUCGCCGUCGCAGUGGUCCGUUCGUGGCUUCGUCUCGUCGGCGCUCGCAGCCUCUGCUCCGUCUCGCCGGCGCUCGCGACCUCUGCUCCUCGCCCUCCCUCGCCUCCACCCUCCAUCAGUCUUCCAGACACGCGUUGACACGCGUGUCGAUAAAAGUUGACGGCGUGUCAGAAAAUCUGACAUGCGUUGACCGUGUGUCCGACCGUGUCCGAGCGUGUCGACGUGUCCGACACGCUCCGACAUGUGUCAGACACGACACGGAAGCACGUACAACGUGUCCAUGCUUCAUAGGUUAAAGGAGGAAGAAGAAUGGAAGAAAAGAAAAUAUCAAAAUAUUAUUAACAAUUAUCUACAUUAGUGCCAGCCCCAUUGUGUAGGAUAGCCGACAUUUAUGUUAGCGAUUUCUUACCAAAGUUGACCAAAUUGACUUAUUGGCAAAAAGUGAAAAAAUUUAAAAUUAAAUAGACAAAAAUGCAAAAGAUUUAUAAAUAUUUCGAACAAUUUUUCCCAUUUAUUUUCUCCUCUUAGAACUUACGUCUAAAGAAGCACAUGCUACGAUUCUCUCAUUCUUAUGUGCAGCUUGCCCUACAGAAAAAGUACACUAAUAAGAAAAGGUACUCCUUUGUUUUUUGGCUACACUUAUUUUGAACAUCGGUCGACCUCGGUUAAACCUGCAAUUUUAGAAUAAGUUGUCUCUCCUUUGCUUUGUUCAUGACCAUUACUUUUUAGUAAAAUUUCCUUAAAGCUUUUGAGAAAGGGGGAAAAAACUCAAUUUUGCCUCUCGUCCUUGACCUAAAGACUAAAGUGCAGCUUCGUGCCCACCUAACGGCGCAUGAAACAUAAAAUAGUGGGGACUGAGACUUGCCUCACCGUGACCUCACAAUAAGAAAGCAUGUUCGCUUGCACUUCAAAGGAAUAAAAAUCUUCUGCAUCCAAUGGGUCGUACGUAAGAGACGGGAGCUUCAUUAUAAAAAUAUCUCACAAACUAUAAAACAAAAUAAAAUAAAGAAAAUAGAAGAAAUGUGCAGCUAUAAACCUUAAAUUAUACUCACUGCGACACUAAUACCAUAAUAUAUCUUUCUGCCAUAAAAAAUCUCGAAUUUGUAUAUGUAUGAUACAUAUACGUUCCCUCACGAUUCUAUCUAGACUUCCGUUAAAAAUCCAACGUGAAUCCAAAGUGGCAUUAUUGAUAUUUUAGAGGAAAAGUGGCACCACCUGGACACGACAUGAAAAAAAAAAGAUUAAAAGGAAAAUGGAGAACUGAAAAAGCUAAUUAAAAAAAAAAAAUCAGACAUGAGGAAAGAAAGAGAGAGAUUGCACAUGGUCCGGGGGUGUUUAAGGAGUGGCCCAACCGUUCUGACUUUACUGGCGUGAGCCAUCGACCUUGGCAGGGCCAUCAAUAAGGGUUAACCAGUGCUUGCGUGAAUACCCUUAACACACAUUGUCCAUAUCAAACAACGCCAUUCAAAUAUACGUUGAAAAAUUUUGUUAGCAUUAUAGUCUUUGGAUAUUAUGAGAAUAAUAGUUUGUUGUGAGUCACAAAUUCUUAAAAGAAUUAGCCCUAUAACAAUUUAUAAUUAUUUGGUAUUUGAUUUUUUUAUGGUCUUAGAAUAUAUUGCCAUUCUAACAAUCGAUUAAAGACCGUUACACAAUCAAUUUUCAUGAACAUAUGUAUACUAUCUAUUUUAGUUCCAUCUCGGGUGCAUAUAUGUCUCAUCAGUAUAAGUUAAGGGAUUUUUUAAUACAAAAAAAAAAGGUUAUUUACAUCAAUAUGGGUAAGUUUAUGGUCUUUAGUGACAUGAAAAAAUGUUCAAAGUAUUUAUGUCAUAAUAAAUAUAAUUUGUUAUUUUGCGGUUUUAACCUUUUUUUGUAUAUUUUCAGGGUCUCAAAGGUGCGCGGAAACAUAUAAGAACUCUUGAAUGGAAAUGGAAAAGAGAUGUAACUCCAGUUCUUGGUGUAUUGAUCUUUUUUGGAAAGGGAGUGUGUGUGAGUUGUUUAUUUCAAGAAUUGGCUGGACAUGCAAAUAUUUUCAUUUUAAAAUGAACAAUUGCCUUUUAAAAUGAAACAUAAUUAUUGCAAUCUAAAGUGCAAUGCAACUUUAAGAGAGCAAAUCAAUUUGUGAAGGUGCAUUAUUCCUAAAACACAUUCAUAAAUAUAUUUUAUUUUAAUUUUUUUAAGAUACAAAAUUAAACUAAGAAAGUUCACUAAGUGUGGAAAUAAAUAUGAACUAAACCUCAUAUGCUUGAAUCAACCUAUAAUCCAUACGCAUAGUAAUUUGGACCCCAAAUCACAUUUGCAACGUGACUUGUGCAUUUAUGAAAAUUCGCACUGAUAAACCAUUGAUGUAAAUUUAGGACUUUUCAAAUUUAGACUUCCCAAAAAGAUGAGGAUAGAGCAAGCUAGUGAUGAGCAUGAUUUCAGAAUAAAAAUGGGAACCGAAUAAUUGGACCAGUUCUAGGUGUUGGGGGAGACUCAAUCCGAUCCCCGUUUCCAAUUCUUAGGAACCUGUAUUAUGCAGUUCGAUGCCCAAUUUCUGGGAGAAUUGAACCGGGAAUUAGACUAGGAGCUCGAAAUCGAGACUAUUAAUCCACAAUGACACCUGCAGAUAUCCUCGUGGUUUAGUGCUUUACGACAAUGUGUCUCUUUGAGAGGGAGUUGAAUGCAUGGUUUGAAGAGAAGUGAAUACUCCCAGCAUUAAUAAAUAUAUGCAGCAUUAAUAGUGUGGCUUACACGAAAGAGCCCAGAACAUCCGUUAUAGUUGUAGGUAAACUUUUUUUUUUUCUAGAAGAUAUGUGGGGAAAACGAUGGUGGAAACAAAAUAGGGCGUUGAUCGCAAGAAAAGAAUCAAUGUUGAUAAGAGUAUUUGCAUCUAUGAGUAAUUUUAUACAAUACUAAAGAUCUUAAGGCUUUGAACCAGCUUUGAGUAUUGACAGAUAUGAUGGAUUCUCCUUCAAAUUCUCUCCUUUUUCUCUCUUUCUGUACUAGCCGACAAAUGGUAAGGGGAAAUGACGACCCUGACUUUUUCUUUGUUACAAGAGAUUUAAUGAGAGACUAGUAUGGUUUCUAUGUAAACUCUAGAACUAAUCCUGAAACUUGUGAUAAGAUGAGUUUUAAGGUAUUUAGGGUAUUUUUCAAGUUCCACAAAAUGAUAAAUCAAUUCCCAUGAGUAGAUUUCUUGCGGAAUCUUCCUAAGAGCUUGAAACCACUUGCCCUUUGAUGCACGGAAAAGUGACAAAAAUAAAUAUAGAACAACGGAGAGAAUUGAAGCAAAGAUAAGAUCAUCAUGAAUUAAACAAGCACGCAACAUGACCGCAUGCUGCGAACAAGUGUUGGAAGAGAGCCGGGAUGCAUAAUGUGGCAAAACAUGGCCGAGUUCCUACGAUCCAUACAUAGAUCGAACGGAAAGCGUUCAGCACACAAUCGCAAGUUCAGGCACGCGAUCCAAGCCAAUACGAUGAGGAAUCAACAUGGGUUUAUUCAAACAUGCAACUGCAUCGAUUACGAAUAAGUAUGAUGGAAAUAGAAAACAAAGCAAAAAGGCAGGGCAACAAGGCAUAAAGGAUUUGAUAAUUUAAACAUUAUUGCGGACACAAAAAUGAUUGCACCGUACUCAAUGGCUACCGAAAGCCCGCUUAAUCGAUUCGCACGAGAGGAAUCUUCCCUUUGGGACCGUGAGUUGCUCGAUGCUUGCCUUGGGGCGAUGAUUACGAGGACUGGAGGUGGGCCCCACAAUAAACGCACGUUGGCUGCUUUCGGUUUCCUCUCCGUGAUAAGAGCAUGUUUGUUAACCAUUUAAGUAGCAUCUGAUUCUAAUUUUUUUAUUCUCGGGAAUAAAAUUUUAUUUUUUUAUUCUUGAAAGUAGAUUUGGAACAGAAUCAAGAAUAAUAAUAAAAAAAAGGUUGAUUCUUGUUCCGGGAACAAAUCUAAAAAUCAAGACCAUUUCUCUUUUCUCUUCUUCUUCUUCUUCUUCUUCUUCUUCUUCUUCUUCUUCUUCUUCUUCUUCUUCUUCUUCCCUUUUUUUCUUCUUCAUCUAUUGCUAUCCAUUGCUGGCAACCGGUUUGGUGAGCUCGCCAGAGGCAAGCCUAGCCACCGACAAGGCUAGACUAGCCUUGCGAUCUAACAAGGCCAAGUCUCGACAGGGCUGGGUGAGGCUCAACCGAUGAGGAUCGGCCUCAUCGAGGGCCGCCGACACUCUAAUGAGGUUGCUGGCCCUCAUUUGGUCAAUUGUCGAACCGGCAACCGGCCACUUGAAGAAGAAGAACAGGAGAGAGAAAGGAAAAAAAGAAAAGAAAAAUAGGAAAAAAAGAAAAAUAUAUAUAUUUAAAAAUUAAAAGAAAAUGAUUUGGAGUAGAAAUUUUGAGCACAAUAUCAAACGUAAUUCUAUUUCAGAAUCAGAAAUUUUGGAUAGUUACCAAACGGCUUAAAAUGCUUAAAAAUUGUUCACGGGAACAGAAUAAAAAAGAAUAAUUUCUUAUCAUAACUUUUUAUUAGGAAUAGAAUCGUUACCAAACGCGUCCUAAGUAUUGUCUAGUUGUUGUUGGUUGCCGCAACUCUUGUUGUCGUGGUGCACAGUUCGGUUACUUUUUGUUUUAAUUUGAAGUUUCUUAUGAUUAAAAUAUUAAGGAAAAAAACCGCCACAAACCCUAAAUUAUGAUUAUUGUAAUACAUUUAUCUCAAACUUUUUUUACCAAAAAAUCAGCCUACGAUACAAGCCAGGCAAAACGAAAAUAGAAUUUGUGGCAAGUAUGCCAUUCCACAUGCACGACCCUCCCUUAAUCUUGGAGUAGGGACUGUUUGUUAGUCGCUAAAUUCAUCUUCAUUAGCUUAUAUCAUAGGAUAGUAGAAUUCUGAUACAUAGGUUCCAUAUUGUGGCAAGUGUAGAACAUACCACCAGAAUUGAUUAGAACAUUGCUAAUUUUAAAGAAUCAUACCAGGUAUAAAAGAAGAGAGAAUAGAGGUUUUUAAGGAUUCAUAACAAAUCACAUGAUAUUAUUUCUAGAGAGGGCGUGUUCUACCAUUAUCGUUUACAUACAUCACCUUAUAUAGGCAUAAGACAACAUACUAGAAUCUUACAGACUCCGUUUGGCCAACAAAAGCCAAUUAUUUGCAUCUGUCGAACUUUUUACAACUAGAUUGACUUCUCCACUCAUUAUCCCGCUUCUUUUUUCUUUUGCUAUAGUAUUACAGUACUAUGAACAAUGCCAAACAAUGCUUGAACAAUGCCAAACAGUACAUGAGCAAUAUGCUCCAAUACUUUGGGUCAAAUUUUUUGUCUCCUUCAUAUGAUUCCUUUGCCUCUUUUGUUUUGUCAUGAAUAGGUCUCUGAUAGAAUCUUCUUUUCCUUCACUUAUUAUGCAUAUGGAUAGGCUCUUCAAUACUAUUGUUCAAGUCCAAGUCUUCUCCAUCCUUUUGUCUUCGAUAUUCCUUGAUGAUUAGUACUUGAAUCAUCUAGAGACUAGUAUGAGCUAGAAGAAACAUCAUGAAGAUUAGGAGUGCUUUUUUUGGACACUACUACCUAAGUACUUUGAGGAGCUUCUCUACUUCUUCGAUUGCUAGAGAAACUUCAAUAUUUAAUUCAUACUGCCUUUGUCUCUUGGAUGAUUGAUGAGAGCUUAUUGAAGCAUCAAAGGAACUUGCCCAGAUGCUUGAUUGGGGUAAAUACCCAAACUGAAGUGAUGGACUUUCUUUGUCAAGACCUCGUUUGAGCGCAAGCCACAAUUCGCCAUGAUCAAAAGGAUCUUGUGACAGUGGUCCUUAUCAUUAGUCUUGUGAUGAUGAUGAAGUUGGAUCUUGUGAAUUUGUUGAUGACUCAGAAGUAUCUGAUACAUCAAUCGCGUAGUAUCUACCUAAGCAACAUUGAUUGCUGGAUGAGUUACACAAUUACAAUGAUCUCAAGAAACACAAUCAUCUUCUAUUGGCCAUGCUUCUGGCAGAAUGAUUUGAUCGCGCUAGCACAAUAUACUCUGCAACUCCCGAUAUUGUCGAGGAUAAGCUAAGAUUCUACAUGGGAAUGAUGAUAAAAUCUCAUUUGGAACAGGUUGGGGCUUAUAUGUGGAUGCUCCAACAUCUGUUAGAGUUUUACAUAUAUCUCUACUAGAUCAGACAAAUACCCAUGGUCUAAAAAAUAAAACGAUCGUGCAAAGUUCUAGGUCAAACCUGCAUACUUUGAGUUGGGCCCAGGAAAUCUCUUUCCAUUCACUCUAUAGUUUGAACCAAGCAUUUCCCCAAAAUAUUUAUACUUGGCUUCCCCUUAAAUAAUUUUGCUAAUAAUAAGAGACUUCUUAGUUUUUGGAAACUCAAUGACAAUUGUAUUAAAAUUAAACAAAUACCAAUAAAACCAUUUGAGCCUUAGCGAUGGCUAACAACCAAUGAGAUUAACCUCGCAGGCCUUUGGCAAAGCUUGCCUCUUGCUUUCCACUAGCAAGGCUCAACCUCACUGCCUCGAGGAGAGGUCGGGCUUUACUAUGCUUGAGCAAGGCUCAAACCUCGCAGCCUUGCCAAGGGCACGCAAGGCUUGUCAAUCCUUUCCUUCGGCCGGUCAUCGGUUAUCACUAAGGCCUACAACUGGCUAGAGGAGGAAAAAUAAGGGAAGAAAAGGAAAAGAAAAAAUAGAAUAAAUCAAAAAAUUCAUUGAAAAUUAUCCACGUUAACGCCAGUCUUGCCAGCUUUGCUGCAUAAGACGGCCAAUAUCAAUAUCAGUAAUUUUUGGUCAAAAUUGAACCGACCAACUCAAUUGGUAAAAAAUGAAAAUAUUUAAAAUCAACUGGUAAAAUUGAAAUAUCUAUAACUGAAUUGACAAAUGUACAAGAAUUUUAUGACUUUUUGGAUUUUUUUCUCCUUUUUUUUCCUUCUCUUCCAAGAACUUACGUCCAAAGAAGCACUUGCAACAAUUCUCUCAUUCUUAUGUGCAGCUUUCCCUACAAGAAAAUUUCAUGGAUAGGAAAAGGCACUCCUUUGUUUUUUGGCUAUACUUAGAUUGAACAUCGGCCGACCUCGAUUAAACCUUAAAUUUUAGAAAAAGCUGUCUCCUCUUUUGUUUCGUUUAUGACCCUUACUUUUUAAAAAAAUUUCCUUAAAGCUUUUCAGGAAGGGGGAAAAACUCAAUUUGCUUCCUGGCCUCGACCUGGGGGGUCGCAUCAGGCCUACAUAACGGGGCAUGAAACAGAAAGUAGUGGAGACUGAGAUUUGCCUGAGAGCAUGUUCGCAUGCACUUCAAAGGAAUAAGAAUCUUUCGCAUACGAUGGGUCGUAGGUCAGAGACGGAGUUUGAUUACUAAAAAAAUCUCGCACACUAAAAAAUUAAGGAAAAAAAUAUGCCUCUAUAAAUGUUAAAUUAUAUUCACUACAACACUAAUGCCCUAAACUUUCUUUAUGUCACAAAAAAUCUCAAAUUUAUAUAUAUAUACACCUUCCAUCACGAUUCUGUUCAAGAUCUACGUUAAAAAUCUGACGUGGAUCCAAAGUGGCAUUGUUAAUAUUUUUUUAGAAAAAGUGGCGCAAUGCAAACAUCACAUGAGAAAAAGAUUAAAAGGAAAAUGGAGAACUAAAAAUGCUAAUAAAAAAAAAAAAAUCGGACCGAGAAAAGAAAGAGAGAGAUGUACAUGAUCUGAGGUGUUUAAGGGAUGCCCUGGCCAUUCUGACUUUGUUGGAGUGAGUCGUCAACCCCGGUGGGGCGUUGGUAAGGUUUAGCCAAUGCUCGUGUGGAUACCCUUAACACACAAUUACAAAUACAUUAUCCAGAUCAAACAAUGCCACUUAAGUCUGCGUCCUAAACCCAUGUAUACUCUCUCUUUCAGUUCCAUCUAGAAUAUAUUUAUCACAUUAGUAUAGGUCCAAGGAUUUUUAUAACAUUAAAAAAAAAAAUUUGAGGUAUUCAUGUCAUAAUUGACAAGUUUAAGGUUUCAGUGACGCAAAGAAAAAAUUCAAGGCAUUUACGUUAUAAUAAGCACACUUUGUGAUUUUUUAUAAAAUUAACCCUUGUUUUUAUAUGCAAACGAUAUCAUUAACAUCAUAUCAUAAAUAUUUGGUGCUUGAUAUGAAACUUCCCGAACUCUGUCAUGUUUUUCAAUCAUCCCUUCUUACGUACAUCCUCACUUUAAAAAAGCAAAAAUUAUUGACGAGUGGACCAAAGCACACUGUAGAUAGCCAUUAUAACAAGAGGCCCCCAACCGGUGGAAUUCACAAUUUUUUCCAAGUAGUGCAGGAUUGAAGCGAUAGCAUCAGUCCCUGGUUUGCUCAGUUCUUGCUAAGGUACGUGCAAGCACCUUGUUCGACUCUUCGACUUAUUAUAUUACAUCUCGCUAAAUUCCAUCUUCGAUUACCUUGAUCUCACGCUUGGAUCAUAUAAUCUUCCCAAUCUAUUGUGAUUAAAAAUAAUAAUGUUUCUUUUCUAAUAACGUACCAUCUUUUUUUAAAAUUAACACCUUUUUUUUUCUUUUUGUGGUAUGAACGAUGCUUCGAAAGAUGUUUGCAGGUUCACCGCUGGCGUUGAACUACAGGAGGAUUUUCCUGAUGGGGAGCAAUAACUGUCCACAAGGUUGUUCGGGUUUCCCAUACUUCCCUCCUCCAUCAGCACGACAUCGCUGCAUGCGGGGACACUUCGAGGUGGAUCAGCGUCAGCGUAGUCAUCAGUGUCGUCGUCGUAGCCGUCGGUGUUAUUACUAAAAAUCGUCGUGGUCCCGGGAACAGAACCGCCACUCCACCGAAAUUGAUAUGGAAGCUUAAUAUUCCAAAAAUAACGUCAGUGCCGCAGUUACCGCAACCGGGGCGGACGCAGUUGUCAUCGCGGCUGAUGCCGCGAUGACGACCUCAUCACAGCAAUUGCCGCUGGGGGAGGCUAAUGCGGCGACGACGACCUCAUCGCAGCAGUUGCCGCCGGCGGAGGUUGAUGUGGUGACAACGCCAUCAUCGCCGAAGUGCCCGCUGACGCUGCAGCGAAUGCCGCCAUCAUCACUGCAGCCAUCGUCGUCAUUGUCGUCGUCGCGGUCAUUGUCACCGAAGUUGUCGCCACAGCAGCUGCUGUCGUGUUGUUCAUACGGUGAUCAAAUGAUAGAAUUACCGUGGGUGGUAAUUGAAUGAUGCAUAAUGAUAGAUCGUCUGCUCUAUCACAUAAUUCGAUGCAAUAUAUAAUUUUUGUUAUUGGAGGAAAUAAUGUUUGUGUUGGAGGGUUUAUUGAAUUCGGCAAUUUUAUGGUCCAUCGAGAAAUCUCGUAUCAUAACAAAUUAUGCCUUUCUGAAUUUUCUCGUAACUCCUAUGAAAAAGCUGCAAUACACGAAAUCUUGAAGGUUUUACAAUCAACGGACGAGAUUUAUUUUUUCUUUAUCCAACGGUCAUAAGUAGUUACGUAUCCGUUCUCCAGGGUUAUUCGGAACACCCUUUAUAAAAAGGUAAGAAAAGAAUUUAAAAAAAAAAAAAGAAAAAGCCCAAAACAACUUUACAUCUCCACCUUGUGCAGGAAAACGACGGCAAUUGUCUUGGUGACCUCCCGACUUCCGAGGGCAAAUUACAUUGGCAAGGAAAUUGACGGAUUACCAAGGGUGCGUUAGUCACCGCCGGUGAAUGAGAAAAAGAAAGGAGAAAUUGCUUGUAUCUUAAAUUGUUUCCAAGAACUUUUUUUUUAUUUCUUAUUUCUAUUUUAAAUCUAUACCAAAUGCAUAUCUUUUCUAUUUCUAUUGCAAGAAACAAAUAAAUAAAAAAAACACUUGUUCUCGGGAACAUUACCAAACACACUAUGAGUGGUUCCUCUUGCGAUGAGGUAUCUACACUUAGCAUGGCCCUUUCAAGCCUUGUCAAUCACAAUUGGAUUUUUCAAUUCAAUUAUACAAUUAUCUUGAAGACGCCACUAACUUAUUAUGGGUCAAUUGGCAAUUCAAGUAGGAUGCAGAAGUACAUUUCGCUCCUGUGAACUAGAGAUUCAGAAGUUGAUUUAAUUGCGCCAGAUCUUUCAGUAUGACAACAGUUUACAUGUGAACUUCACCAAUUUUUAUUCCUUAAAUCCUCUAAACAUAUAAAAAGUGACUAUGCAUAGUCAGUCAAGUUAUAAAAAUAAACAAGCAAGCACUUCUAGUAAAAAGCUAAUAAAAUAAAUAAAUGACAGGAAAAAUAAAGGACACGAGUCGUAACGGGCAAAAUCAAACAAAACCUUGUUAUUAAGGCCUGGGACAAAACCCCGUGAGCUAUAAAUGUAAAUUCGGUAUAAACUCUUCAAGAGAUGCCUGAUGCUCAAAAAGGAAAGUGAAUGUAUGAUGUGUCAUGACCAUCUACUAAAUAAACUACAUUCCUAAAAUGAAUUGUUGCAUGUGAAAAUUAAAUCUAAAAAAUGCAAUAUAAAGUGCAUGAGAUAUUAAGAAAACAAAUGUAUUUGUGAAUGUGCAUGGUACCUUAAAUGCACCCCUCUCAAAAUACUUUUUAAAUUUUUUUAAAAGUUUAAGAUAAAAAGAAAAAUUAACUAAGUGUCGAAAUAAAUAUGAACUAUGUCUUUUUAUGCUUGAAUCAACCUAUAUUCCAUAUUUACAUAGUAACUUGGACACCGAAAUCACAAAUAAAAAUUGUCAACGUCAAUGCCGGUGGUGUCACAUAAAAGGAUUAGCGUUCAUGUCAACAUCAAUCGGUCAAUUUUGGUUAGAUUGACUAAAUCAACACAAAUGCAAAAAGGUAUAAAAAUGUUUAUAAUUGAAUUGGUACAAUUAUAAUAAGUUUGGGACUUUUUUGGUAAUUUUACUGACCAAAAGCUGCCACCACAAAUGGAGGAUGGAAGAGAGCCAUUAUAAUGAGAGGCCAUCUACUCAAAAUUCACACUCCUUUGCUGGUUGUGUAAGAAUUAUACCAAUAACACCACUCGCCUCGGUUCUUCUUGAUAAGUUACAAGCUCCUUGUUUAUGCUAUAUCCUACUCCAUUUCAUUUUCAGUCUUCUCCUUCUCGCACUCGGGUCAUAUAAUCUUCUCCAUUUAUAUGAUCAAAAAAGUGUUUCUUUUCUUAUAAAGUACCCUCCCUUUUAAGAACUACUUUUCUUGUGUGAAUUGAUGCUUCAAAAUAUGUCUGUAAACUAAUCGCUUGCAUUGAACUACGCAGGGUUUUCUUGAUGGAGAACAAUAACUGUCCACAAAAUUGUCCAUGUUGUCCAUGUUGCCCGUACUUCUCGCCUUCGUCUGAUGACAAAAUUUCAUGGUGGGAUACUCCGGGAUGGGUCAUCGUCGGCAUCGUAGUUGUUGCCGUUGUAUUAUGUGGUUUCCUUUUCUACUUUAAUCGUGGUCCUAAGGACACAGAGGGCAGUCUCUCGGAUGAACCACAAAUCUCCGUCGGUACAGGCGUUGUGAACAUUUCGAUUCCGUUGUCAUUAGGGCUCUUCUCCAAAGGAUAAUAAUCUGCAAGCUUCUGGGCAUGUUUCUGUGUGAAACUUAGAUGAUGUAUAGUGACAGAUCACCUAUUCUAGUAUCCAACAUUGGAGAGUUGAUGCAAUAAAUAAUUGUCACGCCCCAAUUCUUGAGCGCGCGCACAUCCCUCUGCGGUUGAUACAAAUGCGACGUUCUCAAGAUGCGUCGCCGACCCAUUCAUUUUUAAGCACAUGCGGAAGCGAAACAAUAAACCCCUAACAACAAACAAUAUAGGAUAGGAAAGCAGGGCAAUAUUUCACAAAAGCCAACUUUUAUAAACAAUUGGGUUUAGGUAUAAAAUAAGUCUAGUCAAAAGUCUACAAAAAGAUCGACUCUCAAAAGGAAGCUGUCCUACAACCUACUCGUCAAACACAAACGCCGAUCUUCCAGACUCCACCUCCACAAAAUCAGCAAGUUCACCCCCUAAACCCCUAUAGGAAGGAAAUACACCCAAGGGCAGCCUAGCCACACAACAUAAAAGACUUACCUCGUCUCAAUUUCUUCCUGCACAUUAGUACAAUUCAUAUCACAAUUGCAUAUAAUUAAUACACAACAAUUGAAACACCUCAUUCAACUCAAUGAACCACAGGGGUCCCGAUUAUAAGGCCAAACUGUUAUGACGCGUCCCAUACAAUGUCACACAAUUUUGUCUCAUAAUCAGGCGCAUCUAACUCAACCAAUCAUGCAUUCCAAUUGUUAAUUUCACCACUCUAAGGUACAACCUACUUGAAGUUUGGUGAUCUACUAGCGUAACCAGGCAUCGUCUCUUCCCCCAUUGAGCACGGCUAUGUCUCUCAAAGAUGGCUUUCUCAAAAGAGCAUGGGUCCAAAAUCUACUGCGACCCGAAACCCAAGGAGUGGGUAACCCAUAUUGGGUAAUGUCCAUCUGACUCAAUUCAGGAAUGGGUUCUCUUAACCAACACACGACCAUUCAAUCUCGGCCUAGGACACCAUGCAUUGUACUCAAAUGCCUCAAUUAAAAUAGUGAUCUUGGUCUAUUUUCUUCGUAUUAAAAACACAUGGAAAAUAGUCGUAUGUGGAUACACGGUCAAUUCAAACCUUAAAAGUGAUAUCUCUCAUUUUUUAACUCAACUAUUUGAUAUAGUACUUAAAAUCUAUUUUCAGUGUCAAAACCCGACACCCGGGAUUUUCUGAACAAAUAUCAUAUUUUCACAAUCAUCACUCAAUUUGCACAAUCCAACAAUCAAUUGUAUAAUCUGAACACCAAUGCAAUCAGCAUGAAAUUCCGAUCACUGACUAUCCCGGUCUAAUUUCCGGAAAAUAAUAAAUAAUUAGAUAUAUUCCGAAAAUAAAUAAAUAAAUAGUAUAUUAUAUUAAUUUAAUUUAAUAAAAUAAUAUUUAUAAAUUCGAAAUAAUAAUUAAUUUAAAACAAUUAAUUAAGGCGUAAUCAAGAUUACACUAAUUUAAUCACCUAAUUAGCAUUAAUUAAUUAUCCACCAAACUAAUCACAUCCCUUAAUCUAAUUAACAAUUAACUAAGCUAAUCUAACCACCUAACCAUACUUAGCUUAAUCUAAACACACCUUAAACAUAAUUAAUCUCCUAAGCGGGGUUUAGUGAGUAAACUCACCAGUUUAACGUUCCAGUGGGUCCACAGUGACGACGACGCCAAGGCGAGCGACAAUCCUCCUAGCGACGACACCAACCAAGGCUGAGAAGGGCUCGAAAACGGGUCACGAAGUCUGAAGACCCUUGCUUGUUUGGUUUCUGUUCUUGGCUGAACUGGGAGAGAGAAUCAGCGGCUAAAACGGCGAGGAAGGGCUAAUCCGAGCUCCGGUGAGUUGGUGGCUAGCAACCAGAGACACUCGGAGGUCAAGGGAGACUUGUUGGUGGUUGGAAUGGGUAGAGGAAGGAUCGGAAGGGGUGGAAAUUCGCAAAAAUCGGGAAACAAUGCAAGUGGGCAGACUCCAAGUGAUCCAGCGAGCGACAGCUUCAAGCCGACAGACGAGACGGCCGGUGGAUCGUUUCGGCGAGUAGUGAGGUGCUCCUGUAUGGUUUGGAUGUGCUGAAGAUGAUGGUGGGUGGCAUGUGAGCUGGUUCACAUGGGAAUGUAACUUUUAACUCGGAUCUUUGGGGAAAGAUCAGUUGGAGCAGAAACUGGGAGAAGAGAAAAUAAGGGAGGAAAGGGGUCCGGCGGUGGCUCCGAUGGCCUAGGUGGUGUGCAACGGGCAAGGGGAGGGUGCUGCUGGCUUUCCUCUAGUUUCUCAAGCUCUCUCAAAACCUCAACAAUGGAAAAAGUGAAGUCAAAUGAGGAAGAAGAAGGGCUGCUAGUUAAGGGGGGGCCACCAAAAUAUCUUAAUCCCUCAAGUGGCUGCCCCACCACCUUGGCUAGCAUCAUCAGCCAAGUUGUAGCCCCUUGGCUUCUGAAACAAGCCUCCCAAGUGGUCCAAAAGGUUGAGGGACAUUGAGGCUACGAAUAUGAAACAUGUUCCUCUCCAAUUCCAUUCCAUCCUCUUCAAUUUUCAUCCAAUUGAACUCAAAUCAAAGCCUAUAAAUUCAUCCAAGGUGUCCUCACUUAAAUCCACAUUUUUCCUCGUCCAUUCGUUCAACUCAAAUCCCAAAAACGCGACCAAAAAAGUCCUCGGAUUUUUCCGAUCCAAAAUACCCUUACUUUGAAAAUUCAUUGAAAAUCUUGAUUUGUAGAAAAAUCUUCAAAGGAUGAGCCAAUGUUCCUAAAAUGAAUUGUGACAUUAUAGAAUGGGUUUAAAUUCGCGGUUAAUUUCAAUCUAGCUCAAUUUUAGCGUGUCCUAAUCUACUAAGUAACUUUCAAGAAUUUUUAGUGCAUUUGACCUGUAGUCGGUUAUUUUCGAGCCACAAUAUACAUCUUUGACACAUUGGUGACUUUUGGUUGUCGUGGAAUCUCGAUAUUUCAGAUACGGAUAGAAGGUACAAAAAAAAAAAAAAAACAGAAUUGUGACAUCCUAAUUUUUAGGUUCUGAUUUCGAUUGAAUAAGUUGGGCAUUUCGUCAAUGCGAGUAUAAUGUUUUUCUUUGAGAUGACUACUCAUAAGAUAACUGAUCUAUCAGGUUAAGCCACUAAGGGAUUCUAAUGCAAUAAACUUGAGAAUUCGAUUAAGAAUCGACUGCUCGACCGUGCUAGUUUGCAAGGGUCUCUAUGGUACAAUUAAGAAUUGAUCAGAGACCGGAGAUAGGUUGAUUCGACUGAGAUAGUGAUCAAAGUGUGGGUGAUUCCACCUGAUUGCAAAAUUAUCGUCGAUCGGCACUAGACUAAUUUUCUUUCAUUUUAGGUAUCCUGUGUUCGUAUUUGAAAUCUCAAGAUUUUUACGACCACCAAGAGUCGCCAAUGUGUUGAAGAGGUAUAUGUGACUUGAAAAAAAUUGACCACGGGUCAAUUGCACCAAAAUUUCUAAAGGCUACUCGGUAGGUUAGGUAAUGCUAAAAUCGCGUUUGAUUGAAACUAACUAUGAAUUUGAAUUCGAUUUCAAAAUUGAAAGUUCAGUUGUGUCAUGAGCCAUUCUAAGAACGUUAAUUCACCUUUUGAGGAAUUCCCGACAAGUUUGGGAUUUUUACGGAAAACCGAAUCAGAUGAUUUGGAAAACGAACAAAAAUUUAGAUUGGCCAAUUUGAAGGGAUUUUUGACAUAUGGUGUAAGUGAAUUGAUGAAAGGAAAUUUUGUGGGCUUUUUUCGUUGUCAAAUCAAACCUCAACCGGAGAAGUUUGUUCAGAAAAUUAGAUUUCGAGAAAAACGAAAUGAAAUUCAUAUUUGAAGGAAAUUCGUGAGAUAAAGAGACCGUCUUAUCUUGGUCUUCAUUUAAACUUCACAUUGUGCAAUUGGUGAAGAAAUUGGCCGUGGCACCCCCCCCCCCCCCCCCAAAACGGCCCCCGAUCCGUUAGGGUCGCCACAGUUACAUUCUCUUGUAGCAUAAUACUCUGAUACCAAAGAAAUUUUAACAUAACUUAUAAUACCUGGGGGUUUUCAUUUGUUUUCUUUACCGGUCCCUACGCAAAUAAUAUGGCGGAAGCAUAAUUCAACUACCCUUCAUCUCAAUAUAAAGUGAUGCACACCAUACUAAAACUUUCAUAAUUUAGGCCGAACACUUUUAUUUAUAUAAGGGAUGGACUAUGAUAGUUGGUACAACAAAACGCCGAGGUCUUUUUGUGCCUGGCGAUUACCCAAAAGAAAACCAACUUCUAUCCUUGGAUAUCAUCCGCAUCCAUCCAUCACCCAUGUGUCGGCAUCCCAAAAAUGCAUCCCCUGCUACCCUCGACUCUAGGUCAUAUCCAGUCAGGUCCGUUGGCCGGCGGUGGUGGUAGCACCCUCAGAAGGCGGCCAUCCAUACGGACGAGAACUGAUAUGUACUCCUGGUGAAUAGGCCCGACAGAGAGGCCUACAUCAAAAGUCAGCGAAAUCCUUACGCGCUCAAAUACCAACCCGUGCACCCCAUGAUGACGGUGCUCUGACCACUCCCACUGUAGGUCAAUUAGGAGUCCAUAAAACAUACCAGGAGUCGCAGGCAGCAGCGGCAUUUUUUCUUUUAGUCUGAAAUGUUAGUCCCCAAAAGGGGUGAGUACAACCACUCAGCGGUAAAAAGAUCCAUUACACUAUAUUAUGUAGAAACUCUAAUCAUCCAAAUGCAUGCAAAACACAUAUGUCAUUUUAUAUAUAUGCAUGCCAUCAAGGGUUUAUUUACUUGCACCACAUUCAUAAAAACAAUUCAAUGCCAUAACGAACGCAUUUUCAAUACCGGAUGAAGCCCACUCAAUUUCAUAAACAAAUUCUCACAUCAUGCCACAUGCACACACAUGCACUCCUUUAAUGUACCGGAUUUUUAGCAUUCAAAGAAAGAUUUCAUUCCCCGGGGACUAGUGUUUGCAUCCCUCCGGGCUUUCGCACCCAACCUGGCAUCGCGAGACCCUCCGGCACAAACCUCCGGGCAUCCAGAGCGUGUUCCGUCACACCCCUGGGCAUCUCGCACCCCACCUGGCAUCACGAGGUAUAUCCAGGGCUCGCCAUGAAAAUGGUUGCCCCUUCCCUCCGGAUUUAUGUACAAUCCCUACAACCGGGCAUCCCGAAACUCCCAAGGACCCUCCGGCACAAACCUCCGGGCAUCCAACGGCGUCGACUCACUCGACCCUUGGGCAUCCCGACACUCCCGGGGCAUCGUCGGCUCACACCUCCGACGGUAACAUUCACAUCAUGAUAUGCAUCUCAUUACAAAAAUACAUUUUGAUACAAUGACGUUAUGGAUUCCAUGGAUCUAUAAGACUUCAUCAAAUUUUCCAAUGUCAUGUGAUAUGCUAAAUAUCAAUACAUCUAUCAAGUGAAUAACAAAUAACAACUCAAGAUACAAUGAUUCUUAGAACAAAAUGAACAGUUUCAUAGUAAAACAGUGUAAAGGCCAGAAUGCACGCCUUCAAUAGAGAUUUCGAAAUGACCAGAAAAUGACCAUGAAAAAUUCUGAAAUUUUAACACGUUAUAAUUGAGAUCUAGACGAAAAAGUUUCAUUAAGGACACUAAGCCAGAUUCGUUAUGUAUAAUGAGUGGUAGUUCACACAACUCAGUUCAGUAUUCUUUUAUCACAGAAUAAAAAUUCAACAGAAGGCAUUGCAUAUUAAAAGAGGUUUAAGCCAUCGUAUUGAUUCUGAGAAGUUCUGAUAAAAAUAUAUACUCUAGCUCAUGCAAUUCCUCACAACUUCCGUGAAGAAAUCGAGAUCAAAUUAAUUUUAGAACUCUUCAUAAAAUUUCACAAAGUUACAGGGUUACACAUGAAAUUGCACUGGAUUAAGCGAAUCCCAUGAAAUCCCAUUCCAACCGUGACUAUCUUACUUCCACAAGUCUACUAAUAGUCGGUCUUUCAUCAAUACAUCAACAAGAUCAGAAUGUACACAAAACCAACGUAAUUCCUCAAUCUCAUGGUCCCGCUCUACUUCGAUUACCCACAAUUUAACAUUCUACUUUCAGAAUUCAAUUGUUUCCAAGUAUAUUGCGCCAUUCUAGACAAUAACAGCACCACAUUAUAUAGAUUCAUAGACUUUCACUUGCCUCGAUGUCCUACAAUUCCACAGCGUGUAGUGAGAUGGUGAGGAGUGCGCGGCUCGACGGCGGCAACGUGCACGCACGGCAAGGACUAAUUUCCUUCCUUCCCUUGCCGACUCACUCUCUCGCUGCUCACUCGCUACCUUCUCGUUCACUCUCUCUCGAUUACUCUCAGUUUCGCUCACUCUCUCAAUUUCCCACUUUCACGAGCACAAGACCACUGGUUUUGCUAAAACCAGUUAAACAAAAGAGAUGCAUGUUUCGGUGGUUGCAAAGGGAACGGACAGCUGGGAUGGACGUGUCUUCAGCAUGCCUCCCCUUGCAUUUUCGCUGGCUAUCCUUACGGCAGCAACGUGGCAUCAUCCAGCCAUGCUUCAGUCAACAUUUCUUCCAAUUAGUUGACUUAAUUGUCGACCAUUAAGGGGUCUUCGGAUUGUAUUGGGCUAGUAAGUUAGUGGACGUCCAGUCCCUCAAUAAAAAAGCCCAAUUAAAUAAAUAAAAACUAAUCCUUAAACUUGCACAAAUGUGGAGCAUUCUCGGUCCCAUGGUCUUGGUGUUUCGAUUUCUUUUCUUAUCUCAUGUGCACUCAAGUGGUAUAAUUGUGUCGAGUCAUCAAAGAAAUAUAUGUCGAUAAUCUAUUCAAUGAUCGGACUCUUAAUAAACAUGAGAUAUCGAUCCGUCGAUGGAAUCAAACAAUGCUCAUGCUAAAUACUAAUAAUGCCAUUCAACGAUACUUUUAUUGAUCAGUCACUGCCGUCGUACAUCACGGUUUACGAAAUUCUCGGGUGCCACAUUGGCCCUAGAAUAACCAAUUGUCAAUGUUGUUUUGAAGUCGAUCAAGAUUAAAAUUUUAGUUUUUAUGUUAUUCCUCUUUUUUUUUCCUUGGACCUGUGCCCUCCACACACACACACACACACACACCCCCUCUCGACCGACGUUACCCCCAUCUCAUGCACCCUCUCGCACGCGCGCGCGCGAACACCCCCACCCGCACGUUUUCCUCCUUUUCUCUCUCUUUUGGCCGACAACUUCUGUUUUCUUUUAUCCCUUAAACAGUGUUAUCCCAUGUUCAGUCUUCUGUUGGACCGCAUUGCCAAUUGCCUCCCCCUAAUUUCCCUUCGAUCUACUACUUUCAAUUCCCCUCUCCAACGGUUCUUCCCUGGCCCACCAACAUCGCCAAUCUCUCCCUUUUCUGGCCGCUUCUACUUUCCUUUUCAAUUUCCAUUUGUCACUCAUAGGUUUUCAGCUCCUCAGCUACCCCCACCUUCGAUUGUUGUCUCUGCUUUCAGCCCCACCGAACUUACUCGAGCCCCUUAGCAUUUUUGUCUUCGGUUACUGCCGCUUCACGUGCGGCUUCCCACCGAAUCACCAGCCGCACCCAAUAAACGCGGAGCUGCCCCACCAUACGUCCACCUUGGCCCAGCUCCAAGGCCCAAACGGCAGCCCCGUUCCAGCCAAAUCCAGCAACCAACUUGGCCCGAUUCCAGGCUGCUUCAGCCACGGCCCGCACCCCACCCGUGGUCGCCGACUCUACCCUCGAACCAUGCCCAAACCAGCCCGUUGCAGCUUGUUCAGCCCUUGAUCAAUGACCAAAACAGCAAGGGUUUGUGAACUUGGUAAGCCCAUUUUGGCCCAUUUCCGGCCCCAAAAGCUAGGCCCGCUUUGGAGAAGAUUGUUCCCCAUCGUGUCCCCGUCGAUUUGCACCGAUUGGAUCGCCAAACAAGUGAGUUCUACUCACUAAACCCCGCUUAGUAGGCUAAUGAUGCUUAGGGGUUGUUUAGAUUUAAUUAAGUGUGAUUAGGUGGAUAGAUUAGAGUAGAGCAAUUAAAUUAAUGCCUUGUCAAUGCACGUUAGGCAAAUGGUUAGUACAUUUAGUUAGUAGCGCUUUAUUAUUUAUUGAACGAACCUUAGAAUUUUUUCGAGUCCGUUUCGGCUUCCAAUUAGGCAUUAUGGGCCUAAAUUGGAUUUAUUGCUAUUUAUUUAAUAUUUUCGUAAUUAUUUAAUUACUUAUUUAUUUUUCGAAAAUUAGGCUGAGAUAAUCGACGACCGGAAUUUUAUGCUGAUUAUUUAAUUGAGCUCUAAUUUGUGCUGAAUUGAUUUAAUUGUGAUUUUAGGAUUUUAUUCCUAAAUUAAUUAAAUUUGGUAAUCAAUAGAAAAAUUACUGGGCAUUGGUCUAUAACGCCAAAAAUCUAUUUUUGGACUGUUGAAAGAAGUGAGAGAUUGAAAGUGAAAUUAUUAUAUUUUAGUUAAGGCCGAUCGUAUACCCACAUAUCACUAUUUUAUUGAGAAUGAUAAAAUGAUGGAAUUGGUUAUAUGAUUGGGAAAAUAUAUUAUAUCGGCCUACGGGUGAUAUGUUAGCUUAGCAGAGAGCAAUAUGCCGGUAUACUAUAUCAGCCUAUGGGUGAUAUGUCAGCUUAGCAGAGAGCAGUAUACCUUAUCAGUUUAUAUUGAAUAUGUCGGUAUACUAUAUUAGCCCAAGGGCGAUAUGGCAGCUUAGCAAAAAACAAUAUACCUUAUUAGCUUAGAUUGAGCAUUGUCGGUAUACUAUAUCAGCCUAAGAACGAUAUGGCAGCUUAGCAGAGAACAGUAUACUCGAUCAUCUCAAAAACGAGCUAUACUAUCUAUUUAUCAGCUUAGCAAUAAGCAGUCCUAAUAUGAGUGAACUUUAUAGAUAGUAUGAGGCGAGCCGACAAAAAAAGAAAAAAUGUCGUGAUGACAAAUAAUCGACUAAGUCGAUUGAUCAAUGAUUUAAUCUGAUGUUAUGAAUUGAGUGAUUGGUUGUUGUAAUUUGAGGCAUCUGUAAUUGAUAUUAAAUUGCAUAAUGGAACUGAGGCCAAGGUAAGUCCUCUAACUCGUGUUGUGUUUAGACAGCCCUUAGGGCGUAUUAGCUUCCUAAUCGGGUCUUAAGGGGUUGAACUUGCUGAGACAUUGUCUCACUGGUUAUUGCAUAACCAUUUUUAGGUUCGCAAAUGGUGACUCCCCUUGGGAGUCUUAGGCAUCCCCUGAGAAUAACCGAGCAAGUCUCUAUUUUCCCCGAUCCCAGAAGUGAUUGGACUUACGAGUUGGUUGCGAUCACAGUCUGGGUUGAAGAAGCCCCACACCAGGAGGUACCUGAUCAGUUCAGAGCCCGAUUCCACACCACUCCUUACGGUCUUAGGAUAGGUCCCAUUAGAAGUUUUGGUAUCCCUACUGAGGUGAUUGAUGCUGUCCAAGUUGAGGAUCCAGUAGACCCAUCUAAUGGUGUAUUAGAGGAACCACCGUCUCGCCCGAAUCUCGUGGAAUCUGAAGGUUCAACAAUCAGGUUUGAAUAGUUGGUCCUAGGACAACUAGUUUUGAGGAAUCGACUUUUUGGUAGACUUUGUAAAUAACAUAUAUUAAUGUAUAUAAAUUAUCCUGAUAUGUAAAAAGGUGUGUUGUGGUUUUCAAGAAAGUGUCGCCCUGCUUUUCUAUCCCAUUGAAUUGUUGUCUGGGGAUUAAUUAUCUGCCUCCGUAUGUGCAUUUAAAAAUGAAUGGAUCGGCAAUGCGUCCUAGGAUGUCACUAGUUAAUCGACCAUAGAGAGAUGGGCACGUACUUGGAGAAUCGGGGCGUGACAAAAUAAUCAGUCCAGUGUCAUUCGACGAGAAUUUUGCGAUCAAGUGGAAUCACUCACACACUGAUCACAUAUCUCGGUCGAAUCGACUUAUCUCUAACCUCUAAUCGAUUUUGAUAGUGUCGUAUUGACCCUUACAUAUUAGCACGGUCGAGUAGUUGGUUCCUGGUCGAACUCUCGAAUCUAUAGCGUUAAAAUUCCUUAACGGCUUCAACCGGAUGGAUCAGUUAACUCGUGAGUGGCCAACUCAGAGAAAAAUGCUAUAGGCGCGUCGAUGAAAAGCCCGACUCAUUCAAUUGAAAAUAGAAGUGGAAAAUCAGAAUGUCACAAUAAUUGUGUUUGAAGGAAAAAAAAAUAUAUGAUGAAGGGUUUAUUAAAUUUUUGUAGUUCUAUGGUCUUUCAAGAAAUGGAUCUUCAUAUUUAUUGCAACAUUUUCAGUGGUGAACCAUUAAAAGAAAACUAAUGAAUCACUAUGGGAUUGAGGAUCAGACCAACUGGUCCUAGGACCAAGAAUCGGACCAUCCAGUCCAAUCCAAUGGAACCAGCCACUUAGCAAAAAAAUUGGAAUUUUUUUUUUAAAUACUAGAGUUAUUACAAUUUUAGGGUUUAUUGCUAUUUCUAAGAAAUUUAAAAUAUUUUUUUUUAAAAGAAGAGUCGAUCCAAUCCCAUCCGAUUCCCCCUCAGAAUCAGUAAGCGGACUGAAAAUCGUCAAUAAAAAUGGAAUUGGAAACUGGACCAACGCCUUUAAGAACUGGAUCAACGUCCCUAGGAAUCGAAUUGAACCGAACCAGCCAGUAUGAUCCGAUUCAGGCAGUCCGAUAUGCUCACCCUUAAUUAAUAAUUUUUUGCAUUUUUAAAGUGAGGAUGUACAUGAAAGAGGCAUGCCUCACGGCAAAUCAACAUAACGAUAAUGUCAUUAACGUUAGAUCAUGAUUAUCUGCUACGUGAAUUGCAAGUUCCCAACUCUUUGUCAUGUUAUAAUGGCUAUCUAUAGUGUGCUUUGGUCCACUUAUCAAUAUGUUUUGCUUUUUCAAAGUGAGGAUGUACAUGAGAAAGGCAUGCCUCACCGAUCGGUGAUGUUGACUUGCCGUGAGGCAUGCUUUUCUUGCGGUAGGACUUUCAUCCAUCUCUUCUCACUCUAGAUGUGAGAGGCUACUUUAUCUGUCUAUCCUGUGAUAACCAGAAUUGUUCCACUCAUCAAUAAUUUUUGCUUUUUUAAAGUGAGGAUGUACGUGAGAAAGGCAUGCCUCACCAACCGGUUAUGUUGACUUGCCGUGAGGCAUGCCUUUCUUGUAGGAGGACUUUCAUCCAUCUCUUCUCACUCCAGAUGUGGAAGGCUACUUUACCUGUCUAUCCUACAAUAGCCAGGGUUGGAUAACCCUCACAUGAUGGCUACCUUUGCCAUUGAAUGGCCCUUAAUUCCUAGUCAAUUUGUUUCUUCCCAAUUGAGAGGGAAUACGGGAGCAAUACCGUGAGGUCUCGCACCCUUGUUUCUUUCCCUUGAGUCUUUUAAGGACUUGCUUAAAUCAUGAUCAUGAUUAUUUGGCAUGUGAAUUGAAAGUUCCCAGCUCUUUGUCAUGUUAUUUAAUCAUUCCUUCUUAAGUACAUCCUCACUUUAAAAAAAGCAAAAAUUAUUGAUGAUAUAUGAACAAAAGGUGAGGGCCCCGAAUUAAAGAGUUCCACACCCACACUCCCAUCAUUCAUUCUGGAGUCUUUGAUUAAAUGUGACUUGACUAUCAAGACGCCAACAAUAGGCACUGGGCCAGUGGCCACGGUCGGUUGGAGCAUCAUUGGAAGUUCUGGCAAAAUCCAAAAAGAAAUCAUGUAUUUAUGCGAAAGGUAUAAUCAUGAUAUGAAAUCGUGUAUUUAUGUGAAAGGUAUAGCCAUGAUAUGAAUCUUCAAUUUCGAAUGAGGUUGUCUUGGGACCCUUGGGAUUGUCUCGAUUUGGCCUUUAGGCUAACGAUUAUGGACAACUGGCAGCGAUGCUUGGCUAAGUUUGGUGACGCUGAUCCCUCAAAAAUGAUUCCAUAGGGAUUCAUAGUAUUGUCCAUAUUGUGCUUUUCUUUUUGUCGGCCAUUACUUUUGGCCACAGCGAUUCGCCUUAUUGUCUAUUUGAUGUGGAUCAGACAUAAACUCACACUUGUAUGCACAAUAGAAUUGAUUAAUUAGUUUUGUAUUUACUCUAUGUUUGAGAAUAUAUCGUUAAUGGACAGCUGUAAUUAGGAACUUCCACUAUGGUUGUAAUUGAUAAUAAACCUAUCUUAUUUGACCAUUUGGACUAAUGUGAGGCUUCUGUUAGUUAAUUUGACUCUUUUCAUGAAAUAAAUUUCACUUGAAUCUUUUGAGUGCUUGGUGUAAGCAUUUUCCUUAAAUUCAAAAACGAAAAACAAUGCUUAGAAUUCAAUAAUACAAACCAAUCUAUGGUCCACUGAAGAUUUUGCUUCUUCUUUUUUUCUUUCUAUUUAGCAUUAGUAAAUACAUUUUGAAGCAUUCCUUCGUUGAGUACACAUAUGAGAUAUAUAAAUAAAUAAAUAAAUGCUAUAUUUCACUUUUUGGGAUACAAAGAAGUAGUCAAUAAUUCUCAAAAGAGAAUAUCAUGUACCAAAUGGCAACGUUUGGCCUCAGUUUGAUAGACUCACAUGUGAGAGGAGUAUAUUUAGUGCACAUGUGAGGCGAGAAAUAAAGAAAGCCUCACAUUGGUUAUUUGAAGUGAAAAGGAAUGGAGCAAUUGUAGUACCCUAAUUUUCAAAAGGGGGUCAUGGUCAAUCAGAAAGAGCAGAUCAUGUGCACCAGUUAAAAUUGGAUGGCAUGAUGACAUGCUAAAUAAUUAGGAGUUAUCAACCACCACACCUCAAAAUUAUGUCCUAAAUUUCCAUAAAUGUAUCACAUUAAUUAGCUAAUUCAAGAUUUCACUAACAGUUGUGUUAAGAGAAAUGGACAUAUAUCUUUUUUAUUUAGGAGUUAACGGAAGCUAAAGGCAUUUCUUCUUUUGGUCCAUCAGCUUUGACAUCUACAAUGAAACCUCCCGAUUAGAGAUACCAUUGACAUUUCUUCUUUCUCAAAUUGGAUAGAUAAAAGGCAAAUGGAAACCCAAGUAAUCUGAAUGAACUAGUAAAUACUUCGCCAAUAAACGUGAUUGCAAGGGUUACGAAAUUGCCUAUUAACAUUCGAAUUCCUACCAAACAUAAGAUCGUCCAACAUCAAAGGUAAGAAAAGAGAUGAGCAUCUAUUGAUAUAUAUUCCAACUUCAGGAAAUGACCAAAAAUUAAGUUGAUCUAUAACCAUAGUAAAAGUAUGUAGUAUAUAAGUUCUUUUCAAUCCAUAACCAAAAGUCGAACAGUCAAACUAACGAGCUAAAUGCAUCUUUUCAAUCCACAGGGGAUCCAAGCUAGUCAACAUAACUUCUGAUCCUCCCAAGUUCCUGAAGCAUCCCAUCUCUUUUCCUCAAGAACACAACUGCCAUUGGAUCACUCUACAAGAAUCCAUUAAUCAAAGUUAAUUAACCUUUAAGCAAGCUCAAAUUUAGGGAGAAGAAUAUAGAGGAAACGCAAAAAAGCAAAAAUCUCUUGCAAUUGACUGUACUUUUUGAAAAUGUUAUGACUCAAUUGCACUUUCGCGAUAAGUUUUAGACCUUAUGGUGCAGUUAUUCUUUCAAUUGUUAGAUUUGUAACUACAAGCAUAUUACUUCUAAUUCAGCUCUUAAUCAUCAAAUUCAAAUUAUUGCACUAUUCCAUUUACAUUGCCAAAAUACAUAUGCAUGUAAUCUCCCUUUCCACAUAGACGUAUAGAUAUAGCUUUUAACACUUUUUGUUCCUACUGAUGCGGGCUUGUAAACUAAGCUGCGAGGACUCGACGGAUUGGCUCUAUUCCACAAAAUUGGCUUCUAUUCCUCUGCAAGCCCUUCGGUCUCUCCUUUGUUUAGAUUUCCCUUCCCAGGGACUCUUUAGACCAUGUUCAUAAUUUCAUUAAAAUUUUCUUUGUCCCAAAAAGGAAGAACUUCACCUUUUCUCUUGCCCUCAUAAAAUGAUCCACAUGAGUCAAUUCUUUCUUUUCUUUCUUGGGUCCGUCCAACUUGUCCAAAUCAAUAAUUGUGAGUGACCAUAGGACGAAGAAGAUAAGACAAAACAAUGGCAACAAUUAUGAGUGGUGUGUGUCCUGGAAACUAAGAUGUUAUUUUCAAUCCCUUCCCAUCUGAAAAGCACAGGCUUUGAUUGAUAAGCAACUCUUCACAUGCACCCGCCAUAGGAUUCCCCUUUCUCCCUCACAUAUAAUGUGGAAAGUGGCUAGUGUUUCUUUUUUUAAACUACGGUUCCUACGAUGACAAAGCAUAAUCGAAAGGGCCUAUGUAAUAAUUUCCUUAUUGCCAUGUCCGUUUAUUCAUACUCGUGUGCACGACUAAAUAAAUUUAUUUAUUAAUUACUCUGUAUUUGAAAAUACUACGACAAUAGAUGGUUCGUGGUUAGGAACUUCCACGGUCCUUGCAAUGGAUGGCUCACAUUUGAAAAUCCCUUUGUUGAUCGGAGGAGGUAUGGUAAUUCAUUUGUCAUAGCUAAAUUCGUCAACAGUUGAAGAAUUUAGCCGCCCUUGCCGAUGUUGAAAGAAGGCGGCCCUUGCUUGGGUGUUGCCCUCGCUAGCCUAGGGGAGGGCGACCUUUGCCUAGGUCGGGUGAGGACAGCCUUUACCAGAUCUGGCAAGGGCCGCCCUUGCCUGACACCGCCUAGGCCAGAUCUAGCAACCUCGCCUGACAUCGACAAGGACGGCCCUAGCCUGAGUCCAACUUCCCUCCACCAUGGUCAGCAAAGGGAAGAGAGAAGAAGAAAAAAGAAAAAAAAUUAAAAAGUAAAAGACAAAAAUGCCCUAUACUUUUGGGUAAAUAUGUCACGGAUAUAAGUUUAGGGUUUUUUAUGUCACGAAAAAAAGUUGGGUGUAAAUGUGUCAUAAAGAGUAAAGUUUAGGAUUUUUGGUGUCACAAAAAAAAAAUUAUGAUAAAUUUAUCACUCUGACCAAAGUUUGGGAUUUUUGGUAGCUUUUUCCCUAACGAUUAUGCAUUUAAUCCGAAGAGCUAUCAUAUGUGUAUACGAAAUUAUGUGCAAUCAUGUCAUCUAAUGCUUUUUUUUUUCCUAAUUUAAAUUUUUCUUGAUAGUGGAUAACUCUAUCUACUCUUUUGCUAAUAAUUACUUUCAUCAUUUUCUUAUAUUCACUUAUUUGCCAUCGUGGCUGCGGCCACCCAUCAUCGAACUCAUCGACGAUGCCAAGAUGCCCAUGUUGUCUGUGACGGCCCAAGUGACGGUGUGCAAGGAGGAGGGAUGGUGGUGCGUCCACGCCUCGGUCCCCGGACGUGCGCAAGGAAGGAGUCCUCUCCCUCUUGUCCCACAUCGCUUAGGGGGGGGGGGGGUUGUUUUCUCUUAAUAUUUUGUCAAUUACUUAAAUUAAUAUAAUCUCUCUUAUCAUAUACUUUUAUCUUUCUUUUAUUUUUCUUCUCUCACUUUUCAUUAUUUGUCAUACUUCUAUUCUUGAUUUAAUAUUUUAACCCAAUCCCCACAACAUGUUGUCUUAUGAAGUUGCCAAGCUGCCUGUAUCGUUCCGAGUUGUAGUCAAAGAAUAAAGUUACCGUAGGUAGAAAUUGAAUGAUGCACAAUGACGGAUCAUUUACUCUAUCAUAUAAUAUGCCAGAUUCGAUGCAGUAGAUAAUUUUUGUUAUUGCAGGAAAUAAUGUUUGCGUUGGAUGGUUUAUUGAAUUCGGCAGUUUUAUGUUCCAUUGAGAAAUCCAGCAUCACAACAAAUUAUGCCUCUUUGAAUUUCCUCGUAACUCCUAUAAGAUAGUUGUGAUACACAAAAUCUUGAAGCUUUUACAAUCGACGGACGAGAUUAUUUUUUCAUUUUCCAAUGGUCAUAAAGGGAUCACGUAGCCGUUCUCAAGGGUUAUUCGUAACACCCCUUAUAAAAAGGUGACAAAAGAAAAAUAAAAAUAAAAAGCCCUAACAACAUUACAUCUCCACCGUGUGCCGGAAAACCUUAGCAAUUGUUGUUGUGACCUCCUGAGGGCAAAUUAGAAUAGCAGGGAAGUUAAUGGAUUACUAAGUAAGUUCCCUUGAAGGAGGUGUCUAAACUUAGCAUGGCCCUUCCAAGUCCUAUCAAUUGCAAUUUGAUUUUUCAAUUAUACCUACACUUAGCAUAUAAAAUGAUCGGUAUCCAUGUCAGCGUCAACCAACCAAUUUUGGCUAAAUUGACUAGAUUGACAUAAAUGCAAAAAGGUUUAGGACUCAACUAACAAAAAAUACAUACAUACAUACAUAUAUAUAUAUAUAUAUGUAUAUAUAUACAAUUGAAUUGACACAAUUACAAUAAGUUUGAGACUUUUUUGGUAAUUUUCUAAAUCAAAAGCCGCCAUCAAUAAUGGAGGGUAGAAGAGAGCCAUUAUAAAGAGGGGCUACCUCAUGAAAAUUCUCACUCCUCUGCUGGUUGUGUAAGAAUUAUACCAAUAACACCACUCGCCCCGGUUCUUCUUGAUAAGGUACACGCAAGCACCUCUUUUGACUCUUCGGUUUAUGCUAUAUCCUACUUCAUUCCGUUUUCAAUCAUCUCCUUCACACACUCAGGCCAUGUAAUCUUCUCGGUUUAUGUGAUCAGAAAAGUGUUUCUUUUCUGAUAAAGUACCCUCCUUCUGAAGAACUUCUUUUCUUGUGUUGCCCGUACUUCCCCCCUUCGUCCGACGACAACAUUUCGUGGUGGGAUACUCCGAGAUGGGUCAUCGUCGGCAUCGUAGUUGUCGCCAUCGUAAUCUGUGGUUUCCUAUUAUACUUUCGUCGCGGUCCUAAGGACACAGAGGGCAAUCUCUCGGUAAAACCAGAAAUUACCUUUGGUAUAGACAGUUUUAACAUUUCGAUUCCGUUGUCGUUAGGGUCCUCCUCCAAAUGAUAAUAAUAAUCUGCGAGCUUCUGGACAUGUUUCUGUGUGAAACUCGAAUUAUGUAUAGUGACAGAUCGUCUAAUCUAGUAUCCAACAUUGGAGAUUUGAUGCGAUAAAUAAUUGUGUUGGAGGAAAAAAAAAAAUUGUGAUGAAGGGUUUAUUAAAAUUUCAGUAGUCUAUGGUCUGUCAAGAAACGGAUCUUUGGAUGUAUCGCAACAUUUUAAGAUGUGAACCAUUAAAAGAAAACAAAUGAAUCACUAAGAAACAUUUAGCGUAGACUCUCACAAGGUUAUACCAAUGGCAACUUUAAGAUUUUGAUUUAAUUAAUUAAACAUGCAAUUUAAUUCAUUCAAAAAUUAACACUAUGAAAGGGUGUAUGUUAAAAAUGUCAGGAUCAACCUUUAACGUCCAGCUAAACCCUCGUUCUGAACAUAAAACGGCCAAUAUCUACAUCAGCAACACUGAAACAUCGUUACUGUUAAUCACUGGGGAAGACACCGAGUUGGCUAAUGGGAUUCUCUUAACAUGGGCCCGUUGACCCCGCGAGAGAAGUCUACGUUGGGAUGCCUUUCCACGGUCACCAGAAAUUAAUAAACAUCCAAAGGGCGGUGCAACUUUAUGGAGUGGAUUGAAUCUCUAUUGGCUUUUAUAGUGGGGUCGCUGUGUGUCCUUGAUGCGUUUGUAGGUGAAAGGUGAAUGUGUGUGCUAAUGGAUGGGAGCUGAAUUUAACUUUGUAUACCUAAGCAAGAUAAUGCAUGCAUCUGCUAAAAUUUAUAAGUAUGUAGCACUUGCCCUCUUUCACUAGAGUCGUUGUCAUGAUUCAUUCAUGCACGUUUUAAAAAGAGGCGGCUAAAGAAGGGCUAAUUAACAUGCACUUUACUCUUCUUUCCUCAUACUGACUCUUAUUAUCUUAAUUAAAUGAGAUUUUGAAUUGGAUAAGGACUGGGAUACUCUCGUAAUAAAUAAAAAAAAGAGAUGGGCUUCUUCAAUGAUCGAAGCAAUCGAUGUGGCCUUGAGAGAAAUCGUCUCCAUUGGAGUAAAAGUAUGCUAUUUUUUGUGCAAUUCGGAUUAUGAAAUGAAUGAGUGGUUUAGUGUUUUUUCCUCUUUUUCUUUUGUUACUUGCACAAUAUAAAAUUUGUAAAUAGCUGAUAAAAGUAGUGAGAGUUUUAGGGGAAUAAUUGUCUAAUAAUUCAUUGACUUAUUGUAUGGCAACAAAUCCAAUCAUAAACUUUUUAACUUUAUUAAUUUAGUCCUAAACAUUUUGAUGAAUUACCAAUUUAGUCCUAAAUCUUUGGACUAUUGCCAACAUAUCCCUCUGGCUAAUUUUGAUUGGAAUCGCUGACCUAAUGGCCAUCGUCGAUCGUGCCACAUAAAAUGGUUGUUGUCUACAUCAGCAACUUUCGGCCAAAAUUGAUCAGAAUAAUUACAUCGACAAAUAGUCAAAAGAUUUAUAACUAAAUGGGAAAUAUUGAAAAGUUUAUUAUUGAAUUGAAAGUUGUACACUAGAAUUAGUACUUUUGACAAUUUUCCAACUUUUAGAUCUUGACAAAUCCGAGAUCUCUAACUGGACGUCAACUUAAUCUCCUAAAAUAGCAAUAAAACAAUGGCAACGCCUUGUAAACUCGGACUAAAUGAUGGCAUAGAAACUUUGAUGGUUACGGCAGAGAGCGAAAGUGAAGUCAAAACUCAAAGCUGCUGGAUUUGAAAUCCUUUAGGCCACAUUCAGAAAUCUCAUGGUUAGCCUAGCUUAACAAGCAGCCUCCUUAUCCCCUGCUUUUACAAGAUACUUCCACAUAUGUAUUUCGUAGAAUAAUUGUCAAUAUUUUCUCGCUUGAUUUAAAGGACGCAGGUGCUAAUAUAAGACUUUGUGUCGCUAGUUUUAUUAAAAGAACAAAAAACUCAUUAUACUGUAAAAAUCUGACAGCACCUUUGGCGAAAAUAUUUUAUUCUAAAGUUGGACCAAGAAUUUAGAUGAAGAAAAAGGAAAACAUUAAUCCAAAAGUCAAGGUGACUAAAACAGAUGUUAACCCUUCAUUGAAAUUAUGGAGGGUGGGGGGCAUCACCGCCGCCUGGAUACACCAAAUUCCGGCAACCGUGUGCGGUUUUCCGCUAUAAACAUUGAUUUUCAAGGAUUAUCGUGGAAGCAAUGGGGAACGAAAAGAAAAAGUUUUCCAAUCCAGUCUGACGACAAACUAAAUGCAUGGGCUCAUGGACCAAACAAGAAAAAGAAAUAUAGGUUGUCACGACCUAAAUUUUGGGUGCAUCACCUAAAAGUAGGUUAAUGGACUAUUUAGUUUUUAAACUUAGCUCGGGCUCUCCCAAGCCCAUACCAAUUCGUGACUUAAGGUUCAAAUAUUGACUAGGAGUCACCACUAAUCGGUUUAUGGUAGGUCGAUUAGACACCUAAGUAAAAUAAUGGGAGAAAUAUUUUACUCCUACGAACUAGAGACUAAGGGUACGGGAACUUGCUUACACUAGAAUUUUCUAAUGCCAUUUCGGUACCAUUUCUUUUAAUUUUCAAAAUAUUUUUGCAGGCAACUUGGAUUUAUUUUAACCUAAAUCACUAUUAUACAAAAAUGUGAUCACACAGAUGCUCAAGCAUUCAAUAAAUAAAUUGCAUCAUACAAAGCAAAUAUUUUUUUUGCGUUUUCUUGAAAAUUAGAAUUCUUUUAUAAAAAUGCAUUUCUUAACUAAAUGACUUAAUCUUAUUAAUAUGCAAAUUCUAAUUAAAUGGGCCUAUUAUGCAAACUAGUUAUUAUGCACCUCAUGACCUAACUUCACUAAUGAACAAAUUCUGAUUAAAUAAUCCUAUUACGCAAACUAGUUAACAUGUACCUAGUAUUUUUGGAUUUUUUUUAUUGAAAUUCAGAAUUUAUAAAUAUCCUAAUUAAUCUAUCUAAAAAGGGAUAAUUUUCUAAUUUAUUCUAGGGAUUAAUUCGACUUAAACCCUAUCUUAUCUUAGAAAACUAAUUUUUUUUUUUGGGAAAAAUGAGAUAAUUAAAAUGUGCGAACAUUAUCUAAAACCCUAAAAAAAUUAUUUAGGUCCAACCUAACUUAUUUCUAAAAAUGCAAUCCUAAGAAUGUAAUCCUAAAAAAGUUCUAAUUUACUAAACCCAGAUGUCUGAUUUACUAAACCUAUAUCCUCAUGUAGAAUUUUGAUUUUUUGAUUUUUUUUAAAUUUAUUUUAGUUUUUUUUAAAAGAUAAGUAAUCUUUAAAUAAAUCUUAAAUCUAAACUAUCAACAAAAUAAAUGAUUAAAAUAAUCAAAAAAUUAACCUGUUGUCUCACAGGUCAAAUUUACGAUUAUCCUAACCCUAAUUAUCACAACAAAGAGAUCAAAGUAAUUAAAAAUUUGAUCCGAAGUUUUACGGAUCAAAUUAAUAAUUAUAGUGAUUUAACAAUUAAAAUUCUACCAAAAAGCCCAAAAAUUAAUAUAAUUAAAAAAAUAAUCCGAAAUCUCUAGGAUUAAAUUAAUAAUUAUAAUAAUUCCGGACAAAAUCCUAGAGGAUAAUGCCUACAAAAUGCACAAAUAUUAACAUUGACAAACCAUACUCCAAUAAUAACGAAACUUAAAAUAAAUAAAGUAAAAUAAAAUAAAAAUAAUAAAAAUAAAAAUAAACCACCUAAGACUCAAUGCUUCCGCGCGAUGGUGCUGCUGGUGGAGCGGCUGUGACAUGAGCGAUCGAGUGGAGGGGUGGCUUGCUGAAUGGCGAGGGCACAGGAUUGCAGCGCUGUGGGGUCGGUGUAGGCACACGUGAGGAGCAAAUGCGCUGUGAUGAGCGACGCGGAGGCAGCGCGAGCUGCUGUGGAUUGCGUCGAAUGGAGUCGACAGUUGGCUGCUACGGUGUCACGGAAGGUGCUCCUAUGGUAUAGCAACGUCGGUGGUGCGAGUUCGCCGGAAGGAGGAUGGUGGCGAGUCAGGGGGGUGUCGACGUGGGUGACAUUGCUGCUUCAGGAUCUGCAGAUGGGAGCGUCGGACGAUGGUUGCAGUAGCACGGCAGCCUCUGGACAGUAGCAGCGACGCGGGCUCGCGGGCGAUGGAGGGUUCCGGCAGAGGUGACCAGUAGCCGCGAUGGGCGAGCAGGUCGCGGGCUACUGCAGGUCGUUGCGGCGAUGUCUGGCGUCUGCAGAGGCGUGUUCGAAGCAGGACUCAAACGAAGGCGUGGGUGCGGCAACGGCGUCGGGCACGGCGGUGGUGAAGCGGACGAGCGGAGGAAAAUUGGGGCGUUUAGCUGGGCUGAUUACAGACGGUGCAGGGGCAGCGGCGAGCACACGAACAGAAACGCUGGCAAGACGCAGUGAGGGCUGGUGGCUCAGCUGCCGGCGUUGGGUGGUGCUGGCACGGUGGUGGCGCGAAAAGGCCGGCGGCGAAGGAGCUCAGCCCCAGCAGCCUAGGCAGCAUGCCAGUAGCAAACAAAGGGAGGGGGCGUCAGGAGGCUUCCACAAAGAAGACAAUGAACAAUCCCUUUUUUUCUUUGUUUCCCUCUCUAUUGUACGUCACUUCUCCCUCUGCCCUCACAUCUUUUCUCUAUUUCCCUCUUUUCUUUUUUUCUUUUUUGACUUUGAAGAAAGAACAAAAGAAAAACAAAAAAUCCACAAAAGAUGAAAUUUUCUCUGUUCCUUCACGAAUUCUUCUCUCAAUUCGCCUCUAAAAUUUUUCAAAUUCACCUCCUUUUUUUUUUCGAAAAUUUUUGGUCUCCUUUUAUAGUGAUUCCGACCACUCUCCUAUGGCAAUUUUCGAGCUUCCUUUUUCCGUUGCCCUAAUUCAUGCAAAAUCUUUGAUUUUUCCUUGGAUAUUCCGAUUCAUUCCCUUUUAUCAAACUUCUUACUUUUUUAUUCAUCUAAUUUCUUUGAUUAAGAAUUUGCUUCCAUAUCAGAAUUUCCACAUUCCAUCCAUAAUCAAAUCAAAUUAAUCCUUUCCUUAUUUUCAUUUUUUUUCUUUUUAUUUGUUCAAAAUGCAAUUUUAUUUUUCCAAAAUUAGGUGUCAACAGCUGCCCCUCUUUGAAGGUGAGCUUGUAGAUGUUGCCUUCAAAGACAAAUUGAGACCUAAUUUUAAUUAUGCACAUGCACUAAAUAACUUUUUUAUUGGAAAAUGAAUUCCUUUUUGAAUGCAAUUUAUAUGCUGCAUGGAAAUGCUAAUGCAAAUGAUAAAGGAAAUUACCUGGAAUUACUUACCUUCGGGGAGAGUAACUCAAGAUAGAUUGGCGUUACAUGUCCAGGACCCGUACCAUUCUACGGUCGCCCAGAAUAGUAACAUAACUUCGCAAAGUGACUGUUUUAUUAGGACCCGUACCAUUCUACGGUCGCCUAAACUAAGAUUCAUUUUUAGGACCCGUACCAUUCUACGGUCGCCUGAUGAAUCUGGGAAAAUUCUUUGGGGGGGAACUCCAUCAAGUGCAAGUGCUUGAAAAGGAAUACCUGUACAUUGACAAGUAUUUAAGGUACUGAUAGAGAUAUACUUACCUGGUGGCAUCUCUGAUCCUUAAAGAUAUGUCUCACAAAUUUAUGAGGUGACUCUGGGCUACGGAAGCACACCACGUCGAAGAAGGGGAAGUUUGGGCUACGGAAGCACACCGAUUUGAUAGGGGGAUUUUGGGCUACAGAAGCACGCCAUAUCAUAUCAAGGGACAUCGAGCUAUGGAAGCACAACGGGUCAAUAAAUAGGACACCGGGCUACAAAAGUAUGCCGGAUCGAUGAAAGGAACUCUGGGCUACAAAAGCACGCCAGGUCAAUAUAAAUUACACCGGGUUACAAAAGCACGUCAAGUCGAUAUAAGGGACUCUGGGCUACGAAAGCACGCCAGGUCAAUAUAAAGGACACCGGGCUACGAAAGUACACUGGGUCAAUAUAAAGGACACCGGGCUAUGAAAGCACGCCGGGUCGAUGAAAGGGACUCUAGGCUACGAAAGCACGUUAGGUCAAUAUAAAAGACACUGGGCUACAAAAGCACGCUGGGUCGAUGAAAGGGACUCUGGGCUACAAAAGCACACCAGGUCAAUAUAGAAGACAGCUUGACCAAGUCAAGUGUUGAUGCACUUGGGAGAGAAUAUCUACACAAUGACAAGUAUUUAAAGUAUGGGUAUAGAUAUACUUACCUUGUGAUAUCUCUAAUUCUUGGGGAUAUGUCCUUUGGAACUUAGAUAUCUUGUGGAGGCCUCUCACCUCCUGAAUGUUAGAAGCUCUUAGGUCUUUGAGAAAACAUUACCUAUCAGACAUAAUUAGAGAAAAAAUGCAUUCACCAAAGAAAUAAGCAAUUAAUGCACACUUCAAAAUCCAUUGAAAUUUUAUCAAUUCAAUCGGGGUUCAUGCAUAAUAACAUUUGCAUUACCCAAAUUUCCACUAGAGAAUUACCGUUCAAGAUAAUUUUCACUCAUGACAUGGAUCUCUUAAGAAUACUAAAUGAGAGACUUUCGGUUAGAAAGGACUUUCACUCACUCUCAUUUAGAAGAGAAUCACUCCAUCUCACCAAAUCGACAGGGAUCUGAGUAUUCUCGCAAGCGACACGACCUUACCAAUCUUAGAGGUCUUCAACAGGGACCAUAUUGUGGGCUUGAUCAACGGCUUGACAAAUGGACUCUUUGAGUCAAGGCUAUUGAAAGAACAUCUUCACAAUUAUCUCCGGGUUUACAAGUCAAGAAUCCUACAAAAUGAUAAAGAAAUAAUCUUGCUCGCACUUCUUGAGCUAUGCUUAUAAACAUAUGAACCCCCUACGUUAAUUCAAGUGCCCUAAUCUGAAGACACUUUGUAAGGGAUGUAACAUAGGUUGGGUUCAUGGGUUGAGAAACGAAAGGAUCAUUAGGCUCAAAAUAUGUAUGAAGGGUCAAAGCCGAUGAUCAUCUAGGCAUUGUCACUGGUCUUCUCUUUCGGUAGGGAUACACCAUUGAUCUUGACUCUUUGAGUACUGCUCCAUUGAGAUACAACUUUUUGCAACUGAUAGUCACCUAUCAUGACUCUUUCAUUUUCAUUGGCACUACUUCUACUAGGCACAUCACUUUUUCAUGCCCCUAGUUUUCAUGCAUUUUUUUUAUUUCUUUUUCAUGGGCAUUGGCCUUGCUUUUACCAGGCACACUGCUUUAUGCUCCUUAGUUCUAUUUUGAUUUCAAUUCUUGCGCACAGUGCAUGCAUCAAGGAAUUACACUCUGAAUGACACUCGAACUUUCAAGAGUCUUCAUUUGCCUUUUGCCUUACCCUAGUGUAGGGGAUGAUCACCAACGGGGUUUAAAGAAAUGAAAUUGUAGGCUCAAGUGGGCUAUGCAAAUGGUAUAAGUAUGUAGGAUAGAGAAAGAAAUGCUCUUCGUCAUCCUAAGGCACUUAAGUUAACACAUGAAUUCAAUGGAAUAGCACGACUUAAAGAUUGAUGCAAGUGAGAGUAAGAAAAUUUCAAUUCAUUUUCCUCACCUCAUGAUGCCAUUUUAUCUCCCAUUUGCCCCAAUGUGGGGGUGAUUCUUGACAGGGGUAAUUUGAAAAAAAAAAUCACAAGUGUAUAAGGCUCAAAGGGGUUAAGCAAUGGAUCACCUGUAGUGUUUGGGAUAGAGAAAUAAAUUGCCUCUCAUCAUUUUGAUUGCCGUACCUUUUGCGAGAUAACUCUUUACCUUGUGCAUUUGAACCUUCCUACACUCAUCUCACAAGUGUAUGUGUAAGGGACUGUGUAUAGGAUAAGGUUUGUUUUUCAUCAUCUCGACCUGUCUCAUUUAGUAUUCUCAAUCAAUUCCACAUCAUUAAAUUAGUCCAUCUUGAUGUUCUUUAGUGAAAUUGGUGGCUAAGAGUCAUCAUGCAAAAUCCUAUUUUAGGCAUGAAAAAUUAUCAACUUCAAAACAAACAGUUUUCCACACUGCAAAAUAGUUUUAAGCAUUCAUUCAAGGAUUCCUCUACAAUGGGAUUGCCUCAGCAGUUGAUGUCUUUGGAUUGUCCUUAUCAUUCAAGACUGAAAAUCCACUUUUGCCCCUACACAAGAGAACGUGCAUGAAUAUGAUACUAUGUAACAUCAAAGUAAGAGUAGAUGGAAUAUCCAUUUUUGGCUUGGGCCGAGAUCUUAUCUCAGUCGAGUCAUUACCAAAAUCUGUCAUGCCCCCAAUCUGUCACAUUAAUUCCUUAGAAAUGUGUCCUUGACAAUUGGGCCAAUUGCAACUUGGUGGGCCCUUUUUCAAAGGCCUUAUCGUCAGACCGAAAAAGUAAUGAUCUGAAACAUGAAGUAAAUGAGUCAGAAAAUUUAACAGAGCUAACCUAAUGCAAGCUUUUGGAAAUGGCUCCAAAAAUAAUGUUUUUUUUUUUUUUAUGAGGAAGCAUAAAGAAGCCCAGUCCUCAGAAUUCUCCUUGGAUGACAUUUUUUUUUCAUUGUUGGAUAUCGUCAUCGGGCUAGUUUGGUUUGCCUCAUUAUGUCCUCAAAAUUGGAAAUAAAAUUGUAAUUUCAUUGAAUAUAAUCAAAUGAAUUACAUUAUUGGAAUGCAAACAAACAAACCCUAGACACAAAAGCAAUAAUUGAAAUCUCAGCAAGCAGGAAAUCCUGAAAAACUUGAAGUUCUAGAAGAUAAGAACUUCUUCACUCAGUGACAGCGUUUGUGCCUCCAUCGUGGUUGGGUGAAGGAUUUUUCCGUUUACUGCUAAAAGAGAACGCCUUUGUAUCCAAGAUAAGGUCUUGGACCUUAUGCCUCAAAACAUAGCAAUCAUCAGUGGAGUGACCAACCUCUCCCAUGUGAUAGUCACACUUUUCAGAGGGAUUAUAUGUAGGCUAAUGCUCGGGAUUUGGUCGCUUCGGCUUAGUAGAGAGUAAUCCCUUCUUUUGGAGGACAAACAAAACUUUGGAUAGGGGUCCAGGAAGAGGUGUGAACUAUCUUCUAACACUACGUCGUCGACCAGGGAGCUGAUGUUCUCCACCUUGUUGCUUAGUAGAAACCUUAAUUACUGGGGUGCGACCACGAUUUGGUUGAGAAUAGGUCAUAUUAAUCUCAGCUUCAAGGUCCUUCUCUUUCUUGGUAGAAAACCUUUUGUUAGAUGGCUCAGUAAACCACCCUUCUCUUAUCCCCAUCUCAAUUUGUUCUCUUACAGGAACAAGUUGGUUGAAGUCUUCGAUGUAUGUGCUAGCCAUCCGGUUACGGAACUCAGAUGGUAGAGUCUUGAUGAACAAUUUCAUCAAUUCUUUAUCAGUAGGCUCAGGAGUGAUUUGAGCUACCAGAUUUCGCCAUCUCACGGCAUACUCCUUAAAUGAUUCGCUCAUCUUCUUCUCCAUCCUCUCAAGAUCUUCUCGGGAAGGUGCAAUGUCCAUAUUGAACUUAUACUGCUUGAGAAAUGCGUCGGUCAAUUCAUUCCAAGUGUCGAGAAGAUUGACAUUCUUCAUUACGUACCAUUUUAGUGCGGGUCUAGUCAAACUCGCAUGGAAUGAUUGGAUCAUGAGGGGCUCAUUUUUUACAUGCUGGGCCAUGUGUACGUGGUACAUCUGCAAAUGAGAUUUUGGGCAAGAAGUACCAUCAUACUUCUCAAACUCUGGCAUUUUGAACUUGCUUGGCAUGUGAACCUUCUCAUAAACCGAGAGGUCAAACGAAAGUGAGCUUUGUGACUCUUGCAGCUGUCUCACUUUCUCUUCCAGCUUAGCAACGCGCUCAUCCUACUCUGUCUUGGGAACGUUAUCAGGCUUGGCUUUUCCAACAAGGACCAGGUCAUCUUCUAGCUCAGGCAUUUCGUCAUUGCUCAUUUGGGCCCUGUUCCUUGGGACUACUAUCUCAGGGAGAAAGGGUGGAGGAUUUGGAUUCACCUGGAGGGAUUGAAGUUGAGCUGUUAUAAGCUGCAUGGAGGCGGCUAACUGUUUGAGUUGAUCUUCCACGGAGGACAUGCGAUCACGCAUUUCAGCUUGAUCAGCCAUUCUAGCUCUUAAUCGUGUAAUAAUGGAUGAAUGUGGCAGCUCCGUUGUCACCUAUUUCGAAGAAAUGAACAAAAUAAGCACGGAGUGUAAAUAGAUAGCCAAUCCAUGACAAUGAUCUGAUUUUUUUUUCAUUUUUCAUUUUCAUUUUUUAAUGAAAAUUUUGUACAAUAAAGGAAUUUCCUAAAAAAAAAAAGGCUAGAAAAAUAGACACCCUAGCAAGAUCAAAUUUCCUAGACAUGAAUUGAAAACAAAUUUUCCAAAGUUUUUUUUUUUCAAAAAUGAUUCAUUGCAUGACAAUUUUCUCAUUUCAUCUCUAAUUGAUAAAGGAGUUAAAUCAAUGCUUGACCUAAAUUGUCAUGGACAGACUAAAAGCACGACAAAAUAAAUUGCAUGGUAUAGGGAUAGAAAACUUACUUCAUCAAGAAAAAUCGACAGCAAUCACAUAGACAUGCACAUGAGAUGUGAGGCUCGAUUUCUACUCUAGACAGGCUUAGCAAAGUGGAGCUAAGAGGAUGAUUAGAUCGUUGCAGUCUCGCAUUAACGUGUUAGGUCCCCCUAACUCUGGCUCAGUUGAAUGGAUGGUCCAAUAGUCACGCAGUCUCGCGGAUAUGGACAAACACAUUUGACACCAUGAAAAGACUUUCGGGGAAGAGAAUGUCAACAACCUCUACAUAGCAGUCUUUUGAGGAAGUAUCAUUCUCAACACCAUCCUAGAAAUCCUAUCGCAGCCUAGGUGCGACUGCAGAUUGUGUGUGCAAUAGUGUAGAGCUAAAAGCAGUAAGACAUGCACAACGGUUUAAAUGCAAACAACACUUCUAAAUCUGGGGAAAAUAAAUUAUUCAUCCACACUCCUUCCUGCAAGACAAUGAUUAGCAAAGACUACUCCCCUUAUAUCUCACAUCUGUAAGAACAUUUAACACCUUAGAAAUGUUAAGGACGUACCUGAUGUCCUUGUUGCCAAACAAAACCAUUUUUUUUAAAAAAGAAAAAGAAAAAUUAGCCUAAGUCCACUAAGUGUUUUAACACAAGUCCCCAGCGGAGUCGCCAAGCUAUAGCGACCUAAAUUUUGGGUGCAUCACCUAAAACUAGGUUAAUGGACUAGUUAGUUUUUAAACUUAGCUUGGGCUCUCCCAAGCCCAUACCAAUUCGCGACUUAAGGUUCAAAUAUUAACUAGGAGUCACCACUAAUCGGUUUAUGGUAGGUCGAUUAGACACCUAAGUAAAAUAAUGGGAGAAUUAUUUUACUCCUAAGAACCAAAGACUAAGGGUACGGGGACUUGCUUACACUAGAAUUUUCUAAUGCCCUUUCGAUACCAUUUCUUUUAAUUUUCAAAAUAUUUUUGCAGGCAACUUGGAUUUAUUUUAACCUAAAUCACUAUUAUGCAAAAAGGUGAUCACACAGAUGCUCAAGCAUUCAAUAAAUAAUUUGCAUCACACAAAGCAAAUAAUUUUUUUGCGUUUUCUUGAAAAUUAGAAUUCUUUUAUAAAAAUGCAUUUCUUAACUAAAUGACUUAAUCUUAUUAAUAUGCAAAUUCUAAUUAAAUGGGCCUAUUAUGCAAACUAGUUAUUAUGCACCUCAUGACCUAACUUCACUAAUGAACAAAUUCUGAUUAAAUAAUCCUAUUAUGCAAACUAGUUAACAUGUACCUAGUAUUUUUGGAUUUUUUAUUUAUUGAAAUUCAGAAUUUAUAAAUAUCUUAAUUAAUCUAUCUAAAAAGGGAUAAUUUACUAAUUUAUUCUAGGGAUUAAUUCGACUUAAACCCUAUCUUAUCUUAGAAAACUAUUUUUUUUUUGGAAAAAUGAGAUAAUUAAAAUGUGUGAACAUUAUCUAAAACCGUAAAAAAAAUUAUUUAGGUCCAACCCUAACUUAUUUCUAAAAAUGCAAUCCUAAGAAUGUAAUCCUAAAAAAUUUCUAAUUUACUAAACCUAGAUGUCUGAUUUACUAAACCUAUAUCCUCAUGCAGAAUUUUGAUUUUUUGAUCUUUUUUUAAAUUUUUUUUAGUUUUUUUUAAAAGAUAAGUAAUCUUUAAAUAAAUUUUAAAUCUAAACUAUCAACAAAAUAAAGGAUUAAAAUAAUCGAAGUAAUUAAAAAUUUGAUCCAAAGUCUUACGGAUCAAAUUAAUAAUUAUAAUGAUUUAAAAAUUAAAAUUCUACCAAAAAGCCUAAAGUUUAAUCCGAAGUUUUACGGAUCAAAUUAAUAAUUAUAAUGAUUUAACAAUUAAAAUUCUACCAAAAAGCCCAAAAAUUAAUAUAAUUAAAAAAAUAAUCCGAAAUCUCUAGGAUUAAAUUAAUAAUUAUAAUAAUUCCGGACAAAAUCCUAGAGGAUAAUGCCUACAAAAUGCACAAAUAUUAACAUUGACAAACCAUACUCCAAUAAUAACGAAACUUAAAAUAAAUAAAGUAAAAUAAAAUAAAAAUAAUAAAAAUAAAAAUAAACCACCUAAGACUCAACGCUUCCGCGCGAUGGUGCUGCUGGUGGAGCGGCUGUGACACGAGCGAUCGAGUGGAGGGGUGGCUUGCAUAAUAGCGAGGGCAUGGGAUUGCAGCGCUACGGGGUCGGUGUAGGCGCACGUGAGGAGCAGAUGCGUUGUGAUGAGCGAUGCGGAGGCAGCGCGAGCUGCUACGGAUUGCGUCGAACAGAGUCAACAGUUGGCUACUACGGUGUCACGGAUGGUGCUCCUAUGGUAUAGCAACGUCGGUGGUGCGGGUUCGCCGGAAGGAGGAUGGUGGCAAGUCAGGGGGGCUGUCGACGCGGGUGACGUUGGUGCUUCAGGAUCUACAGAUGGGAGCGUCGGACGAUGGCUGCAGUAGCGCGGCAGCCUCUGGACAGUAGCAGCGACGCGGGCUCGCGGGCGAUGGAGGGUUCUGGCAGAGGUGACCAGUAGCCGCGAUGGGCGAGCGGGUCGCAGGCUACUGCAGGUCGUUGCGGCGAUGUCUGGCGUCUGCAAAGGCGCGUUCGAAGCAGGACUCAAACGGAGGCGUGGGCGCGGCAACGGCGUCGGGCGCGGCGGCGGUGAAGCGGACGAGCGGAGGAAAAUUGGGGUGUCUAGCUGGGCUGAUUACAGACAGUGCAGGGGCAGCGGCGAGCACAUGAACAGAAACGCUGGCUAGACGCGGUGAGGGCUGGUGGCUCAGCUGCCGGCGUUGGGUGGUGCUGGCACGGUGGUGGCGCGAAGAGGCCGGCGGCAAAGGAGCUCAGCCCCGACAGCCUGGGCAGCAUGCCAGCAGCGAACAAAAGGAGGGGGUGUCGGGAGGCUUCCAUAAAGAAGACAGUGAACAGUCCCUUUUUCUUUUGGGUUAAUACCUUGAAAAACCCAAAACUAGUACACUUGUGACAAAUUUACCCCAAACUAUUUUUUUGACCAUGAAAAACCCCAAACUGGUAUACCUGUGACAAAUUUACCCCGAUUGACUAUAAAAAAAACUGGUACAUUUAUGACAAAUUUACCCCAAACUAAUUUAUUCGACUGCAAAAAACCCCAAAAUGGUAAAUUUGUUACAAAUAUACCCUAUGCUAAAUUGGAUUAAUACCAUAAAAAAAUCACAAAAAUUGUAAACGAUGACAAACGGAGCAUAAAAUCCUAAAUUCAUGUACCGGUCAACUGUCACGUGUCAUUUAACUUAAUAAUUUGAGAAUAAAAUUUAACGAAAACUAACAUAGGGUAAAUUUGUCACAAGUGUACUAGUUUGGGGUAAAUUUGUCAAAGGUAUACCAGUUUGUGGUUUUUGGUGGUCAAAAAAAUAGUUUGGGAUGAAUUUGUCACAAGUGUACCAGUUUGGAGUUUUCAGGGAUAUUAACCCUUUUCUUUUUUUUCUUUUUUUCCCUCUCUGCUGUACGUCACUUCUCCCUCUGCCCUCACAUCUUUUCUCUCCUUCCCUCUUUUUUUUUUCUGACUUUGAAGAAAGAACAAAAGAAAUACAAAAAAAAUCCACAAAAGACGAAAUUUUCUCUUUUCCUUCACGAAUUCUUCUCUCAAUUCGCCUCUAAAAUUUUUCGAAUUCACCUCCUUUUUUUUUUCGAAAAUUUUUUCUCUCCUUUUAUAGUGAUUCCGACCACUCUCCUAUGGCAAUUUCGAGCUUCCUUUUUCCGUUGCCCUAAUUCAUACAAAAUCUUUGAUUUUUCGUUGAAUAUUCCGAUUCAUUCCCUUUUAUCAAACUUCUUACUUUUUUAUUCAUCUGAUUUCUUUGAUUAAGAAUUUGCUUCCAUAUUAGAAUUUCCACAUUCCAUUCAUAAUCAAAUCAAAUUAAUCCUUCCCUUAUUUUUCAUUUUUUUUCUUUUUAUUUGUUCAAAUUGCAAUUUUUUUUUUUUUAAUUAGGUGUCAACAUAGGUCUAUGGACUUUUUGUAAAAUAAAGAAAAAACAUGUUUGUGGACUAAAGCCGUUUCAAAGCAUGCUCAAAAGGCAGCAGAGACAAGGGGCCUAAUGUCUUGGGUUUAAAAGGGUGAAAUGCUUUCUCUGAUAACCAUUCCAUUGCAUGGUCCAUCCGUGGGCCUUUAAAGACACUCAUCUGAAUAACUCGGCUCACUUAUGAUAAGAAAUUACUCUCGGAUCAAAAUAAAAAAAUAAUUAUUUAUGAUAAGAAAUUGUUCUUGAAAACAGAAUAGUUAGCAAACACAUCCUAAUUCUCAGUCUCUAUUUAUGAAAUUAGGUAGCUGCAAUUUCCACCAUAAUUUUUGUUAAAGCCAUUCAUUUAUAAAUAGUUCAUCAAGAUGCCUUCAGAUUAAAAUUCAACUUUUUUUCAACUAUUAUCUAUUUAUUUUGCCCCCGGUAGGAUGUCACUCUUCCUCCUUCUAAGAUGAUGUUUUUGUGUUCCUCCGAAGUUAGAGUAAACCUAAUGCACGCAUCUGCUAAUAUUUAAUCGUAGCGAUUGAAGUCGUCAUGGUUCAUUUGUGCACAUCAGAAAAGGGAAAGGUGCCUCUCCAUUAUUAUGAUGGGUUAAAGAAAAGUGCUAAAUAACAUGCCCUAUACUCUUUUCUCCUUGAAUUAACUCUUGUUAUUUUAAUUAAGUGGGUUUUUGAAUUGGAAUUGGAAUAGGAUACUCUCGUACUAAGAAGAGAUGGGAUUCCAAUUUUAUGCAUAUUCGACUUCAGUAAAAGCAUGGUGUUUUUUUUCCCGCACUUAUAAUUGGACUAUGAAUUUCGGAUAAGUGAUUUUGUUUUUUCCCCUCGCACGAUUUACAUUUCAUAAAUUCAGCAGGAAGAGAUUCAAUAAUAGCAAGAUUUUCAAGUCACGACUAAUUCCAGAUCUCUAGCUAGACAUCAACUUAUCUCUUGAAAUAGCAAUAAUAAUAAGGGAAAAAAUCACAAAAAAAAUCCUUAAUUUUGCUUACUGUGACACAUUUAUCCCAAUUUUUUUUGUAACACAAAAAAUCUCAAACUUAUUUUGUGUGACACAUUUACAUUAAAUAUGAUACAAAAAAAAACCCUAAAUUUAUACUCAUGUGACACUUUUAUCCCAAAUUAUUUUUUGGUGAUACCAAAAACCCCAAAGUUAUACUCAUGCGACAUAUUUAUCCCAAGUUUUGAGAUAAAUGUCUCGUAGGGAUAUAUAAGUUUAAGGUUUUUAGUGUUUCAUAAAUGUGUCUUACUAAAUUAUUAUGUUAUAUAAGUAUAAAUUUUGGUUUUUUGUGCAUCACAAAAUAAAUUUUGAGAUAAAUAUGUCAUGUAAACAUAAUUUAGGGUUUUUGGUUGUUUUUCCUCUAAUGAUAAUGGAGAUGCGUUGUAAACAAGGAAUAGUGAUGACAGAGAAACAUGGAUGGUAUAGCAGGGAGCGAAACCGAAGUCAAAAUUCAAAGGUGCUGGAUAGCUUCCGAAAUUUCUUGGUUAGCCUAGUUAGGUAAACGGUUGCGACUCGUAGACGCUAUAAGGAUGGUGGUUUAUUCAAGGAACCUCCUUUACUCUCUACUUUUACAAAAUACUUAUUUCUAAGCAAUAUAUAUUAUAUAUCUCAUGGAAUGAUUGCCGAUAUUUCCUCGCUAGAUUUACGCAAGGCCCGUGUUAACAACCUAUUACCAACAAUCAAUGGAAUGAAAAACUCAAUAGCCUAUGAGAUGGAAGCAGGACUUUUGGCGAAAACAUUUUAUUCCAGAAGGUUGGGGCGCUGCCACCUAGAUCCUUUACGAAAUUUCGCCAAUUACAUGAGUUUACGCAUUUAAGACUGAUUUUUAAAGGUUCAUCUUUGAAGCGAUGGAUACGAAGAGCCUGUUUGAUAAUUAUUCUAUUCGCAGAAAUAAUUUUUUUAUAGAUUAUCUUUUUUAAAUGAGUUUCUAAGAAUUUGAAGAUAUUUGGUAACUGCAUAAAAUUUCUAUUUCCAUAAUAGAAAUGCAUUUGUUACACACUAAAAAAAAUUUGUGAUUUAAUUUUUUAAAAUUUUUUAUAAGAUUUUCCUCUUCUUCUUUUUUUUUUUUUUUUGUCCUCUUCUUCUUUCUCCUCUAGCCGAUUGUUGGCCUUAGCCAUCGCCCACAACUAGCCAAACAAGAGCUGACAACCUUGCUAGUCUCAAGGGAGCCUCAUCCAACCACCACGAGGUUGGCUAGAGGAGGAAGAAGGGAAGAUCAAGAAAAGAAAAGAUAGAAUAAAUAAACAAAAAUUAAAAAUUAAAAAAAAUUAUUAGAAAUUAUCCAUGUUAAAGCCGGCCUUACCAAAUAGGAUGACCAACAUUCACAUAUGCAAUUUUCAGCUAGAAUUGGCCUGUUGGCCUGACAAACUUAAUUAGCAAAAGAUGAAAAAGUCUAAUACUCAAUUGGAAAAAUUGAAAUGCUUAAAACUGAAUUGACAAAUGUGCAACAGAUUUAUAACUUUUUGGACAAUUUUCCCUCUUUUUAUCUUCUCUUCCUAGAACUUAUGUCCAAAGAAGCACUUGCUACAAUUCUAUCAUUCUUAUGUGCAACUUUCCCUACAAAAUAAUUUCAUGAAUAAAAAAAGGUACUCCUUUGUUUUGUGGCUAUACUUAUAUUGAACAUCAUUGAGAAAAGUACAAAAAAAUUCAUAAACUUAUUAUAUUAGUAUCAAUUUAGCCAUAGACAUUUUUAAUGAAAUUAAUUUAAUCCUAAACAUUUUUGCAUUAGUAUCAAUUUAGUCUAUCUAGCCAAUUUAUGUUAGAAAUUGUUAAUGUGGACAUUGGGUUGUUCUACAUGAUAUGGCCGAUAUUGUUGUGGACAUUUUUAAUAAUAUUUUAAUUUUUUUGAAUUUUUAAAUUUUUUUCUUUUUUCUUUUUUCUUUUUCCCUCGCCCUCUUCUUUGUUUUUUUCUUUUUGCUAGUGGCCAUCACUAGUUGCCAGCCAUAGCCAUAGUCGAUGAGGGCCGGCUUCACUUGGGUCGCCCUUGCUAGUCACAGGCGAUGGUCAACCUUGCCAAGCUGCCCCUAGGUGAGGGCGAGCGCUGGCCGUCUAAGCACAGCCAUGCAAGGGCCACUCACCAGAUCUAAUGAGGCCAACUAUUGCCUAGGCUAGGGUGGCCUUGCCACGCCUCGCCCAAGCGAGGGUUGGCCUCGCCAAGGCUUGCAUAGGUGAGGGCAAAGCUCGACGAGCCCCACCUAGGCCACCAUCGAUCGUCAAAUCUGGCAAGGAGGCCUUGCCUAGCCAUGCUUGGACGGCUAGCGCUAGCCUUGAUUUAAGGGCAACCCGGCAAGGCCAACCACCUUGGCAACCGCAAGCGAGGUCAACCCUUGCCAACCAUAGCUAUGGUUAGUGGCUAGCAAUGGCCAUUGGCAAAAAGAAAAAGCAAAGAAGAGGGAGGGGAAAAAAUUAUUUUAAAAAUUCAAAAAAAUUAUUAAAAUAUUAUUAAAAUGCCCACAUCAGUGUCAACUGUGUUAUGUGGGAAGGCCGAUGUACACAUUAUCAAUUUUUUUUAUUUAAAUUAACAAGAUGACUCAAGUGUACCAACGUGAAAAGAUUUAAGACUAAAUUAGUCUAAUUAAAAAGUUUAUGAUUGAAUUGGUACUAAUAAUAAGUUUAAGAAUUUUUUAGUACUAUUCCCAAAUAUCGUCCGACCUCGGUUAAACCUGAAAUUUUAGGAAAAAGUUGUCUCUUCUUCUGGUUCGUUUAUGACCAUUACUUUUAUUUAUUAAAUUUCCUUGAAGCUUUUAGUAAGGGGGAAAAAUUCAAUUUUGCUUUCUGUCCUCGACCUUGGGUAGCAUGGGGCCCACUUAACGGGGCAUGAAACAGAAAGUAGCGGUGACCGAGAUUUGCCUCGUCCCAGGAGAGCAUGUCGCGCACUCCAAAGAAAUAAGAACCUUUUUCCAUACGAUGAUUCAUAGGUCAGAGACGGGAGCUUGAUUAUAAAAAAAUCCCACAAACUAAAAAAAUAAAAAUAAAAAAUACGUCUCUAUAAACCUUAAAUUAUACUCACUAUAACACUAAUGCCUUAAACUUUCUUUAUAUCAUCAAUAAACCUUAAAUUUGUAUAUGUGUGAUAUACAUACUUUCCAUCAUGGUUCUAUUCAAAAUCCACAUAUAAAAUCUGAUGUGGAUCCAAAAUAACAUUAUUGAUAUUUUUUUAGGAUAAGUCAUGUGAGAAAAAGAUUAAAAGGAAAAUGGAGAACUAAAAAAGCCAAUAAAAAAAAAUUGGACCUCAGGGAAGAAGCAGAGAGAUCAUAUGAUCCGGGAUGUUUAAGGGGCAUCCGACUGUUUUGACUUUGCUGGACUGAGCCGCCAACCCUAGCGGGGCAUUGGUAUAGGUUGCCCAAUGCUUGCAUGGAUACGCUUAACACCUAGAUGUAUACUCUCUCUUUCAGUUUCAUCUAGAAUAUAUUUAUUAUAUUGGUAUAAAUCCGAGAAUUUAUAACACAAAAAAAUAAAAUUGGAGUAUUUAUGUCACAAUGGACAAGUCUACGGUUUCAGUGACACAAAAAAAAAGUCCAAGGCUUUACCAAAAAAAAAAAAAGUCCAAGGCAUUUAUGUCAAAGUAACCAUAAUUUGUGAUUUUUUUAUAAUAUUAACCAUUUUCUAUAUAUGCAAACAUUGUCAUUGACAUCAGAUCAUGACUAUUUGGUACGUGAUAUGAAAUAUCCCCAAUUCUUUUGUCAUGUUGUUCAAUCAUCCCUUCUUACGUACAUCCUCACGUUAAAAAAGCAAAAAAAUUAUUGAGAGGCAGACCAAAGCACACUGUAGGGACCAGGGAGCCAUUAUAACGAGAGGCCAGCACUCAGUGGAAUUCGCAUUUCUUUGGAAGUUGUGUAGGAUUGUAGCGAAAAUAUCAGUCCCCAGUUUGGUCAGUUCUUCUUGCAAAGGUACGUGCAAGCACCUUCUUCGACUCUUCAAUUUACUAUAUUACGUCUCACUAAAUUCCAUCUUCAGUUAUCUUGAUCUCAUGCUCAGGUCAUAUAAUCUUCCCGAUCUAUCAUGCAUAAAAAUAAAAAAAUAAAAACAAAAGUGUUUCUCUUCUAAUGAGAUAACAUCUAAUUUUUUUGGUAUGAACGAUGCUUCGAAAAACGUUUGCAGACUCACCGCUUGCGUUGUACUGCAAUAGGGUUUUCCUGAUGGAGAGCAAUAACUGUCCACAAGGUUGCCCGAGUUUCCAGUACUUCCCUCCUCCAUCGGCAAGGGACGUUCCGGUUUCUGUAUCUUUGGAACGCGAGAUUUCUGUGUGCCGGGAGACUUCGAGGUGGAUCACCGUCAGCGUGGUCAUCGUUGUUGCCGUCGUAGCCACCGGUGUUGUUAUAAAAAAAUCGCCGUGGUCCUCAGGAUAGAAUCCCAUGGAAGACUAAGAUUCCAACAAUAAGCCUAAUGCUGCAGCCAUCGCUGGCGAAGGCGCCGAAGGAGGCGGAGGCGAAGGAGUCGGAGGCGGAGCCGAAAAAGGCGGAGGCACAGCUGAAGGAGGCGCCACCGCUGUGCUGUCCAUGUUAUACGCCAUCGCUGCCGUGCUGUCCAUUUCAUCCAUGUUGUUGUCAUCAGAUAAAUAAUUUACCAUACAUGGUAAUUGAAUGAUGCAUAAUGAUAGAUCAUCUAUACUUAGCAUUGGCACUUCUAAGUCCUAUGAAUUGUAAUUUGAAUUUUCAAUCCAAUUGUGCAAUUGUCUUGGAGACGCCAAUAAUUUAUGAUAAAUAAAUUAGCAAUCCAAGUAGGAUGUGGGAGUACAUUUCACUCCUAUGAACUAAAGAUUCAACCAAUCGAUUCAGUUGCAUCAGAUCUUUAAGUAUGAAACCGAUUUACAUGCGAACUUCACCAAUUUUUAUUCCUUAAAUCCUCUAAACAUAUAAAAAGUGAUUAUGCAUAGUCACUCGAGUAACAAAACUAAACAAGCAAACAAUUACAAUAGAAAGCUAAUAAAAGAAAUGAAUGACAAGAAAAAUAAAGGACACGAGUGGUAUCGGGCAAAAUUAAGCAAAACCUGGUUAUUAAGGCCCCGGACAAAGGCCCGUGAGCUAUGAAUGUAAAUUCGAUAUAAGCUCUCCAAGAGAUGCCUGAUGCUCAAAUAGGAAAGUGAACGUAUGACAUGUCAUGACCAUCUGCGAGUGCUAGUAUGAACAAAAUAAAGGAGUUAGGGAAGAGAAUAAGAACACAAGAUUUAUAGUGGUUCGGCUUAAUCCAAGCCUACGUCCACUCUCCCACGCUAACAGCCUUCUUGGCUGGAUUCCACUAUGCAAUCAACAAGAGAUUACAACUUCGAGUGCAAACACUUAGUAGUAGAUCACACUAUCUCACUAAGUCACUCUUUUGGUAUUUCUCUCACGAUUACAAACGUUUAAGCUCUCAAGAGACAAGUAUAUAAUUGAAAGUCGCUCAGACUUUGGAAUUAUAAAUUCUAUGCUCCGUCUCUUACUUGCUCAUCGGUCCUUCAUCUCCUUAAAUACUCCUCCACUUCCAAACUAGCCGUUGGACAGUAUCCCGGAGAAUCGUCUUCCAAUAUACCCAUUGGACAGCUCUGUAUCUAGAAGAUUUGGUAGCCGUUGAGUGACGAAGGUAGAAUCUCAAAUUGAUUCCGAUCGUCCAUACAAACGAAAUCUUGGUUUCCAUAAGUAAAGCUUCUUCGUAUAGAAAGAUCUUGUCUUCAAGAUCCAAUCGUCAAUCAAUUAGAUUGAAUCAAUCAAAUCAAUCUUGAUGUGGAAUCCAAACCAGAUCACUAGCCGUUGUAUGAUUGGGCUUGAGUUACCUUUCAUCGAAUCUGGAUGUAAAGUCUGAGAGCAAUAGACUUUACAAUCUGAGUCUGUAGACUUUACAAUCUGGGUCUGAACAUAUCUGCUUCUGAACAAAUUUAGCUUUAAGGUCUGUACCCAGUUCAGCUUCAGCAUAGAGUCUGUCUUCUGGUUCAUCAUUCACGUUCAGUCUGGAAUUUGUCAGAGUGAGCAGACUUCUGAUGUAGAACAGACUUUGACACUAAAGUCUGACAGUCUUCAGACUUUGAGUCUUGAGUCUAGCAGUCUUCAGACUUUGACACAGAAGUCUAGAAAUCUUCAGAAUAUACUCUGGACAUGUUACGUUCAGUCUUCUAGCCGUCUUCUGACUUUGAUAAUAUCCUUUACAUGUUCUAUCAUCUGCAUGGUCUUUUCCUUAACCAUUAAACAUGUUAGUAGCCUUUGAUUUAUUUUGUCAUCUUCAAAACAUCAUAAGGGAUUUCCCUAACAAUCUCCCCCUUUUUGAUGAUGACAAAACAAUCUCUGAAUAUGCAGAUUUGUAAACACGCUUUUAUUAAUUUAAAUCAAAUGAUAUCAGAAGAUAACAAAUAGAUGGAGCAUAAUAAUACAUAGAAAAUAAUCGCAGCUCAAUAUUAUGCAAUAAAUAAUAUCAACCAAUCAGCACAUAUGCAUAUUCAUAUCUUCUCCCCCUUUUUGUCAUAAUCAAAAAGCGAUAAUAAUGAAAAAGUAUCAUGUAGAGAAUUAUAACAAAUAUCUCGCAUGAAUCACAAUUUCCAAAAAUCAGCUUUUAUAAAGCAAGUCGAAUAUUAAAGAUAUGCAAUAUAGCUCACUUCGAUCAUAUGUAUCAGCAAAUAUCUAAUAAAAAUCACGGAUGCAUCAUAACUUGCACGUACCCUUUUUGUCAUGAUAAAAUGAUAAUAUCAAUAAGAGAUUUGUUAAUGACAAAAGGUAAUAAAAGAUGCACUAACCGGAUUUUUUAGAAUAAAUUCUGACACAUUUACCUUUCCUUCCAUCCAUAAUAAGAUCACGAUCAAUCCAAAAAGAUUUUUCCAUAAUUGAUCAAGGCUCCCCCUCAAUUUGUUGCCUUUUUGAGAUGAUCACGAUUCUUUUCCUUUUCUUUUGGAUUUGCUUUCUCCCCCUGUGAUCAUGACAAUAUUUGCGAAUAGAAACAAUUGUUGCUUGUGCACAUUGAACAGAAUAUUUUUCCAUUAUUCCCUUUGUAGCAACAAUAUCCGCAACGAUCACUUGCAUUUUGAAAUUCGAGGCAAAAAAUUAUUUUCUUCAAUCAAGCUCUUCUCGAAUUCAACCUGCAUAAACUUAACAAACUUUUUACACAAAUAAGCUGUAAUAAUAUCCACGUGAAUACCCUUUUCUUCAAAUAGAUCAAUUGAAUAGCAUUUAUAAAGUUAUCAAAUAUUAAAAUUCAGAACUAUUCAACCUUUUGUACGAGGCAUAAGGGAUUUCCUCAAUAAGCAAAAAAUUUGCACAAGGAAGGAUAUUUUUGAACCUCUAGAAGAUAGUAUAGAAUCUUCUCAAUUUUCUGAUCAAGCUUUCCAAAAUCCAUAUGGAAGAUUCUAUUGAUACCUGCAAAUUCUUGUAUAAUAGAUAAUCAUCUUUGCAAAAAUGUCACUUGAUAUCUUCCUUUUAUUUGCAGAUCAAACUUGCUAGAUAUAAUAUAUCUUCUAAGAAUAUAGCAAGAAUAUCCAUGAAUAUGCAGUAAUAUCUUUCGAGAUCAAAGCGAUUUCCUUGAGCAUAAAUUUCAGAUAUGCAUUUUGCAAAAGGAAAAUAAAUAUUUCUGUCACGUGCUAAAAUUGCAAUAUCUUAUAUUUAUGACAAAAGAUAUAAACAAUCAUCCAAAAUCAUAAUAAAUGCACGUAGAGAUUUGCAAGGCGGGAUGAUAAAAAUAUUUUCUUACCCAUGGUAUAUGUUUGCAAUAUACCAUUGAUUAAAAAAAAAACAUUACCAAUCUUCGCAGGAGAUGCAUUUCUGAUCGCAUCAUGAUUUGCAUAGAUUUGCAAUCAUUCAUCCCUUAAAGAAUUUCCUGUAAUCAACUCAUUUCCCUUUUUGGUAUCCAUUCAUUUGGAUCCUUCCUUGACGUUAGAGUAAAAUAUGAAAUCUCCAUAAUCAAAUAUUCUUUCUUAAUUCAUCAUAACAAAGUAUUCAAAGAAAGAAUAUUAUACACAAUAAUAUCUUGCAUCAUAAAUUAAUAUCACGUAAAACAGAUUUUUAUUUGGCAAAAUAUGAUAAAAUCUGAGAGUAUAAAAUCAAACCAAAUAAAUUCAUUUGUCUUUAAGCAUGAUAUCAAAAAUGAUCACACGUAUCAAAUUAAAUCUCGAAUCACAAUUCACACAAUUCUUUCUUCAAUAAAGCAAAUAAAAAAAAUAUGAUCAUUAUAAAAUCCGAAUCAAUCAAUGAUAUAUCGAAUUUCAAGCAUAAUGAGAAUUAUGUGCCCAAAAACAUUCCUUACUAACUUCUUCUUUUCCUUUAUUUCCUUGAUUUCCCCAUCGGAUUCUGAGUCUGGUUCUGAAUCAGACUUUGAUUCUGAGUCUGUGUCUGAGUCAGACUCAGAUUCUGAAUGUGCCAUCAAGCAUAGAUUUCCUUGCUCAUCAUCUUCUUUUAUUAUUCUUUUCUGGCCAUUCUGCUUGUAUUUUCUUCCAUCGAAAUAUGGUGGCCUUGUGUUGCUUUGCCCUUCCAUAAGUCCUGGUGCCAAUAUACUAGCUAUAAAGAAUCUUUAGCUCAAAAGUAAAAACACUUUUAUAAACCGAGUACUUGGCUCUGAUACCAAUUGCGAGUGCUAGUAUGAACAAAAUAAAGGAGUUAGGGAAGAGAAUAAGAACACAAGAUUUAUAGUGGUUCGGCUUAAUCCAAGCCUACAUCCACUCUCCCACGCUAACAGCCUUCUUGGCUGGAUUCCACUAUGCAAUCAACAAGAGAUUAUAACUUCGAGUGCAAACACUUAGUAGUAGAUCACACUAUCUCACUAAGUCACUCUUUUGGUAUUUCUCUCACGAUUACAAACGUUUAAGCUCUCAAGAGACAAGUAUAUAAUUGAAAGUCGCUCAGACUUUGGAAUUAUAAAUUCUACGCUCCGUCUCUUACUUGCUCAUCGGUCCUUCAUCUCCUUAAAUACUCCUCCACUUCCAAACUAGCCGUUGGACAGUAUCCCGGAUAAUCGUCUUCCAAUAUACCCAUGGACAGCUCUGUAUCUAGAAGAUUUGGUAGCCGUUGAGUGACAAAGGUAGAAUCCCAAAUUGAUUCCGAUCGCCCAUACAAACGAAAUCUUGGUUUCCAUAAGUAAAGCUUCUUCGUAUAGAAAGAUCUUGUCUUCAAGAUCCAAUCAUCAAUCAAUUAGAUUGAAUCAAUCAAAUCAAUCUUGAUGUGGAAUCCAAACCAGAUCACUAGCCGUUGUAUGAUUGGGCUUGAGUUACCUGUCAUCGAAUCUGGAUGUAAAGUCUGAGAGCAAUAGACUUUACAAUCUGAGUCUGUAGACUUUACAAUCUGGGUCUGAACAUAUCUGCUUCUGAACAGAUUUAGCUUUAAGGUCUGUACCCAGUUCAGCUUCAGCAUAGAGUCUGUCUUCUGGUUCAUCAUUCACGUUCAGUCUGGAAUUUGUCAGAGUGAGCAGACUUCUGAUGUAGAACAGACUUUGACACUAAAGUCUGACAGUCUUCAGACUUUGAGUCUUGAGUCUAGCAGUCUUCAGACUUUGACACAGAAGUCUGGAAAUCUUCAGAAUAUACUCUGGACAUGUUACGUUCAGUCUUCUGGCCGUCUUCUGACUUUGAUAAUAUCAUUUACAUGUUCUAUCAUCUGCAUGGUCUUUUCCUUAACCAUUAAACAUGUUAGUAGCCUUUGAUUUAUUUUGUCAUCUUCAAAACAUCAUAAGGGAUUUCCCUAACACCAUCUACUAAAUAAAUUACAUUCCUAAAAUGAAUUGUUGCAUGUGAAAAAUAAAUCUAAAAAAUGCAAUAUAAAUUGCAGUGCGAUAUUAAGAAAACAAAUCUGUUUGUGAGCGUGCAUGGUACCUAAAAUGCACCCCUAAAAAUACUUUUAAUUUUUUUUAAUAUUUUAAGACACAAAAAGAAAAAAUAAGAAAAUAACUAAGUGUCGAAAUGGACAUGAACUAAAGCUUAUGUGCUUGAAUCAACCUAUAUUCCAUAUUUGCAUAACUUGGACACCGAAAUCACAAAUAAAAAUUGUCCACUUCAACGCUGGCGAUGUCACCUAAAAUGACCGGCGUAAUGUCAACGUCAACCAGUUUUCCAUACCAAAAGCCGCCACCAAUAAUGGAGGACAGAAUAGAGCCAUUAUAAUGAGAGGCCACCUAACGAAAAUUCGCACUUCUUUGCUGGUAGUAUAAGAAUAAUACCAAUAACACCACACACCUCGGUUCUUCUUGAUGAGGUACACGCAAGCACCUCCUUCGACUCUUCGGUUUAUACUAUAUCCUACUUCAUUCCAUUUUCAAUCAUCUCGUUCUCACGCUCGCAUCAUAUAAUCUUCUGGCUUUACGUUAUCAAAAUAGUGUUUCUUUUCUAAUAAAACACACUCCUUUUGAGGAACUACUUUUCUUGUGUGAAUUGAUGCUUCAAAGUAUGUUUGUGAACUCAUCGCUUGCAUUUAACUACGCAGGACUUUCUUGAUGGAGAACUAUAACUGUCCACAAAAUUGUUCAGGUUGCUCAUGCUUCCCCUCUUCAUUUGUCACGAAUUCGGUUUCGUCCGACGACGAGAACAUUUCGUGGUGGGAUACUCCGGGAUGGGUCAUCGUCGGCAUAGUAGUCAUCGCCGUCGUAAUCUGUGGUCUCCUUUUCUACUUUCGUCGUGAUCCUGAGGACUCGCAGAGCACUCUCCCAGUAAAACUGGAUCUUACCCUGAGCCUGGAGGCGUGAAUAUUUUGUUUCCGUCGUUGUAAGGAUUCUUCCCCAAAUGACAAUAAUCUGCAAGCUUCUGGGCUUGUGUCUGUGUGAACCUCAGAAUAAUUUAUAGUGACAGGUCGUCUAUUCUAGUAUCCAACAUUGGAGAUUUGAUGCAACAAAUAAUUGUGUUGGAGGAAAAAAAAAUUGUGAUGAAGGGUUUGUUAAAUUUCGGUAGUUCUAUGGUCUAUCAAGAACUGGAUCUUCAGAUUUAUCGCGACAUCUUCAGACGUGGACCAUUAAAAGAAAGCUAAUGAAUCACUAAGGAACAUUUAGCGUAGACUAUUACAAGGUCGUACCAAUGGCAACUUUAAGGUUUUGAUUUAAUUAAUUAAACAUGCAAUUUAAUUCAUUCAAGAGUUGUCACCAUAAAAGGGGUAUGUAAAAAUGUUGGGAUCGGUUUUUAACAUCCAUCUACACCCUCACUUCGAACAUAAGGCUUUGUGGCCUCAAUUUCUUAUGCACAAAAUCUUUGUGAAGGCGAGCGCAGAGCAUGCCAUCAAGAUAUAUCCUAUCUUAUUAUUCUAAGAUUUAUAAUAUGUAAUGGAAAUUUGAAGAGAAAAAGGGAAAACUGUUUAAGCACACAAACGCAUGAUUGCUUAAGGCUAGUCUGCCUUUUAAUGCAUAAGGGAAAGAAAAGAGAAGCAAGAUUGCACCAUUGGUAACGCAAGCAUAUUAAUGCCACUUUAGUCUUCAAUAAGGGGCGGAGCUUGAAGAAGCAAAGCGAGCCUAUGGUAGCAGCCUAUUACGUUUUUCAGGCCCUUUGACUUGAUAUUCUAUUAGUCAAGUGCUAGCGCUCCCAUAGAGUGAGGCUCUUCUGCUAUCAAUGAAAUUGAAAGACAGACAAAAACCAGUGUAUUUUGUAAACAUGUGAUUCACGCCUAUGACUUACAAUUAAUACAACACAAGGACUCUUAACACUUAUUACAACAUCAUGACUCAUCUUAAAACAUUUAUUACAACAUGGCUCAUCUUCGUGAUUUAUCACAACAUGACUUCUUUUUAUUUUAAUUCAAAAAAAAAUUGUAUUCAUUACUCAAAAGGAUACAUAAGUACAUAGUGUUCAUGAUAGAACAAAUCGAAACAGAGCAAGAAUACUCAAACGGAGCACCAGCAAAGUUAACCACACACUUGUUCCAAGAGAACAUAUCUGUCAAGCAAAAGAGAAGAUCAUGUAUCAAAUGGCAACCUUUGGCCUUGGUUCGAUAGACUCACUUGUGAGAGGAGUAUAUUUAGUGCACAUGUGAGACAAGACAUAAAGAAAGCCUCACAUUGGGUAUUUGGAGUGAAAAGGAACGGAGCAAUUGUAAUACCCUAAUUUUCAAAAGGAGGUCAUGGUCAAUCAAAAAGAGUAGAUCCUGUGCACCAAUCAAAAUUGGAUGGCACGAUGACAUGCUAAAUAAUCAGGAGUUAUCAACCACCACUCCUCAUAAUGUCAUAAAAUUUCCAUAAAUGUAUCACAUUAAUUAGCUAAUUCAAGAUUUCACUAACAAUUGUGUUAAGAGAAAUGGACAUAUAUCUUUUUUAGUCAUAAGAGUUAACGGAAAUUUUAUAAUUCAAUUGCACUUUUGCAAUAAGUUUUAAAACUUCUAGUGCAAUUAUUCUUUCAAUUGUUAGAUUUGUAACUACAAACAUAUUACAUCUAAUUCAACUCUUAAUUAUCAAAUUCAAAUUAUUGUACUAUUCCAUUUACAUUGCCAAAAGGCAUAAUCUAAAUUUAGAUAGAUAUUUUCCUUUAAAACACGAUCUCUCUCUCCGCAUAGACAUAUGGAUAUAGAUUUUAACACUUUUUGUUCCUAUUGAUGUGGGCUUGUAAACUAAGCUACAAAGACUCAACGGAUUGGCUCUAUUCCACAAAAUUGGCUUUCUAUUCCUCUACAAGCCCUUCGGUCUCUCCUUUGUUUAGUUCCCCUUACCUAGGACUCUUUAGACCAUGUUCACAAUUUCAAUAAAAUUUUCUUUGACCCAAAAAGGACAAACUUCACCUUUUCUGUUGCCCCCAUAGGAUGAUCCACAUGAGUCAAUUCUUUCUUCUUCUUCUUCUUCUUCUUCUUCUUUUCUUGGGUUCGUCCACCUUGUCCAGACCAAUAAUUGCGAGUGACCAUCGGACGAAGAAGACAAGACAGAACAAUGGCAACACUUAUGGGUGGUGUGGGUCCUGAAAACUGAGAUGUUUUUUCAAUCCCUUCCCACCUAAAAAGCACAUGCUUUAAAUGAUAAGUAACUCUUCACAUGUGCCCACCGUAGGAGUGCAUGCGCUAGCACAUGGACGUGCUAGGUAGGUCACUUUCACAUGAGUAAUAUCCACUUCUAUGUGUAUAAAGGAGUGCACGCACUAGCACAUGGAUGUGCCAAGUGAUUCACUUUCACACGAGUAAUAUCCACUUCUAUGUGUAUAAAGGAGUGCAUGUGCUAGCACAUGGACGAGUUAGGUGGGUCACUUUCACAUGAGUAAUAUCCACUUCCAUGUGUAUAAAGGCAGAUUACCAAUGAUCAAAUUUUCAAUCUAGAGUAGCACUAAAUAAAUUUAUGUAUAUGUACCCAUCCAACGGAUGAAAAGUGUAAGGUCUAUAUUUACUUGUCACGACCUAUCCCUUCGUACGGAGAAAAAUAAGUUUAGGGGUAUUGUCUAAAAAACAAACCUAUGAUCUAGUGCGGGCUCUCAUAAACUCAUACCUCUCACAACUUUAAGGUAUUCGUAAAAUUUUCUAAUAAAGAGUCCCAACUAGCCUAUUGAGGUUGACUAAGAACCAAGUGACACAUUAAAGUGUAACUCACCUCCUACACAACUAAAGAGUUUAUGGUUGGGGACUUGAUUAUACUUAUUAAACAAUUAAUACCAUUUCGGUACCUAAUCUUAUUCAUUUAAAAAGAUUUUCUAUCAGGUAGUUUAUGUUAAUGUUAGACAUGUUGACUAAUAUGUAAGGUGACCAUGCGCACAUGUAAUCAUUAACAUGACAAUUAGCAACUAAAGUGACACCAAAUAAAUUGCAUUGGGAGAGCAAGAUCUAGCAUUAUCAAAUAAGGAGCCUGCCAUUUCUAACUAAGCUAAAGGGAAACCAUAAUCAACAUAUGGAAAAUGCAUAAUCAACGGCAUUUAUUUUAAGGAUAAUUGGAACCUUAUGGUAGAGCUAAAAGGGCUUGUUUAAUUUUUUAACACAAUUUUCUUAUCAAUGAUUUUCUCAUAACUUUAAGAGAGGGCGACCUUGAAAGAUUAUUUCUAAGCAUUUUCUGACUUUAGGAAAAAUAAAAAUAAAAAUAAAAAUCGGAAUUUUUAAUUAAUUUUUAAAUAUAUAUUUAUUCAAUUAAUUAGUAGUCCGAAAAUAGGGACCUAGCCAGAACAUGGAUGAACUUGGACUUACGGUUUAGAGUAGAGGGCACAAUUGAUCUUAUCCUCAAGCCCACCCCAUUUCUACCCCUUCUAAGCCCAAUUCGGAAAAAAAAAACUCUCAAGUAAGCUCACUCUUCCACUAAAGAUACACCAAGCCCAUUCCUUUGUAACUGAGUGCACUAAACCCAUCUUAAUAAAAAGAACUCAACCCAAGCACUUCCAAAAAUGAAGGCAGCUCGCUAAAUUCCAUCUUCGAUUAUCUUGAUCUCACGCUUGAAUCAUAUAAUCUUCCCAAUCUAUUGUGAUUAAAAAUAAUAAUGUUUCUUUUCUAAUAAGGUACCAUCUUCUUCUUCUUUUAAAUUACCACCUUUUUUUUUUCCUUUUGCGGUAUGAACGAUGCUUCGAAAGAUGUUUGCAGGCUCACCGCUGGCGUUGAACUACAAGAGGAUUUUCCUGAUGGGGAGCAAUUACUGUCCACAAGGUUGUUCGGGUUUCCCAUACUUCCCUCCUCCGUCAGCACGACAUCGCUGCAUGCCGGGACACUUCGAGGUGGAUCACCGUCAGCGUAGUCAUCAUUGUCGUCGUCGUAGCCGUCGGUGUUAUUACUAAAAAUCGUCGUGGUCCCGGGGACAGAACCGCCACUUCACCGAAAUUGAUAUGGAAGCUUAAUAUUCCAAAAAUAACGUCAGUGCCGCAGUUGCCGCAACCAGGGCCGACGCAGUUGUCAUCGCCGGCAGAGGCUGAUGCCGCAACGACGACCUCAUCACAGCAAUUGCCGCCGGGGGAGGCUGAUGUGGCAACGACGACCCCAUCGCAGCUGUUGCCGCCAGCGGAGGUUGAUGUGGCGACAACACUGUCAUCGCCGAAGUGGCCGCUGACGCUGCAACGGCUGCCGCCGUCAUCACUGCAGCCAUCAUCGUCAUCGUCGUCGUCGCGGUCGUUGUCACCGCCACAGCAGCUGCUGUCGUGUUGUUCGUACAGUGAUCAAAUGAUAGAAUUACCAUGGGUGGUAAUUGAAUGAUGCAUAGUGACAGAUCGUCUGUUCUGUCGCAUAAUACUUCAGAUUCAAUGCAAUAGAUAAUUCUUAUUAUUAGAGGAAAUAAUGUUUGUGUUGGAGGGUUUAUUGAAUUCGGCAGUUUUAUGGUCCAUCGAGAAAUCCCGUAUCAUAAUAAAUUAUGCCUUUCUGAAUUUUCUCGUAACUCCUAUGAAAAAGCUGCAAUACACAAAAUCUUAAAGGUUUUACAAUCAACGGACGAGAUUUAUUUUUUCUUUAUCCAACGGUCAUAAGUAGUUACGUAUCCGUUCCCAAGGGGUAAUCGUAACACCCUUAAUAAAAAGGUAAGAAAAGAACUUUUAAAAAAAAAACAAAAAAAACAAAAGCCCAAAACAACUUUACAUCUUCACCUUGCGCAGGAAAACGACGGCAAUUGUCGUGGUGACCUCCCGACUUCCGAGGGCAAAUUAGAUUGGCAAUUGACGGAUUGCCAAGAUUGGUCACCGGCCCUUGUCUGGCUGGCGACCAUCUAAGGGGGAAAAAGAGAGGAAGGGAAAAGGAAGAAAAGAAAGGAGAAAAUGCUUGUCUCUUAAGUUGUUUCCAUUUUUUUUUUUUUUUGUUUCUUCAAAUCUAUUCUCGAGAAUAAAAAAAAAAUUAAACAUGUCUCUAUUCUAUUUCUGUUAUCAAAGGCAAAACAAAAUAAAGAUUCGUUAGAAAAAAAAAACCACAUUAUCUCACUAUCUAGAAAUAAAAAUAAUUAUCUAGAAAAAAAAAUACAUGUUUAAGUAUAUAUCCAAACAAGAUAUAGAAAUUUCUAAUAGAUUAGAUGAAAUCUCAAAGAAUCCAUGAUUCAGUAUAUUUUCAUAAAAUUCUCAAAUUCGAAUCGUUUCAUUCGCGAUGAGAACAAAUAUAUAUAUAUAUAUAUAUAAACACUUAUUCUCGGGAGCAUUACCAAAUGCAUUGCAAAUGGUUCCUCUUGCGAGGAGGCAUCUACACUUAGCACGACCCUUCCAAGCCGUAUCAAUCAUAAUUUGAUUUUUCAAUUCAAUUAUACGAUUAUAUUGGAGACGUCACUAACUUAUUAUGGGUCAAUUGGCAAUUCAAGGAGGAUGCGGAAGUACAUUUCACUCCUGUGAACUAAAGAUUCAUAAGUUGAUUUAGAUGCGCCGAGAUCUUUCAGUAUGAGAACAAUUUACAUGCGAACUUCACCAAUUUUUAUUCAUUAACUCCUCUAAACAUAUAAAAAGUGACUAUGCGUAGUCAGUCAAGUUAUAAAAAUAAACAAGUGAGCAAUUGUAGUAAAAAGCUAAUCAAAUAAAUAAAUGACCGGAAAAAUAAAGGACACGAGUCGUUUCGGGCAAAAUCAAACAAAACCUUGUUAUUAAGGCCUGGGACAAAACCCCGUGAGAUAUAAAUGUAAAUUUGGUAUAAACUCUUCAAGAGAUGCCUGAUGCUCAAAAAGGAAAGUGAAUGUAUGAUAUGUCAUGACCAUCUACUAAAUAACUACAUUCCUAAAAUGAAUUGUUGCAUGUGAAAAUUAAGUCUAAAAAAUGCAAUAUAAAGUGCAUGCGAUAUUAAGAAAACAAAUCUAUUUGUGAAUGUGCAUGUCAAUUUAAAUGCACCCCUGAAAAUACUUUUUAAUUUUUUUAAAUAGUUUAAGAUACACAAAAAAAAAAACUAAGAAAAUUAACUAAGUGUCGCAAUAAAUAUGAACUAUGUCUUAUAUGCUUGAAUCAACCUAUAUUACAUAUUUACGUAGUAACUUGGACACCGAAAUCACAAAUAAAAAUUGUCUAUGUCAACACCGAUGGUAUCACAUAAAAGGACUAGCGUUCAUGUCAAUGUCGAUUGGCUAAUUUUGGUUAGAUUGACUGAAUCAGCAGAAAUGCAAAAAUGUAUAGAACUUAAUUGUUCAAAUAUAUAUUUGAAUUUGUACAAUUAUAAUAAGUUUAUGAGCCUUUUGAUAAUUUUCCUGACCAAGAGCCGCCACCAAUAAUGGAGGAUAGAAGAGAGCUAGAGGCCAUCUAAUCAAAAUUUGCACUCCUUUGCUGGUUGUGUAAGAAUUAUACCAAUAACACCACUCGCCUCGGUUCUUCUUGAUAAGUUACAAGCUCCUUCGACUCUUCAGUUUGUGCCAUAUCCUACUUCAUUCCGAUUUCAUUCUUCUCCUUCUCACACUCGGGUCAUAUAAUCUUCUCCGUUUAUGUGAUCAAAAAAGUGUUUCUUUUCUUAAAAAGUACCCUCCCUUUGAAGAACUACUUUUCUUGUGUGAAUUGAUGCUUCAAAAUAUGUCUGUAAACUAGUCGCUUGCAUUGAAAUACGCAGGAUUUUCUUGAUGGAGAAUAAUAACUGUCCACAAAAUUGUCCGUGCUGUCCGUGUUGCCCGUACUUCUCCCCUUCGUCCGAUGGCAAAAUUUCGUCGUGGGAUACUGCGGGAUGGGUCAUCGUCGGCAUCGUAGUUGUCGCCGCCUUAAUAUGUGGUUUCCUUUUCUACUUUAAUCGUGGUCCUAAAGACACAGAGGGCAGUCUCGCGGAUGAGCCACAAAUCUCCGUCGGUACAGGCGGUGUGAACAUUUCGAUUCCGUUGUCGUUAAAACUCUUCUCCAAAGGAUAGUAAUCUGCAAGCUUCCGGGCAUGUUUCUGUGUGAAACUUGGAUGAUGUAUAGUGACAGAUCGUCUAUUCUAGUAUCCAACAUUGGAGAGUUGAUGUAAUAAAUAAUUGUGUUGGAAGAAAAAAAAAUUAUGAUGAAGGGUUUAUUAAAUUUCUGUAGUUCUAUGGUAUUUCAAGAAAUGGAUCUUCGGAUUUAUUGCAACAUUUUCAGGGGUGAACCAUUAAAAGAAAACUAAUGAAUCACUAUGGGAUUGAGGAUGAGACCAACUGGUCCUAGGACCAAGAACCGGACCAUCCAGUCCAAUCCAAUGGAACCAGCCACUUAGCAAAAAAAUUAAAAUAAAAUAAAAAUAUAUACUACAGUUAUUACAAUUUUAUGGUAUAUUGCUAUUUCUAAGAAAUUAAAAAUAUUAAAAAAAAAAAAAAGAGUUGAUCCAAUCCCAUCCAAUUCCCCCUCAGAAUUAGGAAGCAGACUGAAAAUCGUCAAUUCCAUUUUUAUGGAACUGGAAACUAGACCAACGCCUUUGAGAAUUGGAUCAACGUCCCUAGGAAUCGAAUUGAACCGAACCAGCCAGUCCGAUCCGAUUCGGGCGGUCCGAUAUGCUCACCCUUAAUUAAUAACUUUUGCAUUUUUAAAGUGAGGAUGUACAUGAAAGAGGCAUGCCUCACGGCAAAUCAACAUAAUGGUAAUGUCAUUAAUGUUAGAUCAUGAUUAUCUGCUACGUGAAUUGAAAGUUCCCAACUCUUUGUCAUGUUAUAAUGGCUAUCUAUAGUGUGCUUUGGUCCACUCGUCAAUAAUUUUUGCUUUUUCAAAGUGAGGAUGUACAUGAGAAAGGCAUGCCUCACCGACCGGUGAUGUUGACUUGCCAUGAGGCAUACCUUUCUUGCGGUAGGACUUUCAUCCAUCUCUUCUCACUCUAGAUGCGAGAGGCUACUUUAUUUGUCUAUCCUGUGAUAACCAAGAUUGUUCAACUCUUCAAUAAUUUUUGCUUUUUUAAAGUGAGGAUGAACAUGAGAAAGGCAUGCCUCACCGACCGGUUAUGUUGACUUGCCGUGAGGCAUGCCUUUCUUGUGGUAGGACUUUCAUCAUCUCCUCUCACUCCAAAUGUGGAAUGCUACUUUACCUGUCUAUCCUGCAAUAGCCAGGGUUGGAUAACCCUCACAUGAUGUCUACCUUCACCAUUGAGUGGCCCUUAAUUCCUGGUCAAUUUUUUUCUUCCCGACUAAGAGGGAAUACGGGAGCAAUAUUGUGAGGUCUCGCACCCCUUGUUUCUUUCCCUUGAGUCUUUUAAGAACUUGCUUAAAUCAUGAUCAUGAUUAUUUGGCACAUGAAUUGAAAGUUCCCAGCUCUUUAUCAUGUCAAUUAACCAUUCCUUCUUAAGUACAUCCUCACUUUAAAAAAGGCAAAAAUUAUUGAUGACAUAUGAACAAAAGGUGGGGGCCCCGAAUUAAAGAGUUCCACAUUCCCAUCAUUCAUUAUGGAGUCUUUGAUUAAAUGUGACUUGACAAUCAAGAUGCCAACAAUGAGCACUGGGACAGUGGCCACGGUCGAUUGGAGCAUCAUUUGAAGUUCUGGCAAAAUCCAAAAAGAAAUCAUGUAUUUAUGCGAAAGGUAUAACCAUGAUAUGAAAUCGUGUAUUUAUGUGAAAGGUAUAGUCAUGAUAUGAUGAUAGGGCUAGUAAGGACACCUAGAGGGAGGUGAAUAGGUGUUCUAGCAAAUUUACACUAGACUUUUAACAAAUUAACUCGUCUUUCAAGAAUAACAGAUUGAAUAUGUAAAAGACUAUAAGUAGUUAGAUAAAUCUACGAAUUAAAGCAAGGAGUAUAGGGAAAGAGAAUUGAAACACAAGGUUUAUAGUGGUUCGGCUUAGACCAAGCCUAUGUCCACUCUCCUGCACUGACAGCCUACUGGUUGGAUUUCACUAUGAACCAAAAGAGAUUUUUACAGUCUCAUGUCCUUGAUUUCACAGUGUAGAAACUCUACUACACUUCCUCAAAGUCUCACAAGUGUUUAAUCUCUCUUUUGAGUACAACUUAAGCUCAGCGAUAGAGAAAGCAAAGAACUAAGAGUUUCAGAUCUUGGAAUUUUUCUUUCACGCACACACUCGAACAACUUGAGCGUCUUCCUUAUAUACUCCUUCAUGCAUCUAUAUCCGUUGACACUUUCCAAAGAAGUUCUUCCAAUCUACCUGUUGGAUAGAAUCAAUCAAAGAUAUCUCAAGUCGUUUAAGGAAUGUGAUGAUAGUCCACAAAUCUUGCUCACCCAUACAAUUAGGAUUUAGGUUUUCAUAAGUAGAACCUUCCAAGUAUACUUCGCCUUUCAAAAGUUCUUGAUUAUUCGAAUUGAUUCCAAUAAGAAUAAUUGAUCACAAUGUGUUAUCUCCAACCAUAAAAUCUUCUUCAAACCGUACGAACCGAAUCCUUAAAGAUAAACUCGUAUCUGAAUAAGUCUUCUCUUCGUUGGUCAAGAAACUGGCAGUGUGGGUUGACUUUGAGUCUUGAGUCUUGCAGUCUUUAGACUUUGACGAUAGAGUCUGGAGUUCAUCUUACUUUAAUAAUUGAGUCUUGAAGUCUUCAAACUAGACUGAUGGAAACGUUUUGUCAACUUCAAAAUAAGAGAGUUUUCUCCAACAAUCUCCCCCUUUUUGAUGGUGACAAAACUUUCUUGCAUAUUUGAAUGCCUUUGACCUACAAAACAAAACAUAAGCAGAACAAGAUAUUUCAUAAAAGGUGAGUAGAUUUGGACAAGAAUAGUAACGAUUCUGCAAUCACAGAAAACACGUUAGUCCUGUAAAAUAACUAUCAUUACUUAAUCAUUGUCACAGCCUAAGUUACUGUAAGCAUCAAAAAAAUCAAAUCAAACAGUCAAAAAGUCCAAUCCACAACCAAACAAAAGAUAAGUCCAAAAGUCAAAUAAGUCCAAACCAAUAGUCAAAUUUGCAUAUACUUUCUCCCCCUUUUUGUCAACAGCAAAAAGUGGAGAACAUAAAAAGAAUUGGAUAAAACCAAGGUUUUUUUGGAAUGCGAACAAGUUGAAAAUCCCCCAUAGACUUGACGGUCUCCUCCAACUUCCUCAGAUCCUCCUUCAGUUGUUCUAAAUCCUCACCCUUUGCAUUUGCUUAAACUUAAAGAUUAAGGGCUUGUACUUGGUCGUGCAAAGAAACUGAAGUAGCUUUAUGAGCAUUCUGCAUGAUCUGAAAUUCACAUCCCAACCCAUAAAUCUGAGCUUUAAUCUCCAGAAGAAGCUCGAGCAGCCUUUUAAAGUCUGCUGAAUUGUCAGUUUCAGUACUUGCUUCAACACGAUCAAAUUGUGGAGUAUUAACUGAUGAUGGAACUUCAGUAUGUACAUUCAAACUUGGAGAUGAAGCCUCAUUACCAUUUUCAGGAAAUUGAGAGGCAUACACAUUUUCUGGAUCGGCAUAAGAACGACUAACAUCAUCACUAGUAAAAGCAAGUGAAGAAGUACCUCUUUUAUUAGCAGCUCCCCCCGUUUUAGUUCCUUCAGGUGGAGAAAAGUACUCUUCUUGUUCUUGCUCUUCUUCAAUAUCACGAAGAUCUUGUCCUUCUUCCUCUGCACAAGAAUCACCAUGAUCCUCUUCUUCUGCUCGUUCUCUUCCUUUCUCUACGUCUUUUGUUCUUCCUUCUUCUUCUUCUUCUUCCCUCAUCGCUUCUUUCUCUACAUCUCGCUGCUCUGUCUCUUCUCUGUCUCGGUUCUCUCGAUCCUCUGUCUCUGUAACAAAACUCUGUAAGUUCUUCAAAGCAAAAGAAGAGAUAGUGAUGUCAUCAUCAUCUUCUUCAUCCUCCAAGAUGAGUGCUCUCCUCUUCUUAGAUGGUGCUAUCAUGGGCUCUUUGCCUUUCCUUUCUCCAGCCGCAAAGUCUUGUCGUGCCUUGACAGGGGUCUUCACCUUAAAGCGCUCCAAAGCCUUGUUUAGCUCCUUCAAACGUAUCUUGGAAACCAUUUUCAAUCCCACUACCAUUGGAUCAAUGGUUCGAACACACGGAAUUUUGGGAGGCUGAAUGUUAAGAUAUUUGAACAAACGAGUGACAAGAGCAGAAUAAAGGAGUUGUCCCUUAUCCUUUACCAUUGUCCUAUACAUGUACAUAAGGAUAGUGUGAGGCAGAGAGAACUAAAAACCAAUGUUAAUGGCGUACAUCAACUUUGCUUCAGAGUUUGAGACAUCAGUCUUUAAUAUGGAUUUGGGUCUGAGAUAGUUAAUGACAAUCUUGUAAAGUAAGAUAUUGAAGGCAUUCAUCCUAGAGUAAGAAAUUCGGCCUUCAGCAAUUCUAUCUCAAACAAGUGCCAAGGAAGCACGAGCCAUAGACACACUGAUUGGUUGGAAACUCCAUCUUUCCACCCCCAAUCACAUCAGCUAGAGUGUUCACAUCAACCACAAAAUCCUAGUCUCUAACAAUAAAGGAAAAUCUAUUCGCAUCUAAAAUGGAUCAAUUGGAAUAGAAAUAAGCUGUAAGUUUCGGAUGAGUAACAGUUGUUUCAGAGCAAAACUGUUCGAGUUAAAGCAAUGUAAACUUCUCCCGUAACUUCACGGUUAAUGAAUCGAGAAAAUCAAAAUCCACACUCCUAGGGUUCAUCACCCCUCGCUUCAACAAUUUAGAAUAAGCUUGCUUGUGCUCCUUAGAACGAAAAAAAAAAAAAAAUCUGUUCUUGUACCACGAAUGUUCGCAGCAACACGCAUCCUGGGCUUAAAAUGUGUGAACAUCCUCUCAUCAUCAUCUUUUCCUUUAGGUUGAUUAAAUGAUCCAAACCAUGGAUCACUUGGGAAAUUUGCAAAAGCCCUUUUUGUCGAACCAGCAGUAGUAAUGCCCAAACUCUCCAUUGUCUUUAAAAAAUGAGUUUCAUUUUUGUACCAUUUUUCACUCAAAAACUCAUCAAUAAAGGUCAUUGGAGCACCACAUUCCUUCAAAGCGGUGUAGAGUUUGAAAAGAAAUGCGGGCUUAAGAGUCCUUACAGGUUCUACAUUCUCGAUUAUUUCUUCAUCUGCUUGUUGUUGCGAAGGCACUUGAGUUCUAGCCUGAGAAGAAUGGCGAAGUUGAGAAUAUUGGUGUUGACUUUGCUGAUGCUUUGGAGAGUCUUCUUCCUUGAUUAAAUCAAAGUGCGUAGGACCCUCACGCAUAUGUUGCGGUCCCCUGCUUGCGAUCCUAGAGAACUUUCUUUGGGAAGACAUUGUCACAGUCUUUGAGAGAUUUCUCGAACUCGAUUCGCGAAAAAAGAUGAGAACUUUAUGGAUUAAACUAGUGAAAAAAAGUGAGAAAGUGAGGUUCUAUGAAGAAGAAAAACAACAAUAUAUAAAGCAAACAAAACAAGGUAUACGAAUUGUCAUAAAAGAAUAAAUAAAAAUGCAUUUUUGAAAAUGAAUAACUGCCUUUUUGAAAAUGAAUAACUGCCAUAAAUUCAAAGACUCUAAGAUAAUUUCUAAAAAUAUAACAAUCAAUUAGUGAUUAAAAAGUAACCGUACCCUUUUAAAAAUUUAAAAUGCUGAAAUCGAAAUAACUUACAGUAGUAACUUUUAGUUAUUCUAAGUCUGAGCAUCUUCAGACUUUACUGGAUAAAGGUUGUGAUAUUCAAUCUGGUGCGAAUAGACUCAAAUAGGCUUUUUUCUAAAGGUUUUGUAAAUAUGUCUGCCAGUUGAUUCUUUGAAUCGAUGAACUGUAUCAUAACUUCUCUAUUCUGAACAUGAUCUUUAAUGAAAUUAUGUCGAAUCUCUAUGUGUUUUGCUCUUGAAUGAAGAAUUGGAUUCUUUGUAAGAUUGAUUACGCUGGUAUUGUCACAUUUGAUCUCGGUGCACGAGUCUUCAAUUCCAAAGUCUCUCAGUUAUUGUUUUAACCAUAAAAUUUGAGAAUAGCAACUUCCAAGAGCCACAUACUAUGCUUAUGCUAUUGAAAGAGCUAUAGUGCUUUGCUUCCUUAAGAACCAAGAUACUGUCCUGUUUCCCAACAAUUAACACGUACCAGAAGUACUCUUUCUAUCAACUCUGCAUCCUGCUAAAUCUACGUCCGAAUAUCCAAUGAGGGUAAAGUCCCAUUCUUUGGGAUACUGUAGACCUAAAUUUGAAGUAGUUGCAACAUAUUUGAUGAUGCGUUUUGCAGUACUUAGAUGAGAUUCUUUUGGAUCUGAUUGAAAUCUUGCACAAAUGCAAACACUAAACAAAAUGUCAGGUCUGAAAGUAGUAAGAUAAAAAGUGAACCAAUAAUGCUCCUGUAAAGCUUUUGGUCAACUUUCUUUCCUCCUUCGUCUUUGUCCAGCUUCGAAGAACUUGACAUUGGUAUUUCAGUCUUUAUACAAUUCUCCAAUCCGAACUUUUUAACGAGAUCUUUUGCAUAUUUUUCUUGGUGAAUGAAAAUUCAUUCCUUCAAUUGCUUCACUUGUAAUCCAAGAAAGAAAGAUAGUUCACCCAUCAUAUUCAUCUCAAACUCAUCUUGCAUAAACUUAGAAAACUUCUUGCACAAGUUUUCGUUAGGUGAUCUAAAUAUGAUAUCAUCAACAUAGAUUUGAACAAGUAGAAAAUCUUUACCUUCUCUUUUAAUAAAUAAAGUAGUAUCAACUUUACCUUUAACAAAACCAUUAUGAAUUAGAAACUUACUUAACCUGUCGUACUAAGCUCGAGGUGCUUAUUUUAAUCCAUAUAGAGCCUUCUGUUGGAGAAAUCUUCUUGAAGUGUUUUGAAGUUGACAAAACGAUUCUAUCAGUCUAGUCUGAAGGCUUGCAGACUCUGCUAUUUAAAGUCUGAAGACCUCCGGACAGCCAGACUCAAGACUCAAAGUCUAUCCUCAUUGACAGUCUCUAAUCCGUUGAAGAAAGGUUAUCCAGAACUGGAUGUUUCGUUAAGGAUUUGACCUUAUCAACUGGAGAAGAUCUCGUUGCUGGAGAAGACAUAACGGAGUCCUUUGAUUGAUCGAAGAUUGACUCGAUAAAUUGAAGAUCCGGUGAUUGCCUAAAUAUUAUUGGAAGGUUCUGCUUAUGGAAACCGAGAUCCUGAUUGUAUGGGCGAACAGGAUUAAUGGGCUAUCAACACAUUCCUUUAAUAGCUUGAACAAUCUUCCUAAUUGAUUCCGUCCAACGGGUAGAUUGGAGGAAUUCCUUUGGUAAGUGCCAACGGGUAUGAUGGCAUAAAGGAGUAUAUAAGGAAGACUGUCUUAGUUGUUCAAGGUGUGCGCGAUAGAAGAAUUCCAAAGUCUGAAGCUCCUAUUUGUUUAGAUAAAUCCUUUGAGCGAAUACUUGUAUACAAAAGAGAGUCUAUAUUUGUGAGAGACCUUGAGGAGGUGUGGUAGAACAUCUACACUGUGGAAUCAAGGCAAAGCUGUACUGUAACUUCUCUUUUGAUCAUAGUGAAAUCCAGCCGGUGGGCUGUCAGUGCGGAAGAGUGGACGUAGGCUUGGAAUAAGCCGAACCACUAUAAAUCAUGUGUUCAAUUUUCUCUUCCUCAUUCUCUCUACCUCGAUCGUAUUUCAUUUUGUUAAUUAAGAGAGAAUUUACUUUCUAUCAUAUGCUAAGAAUCGCUUCCGUAUUUCAAUAAAUUGUUUAUGCACCUAUUCACCCCCCUCUAGGUACUCAUACUAGCAAUAUCAAUUGGUAUCAGAGCCUGUGUACUUACUUUAUUUGAAGUGUUUUACUUCGUAGUAAAAGAUCCAUGGCUAGUAUGCUAGCACCAGGGCUGAUGGAAGGGCAAAGCAAUACUAGACCACCCUACUUCGAUGGAAAGGAUUACAACAUCUGGAAGAACAAGAUGAAAGCUUUCCUACGAUCAAAGGAUCCUCUGGAAUGGGACGUUGUAGAAAAAGGAAUUACUCCUACCACUGCAUCAGUCUCUGAAAGAGGAAAAGAAACUUAUGAAACCAGCGGAAUGUCUCUGGAAGAAAUAAUCAAGAGACAAACACUCGAUGCAAAAGCAAUUUACUCCUUAUAUUGUGCUUUAUCACCAACUGAAUAUAAUAGAAUAUCUUCUUGUGGUACAGCAAAAGAAGUUUGGGACAGAUUGCAUAUCACCUAUGAAGGAACAGAUCGAGUGAAGGAAACAAGAAUCAACAUUCUUCUUGGUCAAUACAAAGCCUUCAGAAUGAAACCAGGAGAAUCUAUAUCUGACAUGUUUAGUCGUUUUACAGAUAUUGUGAAUGGUCUUGAAAAUCAAGGUCAACCAACUUCUGAUCCCAUGAAGGUAAACAAGCUACUGUGUGGACUCUCCAGGGAUUGGAAUCACAUAAAGACUUCGAUAAGAGAGACGCAGAGAAUUAUGCCACUAUCUGUCGACGAGCUAAUUGGAACUCUUCAGUCUUAUGAAGUGGAAAGGAUCAAUGAAGAUGAAGAUCCAAAAGGUAAGAAAUCCAUUGCGUUAAAAUCAAAUGAUGAUUCUGAUGAUACAGAUUCUGAAGAUGAUAUGGACGAUGAGGAGCUUGCUCUCAUGAUAAGAAAAUUCAGAAAACUGAAUAGAAAAGGAAGAAGGUUCAACACAAAGAAACAAAGCUUUCAAAGACAGCAGACCAAGUCUAUUGAUGAUGAGGAACCAAACAAAAACGUAGUCUGCUUUGAAUGUAAGAAAAAGGGACACAUCAGACCCAACUGUCCUCUUCUGAAGAAGAAGAGAGGAAAAGCUGAAAAAUUUCGAAAAGCUCUCAAAGCCGAAACCUGGAGUGACACAGAGUGUGAAGAAAGUGAUAAUGAAUAUGCCAAUCUAUGUCUGAUGGCACAAUCAGACUCAGACUCUGAAUCAGACUCAGACAGUGAAUUUGAGGCAAGUAAUUUUAAAAUUCCUAUCAAAGUUUCUAUAUAUAUUGAUGAACUAUGCUUUAGUCUUAAGACUUCUCUCAAAAGAAUUUCCGAACUGAAAAAAGAAAACUCAGCUCUAAAACAAAAGGAAAAUGUUUUAGCAGAAAGAGUUAAAAGUCUAGACUUGUCUGUUUCCAAUCUUAAAGAAAAUGAAAACAAUCUUUUAAAAGAAAAUGUUUUUUUAAAAACAGACUUAUCAAAUGUAUCAAAGAAAUUUUCAAUAGGGUCUGAAAAACUUGAGAAAAUUCUUUCAGCACAAAGACCUUACUUCAAUAAGUCCGGUCUAGGUAUGACAGAAGAAACAAUUCCCUUGAUUAAUUUUCCUAAAGUGAAAGAAAGAAUUAAGAAAAGACUCUCGAGUGAGGUUUACAAAAAUCACUUCAAGAAAGUUUUUGUUAAAUCUGUAGGUAGAAAUGCUCUAAAAUGUUCAAAAUGCAACAGUCCGGAUCACUUUGAAAAAGAGUGUCCUAUGGUUUGGAAACCUGUUAAGAAAAUAUGGGCUAAUACUGCUUAUAUUACUAACACCAAAGGACCCAAGAAAGUUUGGGUACCAAAGAAAGCUUGAGACUCUUUUUUAAAUGCAGGUCACCGUCAAGAAAAAGGUAAAGUGGUAUCUUGACAGUGGAUGCUCAAGACACAUGACAGGAGACUCAAAAUGUUUCAUAAAGCUUGCUCAAGUAAAUGGUGGAAAAGUUUCAUUUGGAGGAAACAGCAAAGGAAGUAUUAUGGGAUUUGGAACUGUGAAAAUUGGAAAUCUCACAAUAAGUAAUGUUUCCUUAGUGGAAGGACUCAAUUACAAUCUUCUCAGCAUUAGUCAAUUGUGUGAUACUGGUUUCAAGAUCUUCUUUCAAGAAGGAAUAUGUUCUGGAAUCAGUAAAGACUCUACUCAGUCUUUCAUGGGUCGUAGACAUGGAAACAUCUAUCUUCUGGAUGUGAAACCAAAUGAAUCGCAAUGUUUUAUCUCAAUUCAAGACGAAGCAAGCUUAUGGCACAGAAAGCUUGGUCAUGUCAACAUGAAGCAAUUAGCCAAAAUCUCAUCAAAACAGCUUGUUCGAGGACUACCCAGAUUACCUUAUCAAAAGACUGAUCCAUGUACUCCAUGUAUUCUGGGAAAAUAGGUAAGAAAUUCAUUUAAGCCAAUAAAUCAUGUCUCUACUAAUCAUGUACUACAGCUGCUGCAUAUGGAUCUCUUCGGACCAACCAGAACACAGAGUAUUGGAGGUAAGAAAUAUUGCCUAGUAAUUGUGGACGAUUACUCCCGUUUUACUUGGGUAUAUUUCCUUGCAAGUAAGUCCGAAACCUUCUCGUAUUUUGAAAAGUUUGCUAAAAAUGUUCAAAAUGAAAAAGGAUGUGUUAUCUCUUGUAUAAGAACAGAUCAUGGAGGUGAAUUUGAAAAUCAAGAUUUUACAAAAUUUUGUGAUGAAUCUGGCUUUAAUCAUGUGUUCUCCUCUCCAUAUACUCCUCAGCAAAAUGGAGUUGUGGAAAGAAAGAACAGAUCUCUUCAGGAAAUGGCUAGAACUCUUUUAAUAGAAAGCAAGAUUUCUUCACGAUUUUGGGCUGAAGCUGUUUCAACAGCUUGUUAUAUCAUCAAUAGAGUCUUCUUAAGACCUAUUCUAGAGAAAACCCCUUAUGAAUUGUUCAAAGAUAAGAAGCCUAUUGUUUCAUACUUUCAUGUAUUUGGUUGCAAAUGUUUUAUAUUGAAAAAUGCAAAAGAUCGAGUUGGUAAGUUUGAAGAAAGAUCAGAUGAAGGUAUCUUCCUUGGAUAUUCUACAUCAAGCAAAGCCUUCAGAGUCUAUAACAAAAAGAGCCAGUCUGUGGAGGAGUCAAUGAAUGUCAAAUUUCAAGACUCAACACAAGAUGAAUCAAGUCAAACUCAUCAAGAAGAGUCUGAACCUGCUCCAGACCUUCCAAAGCUUACAACUCAAGAAGCAUCUCAGACUCUGGAAAACCAGCAUCAGGAUGUUCGUGAAGAUUCAAACAAAGAGAGAGAUCAUCAAACAGACAAAUCAACAAGUAACUGGAAGCAUAAGUCUAGUCAUCCCAAAGAUCUUAUAAUCGGCGAAAUUAAUGAAGGAAUUCGCACCAGAUCCAAAAGGGGAGAAGAGUCUAGUGCUGUAGCUCUUGUUUCUGAAAUUGAACCAAAAAGCAUAGAAGAAGCUUUGUCUGAUGAAAGCUGGAUUGAAGCUAUGCAAGAAGAGCUCAGACAGUUCAACAUUAAUGAUGUCUGGGAAUUGACAUCCAAACCAAAAGGUAAAACUGUUAUUGGAGCUAAAUGGGUGUUCAGAAACAAGAUGAAUGAGAAAGNNNNNNNNNNNNNNNNNNNNNNNNNNNNNNNNNNNNNNNNNNNNNNNNNNNNNNNNNNNNNNNNNNNNNNNNNNNNNNNNNNNNNNNNNNNNNNNNNNNNGCAAGAAGGCUGCAGACUGAUUCUAUUCAAGAAGAAGGAAUAGACUAUGAUGAGACUUACGCUCCAGUAGCAAGGUUAGAAGCUAUUCGACUAUUACUUGUGUUUGCUUGUUAUAAGAAUUUCAGGUUAUUCCAAAUGGACAUCAAAAGCGCCUUCCUAAAUAGAUUUAUCCAUGAGGAAGUUUAUGUGGAACAACCACCAGGGUUUGAAGACCUAAAGAAGCCAAACUCAGUCUUCAGACUGAAAAAGGCUUUGUAUGGUUUAAAGCAAGCACCUCGAGCUUGGUACGACAGAUUAAGUAAGUUUUUAAUACAAAAUGGUUUUGUCAAAGGUAAAGUAGAUACGACUUUAUUUAUCAAAAAGGAAAUCAAAAGUUUCUUACUUGUUCAAAUAUAUGUGGAUGACAUUAUUUUCGGAUCUUCAAAUGAAAAUAUGUGCAAGAAAUUUUCUAAGUCUAUGCAUGAUGAAUUUGAAAUGAGUAUGAUGGGAGAGUUAACAUUCUUUCUUGGUCUUCAAAUAAAACAAUUGAAGGAAUGAACUUUUAUUUAUCAAGAAAAAUAUGUUAAUGAUCUUGUCAAAAGAUUUGGACUGGAGAAGUGCAAAAAAACCGACAUACCGAUGUCAAGUUCUUUGAAGAUAGACAAAGAUGAAGAAGGGAAGAAAGUUGAUCAAAAGCUGUACAGGAGCAUUAUUGGUUCACUUCUUUAUCUUACCGCUUCUAGACCUGACAUUUUGUUGAGUGUUUGCAUCUGUGCUAGGUUUCAAUCAGAUCCUAAAGAAUCCCAUCUCAGUGCUGCGAAACGCAUCAUUAAAUACGUGGCUUCAUCAUCAAGCAUCGGUCUUUGGUAUCCUAAGAAGGGAGACUUUAAUCUUCUGGGAUAUUCAGACGCAGAUCUAGCCGGUUGCAAAGUUGAUAGAAAGAGCACUUCGGGAACUUGACAGUUGCUUGGAAGCAGGACAGUGUCUUGGUUUUCAAGGAAACAAAGCACUGUGUCUCUUUCAACAACAGAAGCAGAGUAUGUAGCCCUGGGAAGCUGCUGUUCACAAAUUCUAUGGAUAAAACAACAGCUAAGAGACUUUGAAGUUGAAGACUCAUGCACGGGGAUUAAUUGCGACAACACCAGCGCUAUCAACCUCACCAAAAAUCCAAUUCUCCACUCAAGAGCAAAGCAUAUAGAUAUUCGACAUCACUUUAUUAGAGAUCAUGUUCAAAAUGGAGAUGUUUCAAUUCAAUUUGUUGACUCAAAGAAUCAACUGGCUGAUAUAUUCACAAAGCCUUUGGAGAAAAAUCAAUUUGAGUCUAUACGGUCCAGACUCAACAUUCUGAGGUAUGAGGAUAUCAAAGUCUAAAUACUUUUAGACUCAGACUUACAAGACUUUAUCUGAAAGACAGUCUUGGUACGUCCGUCAGACUGUAAGUCUUUCUCCCUUGAAUCUCAUCUUGAAAAUGUACGAUCGUCAGACUGUGUUUAAAUUGUUGCUAUAUUUAAUUGACGUAAAUAUUGCAUCGUUUCAUUUUCAAAAGGGAAGUUAUUUUUGAAAUAGCUAUUUUUGCGGAAAAAGACAGUUAUUUUGAAAAGGCAUAUUUUUAUUUCCUUUGUGACAGUUCGUUUAUCCCUCUUUUAACCGAUCGUGCACUGUCGAUUCAUCUUCACUUUUCUCUCAAAAACCCUAGAAAGCAUCGAUCCUCCAUUCCCGUUUGUCUUCUUCGCUUAAUCCUCAAAAAGUUGUCAUCUUUCCUGGGAAAGUCAAGCAAGGAAUCUUCCAAAAACUCAGAAAGAUGUCAUCUUCAAGAAAGUCCUCAAGAAUCGCAAGCAGGGGACCACGGCGGAUGAGUGAGGGGCCUACGCACUUCGAUCUUACUGAAGAUGAAGUGACUCUAGAACAGCAAGCGAGCCCACAACAUUCUCAACAGUGUCAUUCUCCUCCAUCUAGUCCUCAAGGAGUUGAUCAUCAACAAUAGGAAGAAAUCAUCGAGGAUGCAGACCCUGUAAGAGUUCAAAAGCCCGCUUAUAUUUACCAGUUAUAUCGUGCCCUAAAAGGAAUUCGUACUCCUUUGAAAUACAUUGAUGAUUUUCUUAAAGACAAAGGACAUGGGAACGAAUAUAUUUUUCUGAAAAAAAUGGAAAGUUUGGGAAUUGCUCGAAAAGGGGUGGCUGAGGAAACCCUUGCAAAUAUCCCAAGUGAUCCUCGUGACUGGGGGCCGAAUCCUGUAGAUGGGAAUGAUGAUGAUAAAUUAUACAGUCAAUUUCAACCGAAAAUGGGUGUUGCGGUUGAAAAUCAAGGAAAAAGGGGAGAUUUGUUCAGAUCAAAGGAGCAAAAGGAUCUGUACUCGAAAUUGCUGAAGCGUGGGGUAAUAAACCCUAGGAGUGUGGAUUUUGAUUUUCUGGAUGCAGUGAAUGUGAACUUGAGGGAAAAGCUCAGUUAUCUUCAACUUGAAAAGUUCUGCUCUGACUCUACAGAGGCAUAUGCUGAAUUAACUGCAUAUUUCUAUUCAAAUCUAAGCUUUCUGGAUGCGAAUAGAUUCUCUUUCAGCGUAAAAGACCAAGACUAUGUUGUGGAUAUGAAUAUGCUGGCAGAUGUGUUAGAAGUCGAAAGAGGAAGAUAUCAAACAAUCAAAGACCAGAAGAAGAAAGAAGAGAAGAAGGAGAACAUGAGGAACAGUCUUCUCCACCUGUAGGCAUGAAAACAGGGGGAGAUCAGGAGAAAGGAGUAAAGUCUUCAUGUCCUGAUGCAAGUGAAGGAGUCAGUCGCUCACCAGCAGACCCAGAGGAUGUUUAUGCAUCUCAGUUUCCAGAAGAAGGUCAUGAAGUUUCAUCGCCAAAUCCUCAAGAUUAUGCUGAUCUACCAUCGUCUGCAUUUACUCCAUCAGAUCGAGCCGAAGCAAGUACUCAGACUGAUAAUGGAGCAGAUUUUCGCAGAAUCAUGGAUAUUCUCUUGGAAAUGCGAGGUCAAAUUUAUGCCUUGGGAUGCGAAGUUCAAAGCUUGAAGAAUGAAGGUCAAGCUUCUUCAUGUUCAUUGAAUGAUAAAAUGCAAGCCCUCUCUAUUCAGAAUCAGUCCAAUGCCAAAAGUGAGGAGAUUGCACAACUAAAGGAAGACUUUAAAAGGCUGGAAGGCAUCGUUCAGUCUAUGGAAGAUUUCCAGCUUGUUCGCAUUCCCAAGCAAUCUUGACUUCAUCUCAUCCUUUUUAAUGAUGACAAAAAGGGGGAGAGAUGCAAGAUUUGAUCAAAAACUUUUCAUUCAUUAAAAUUUUUGUUUGUUGGAUUGUUUUGUGGUUUGUGGUUUGAACCUGUUUGACUUUGUUUUGUGUCUGGAUGAGAACUGAUCUAGACUUGGACUUGACUGCUUCUAUUAACCAAUAUUGAUAUCUUAUGAAUGGCUUAAUCAUAUACUGGACUAACCUAUUUUCUGUGGUUGCAGAUUCUCGUGUUAUUCUGUUAGCCAUUUAUCUCUAUAAGAUAUGCAUAUGUGUUUGAGGAAUGUUUUGCAGGUCAAAGAUAUCCAAAUCUGCAGGAAAGUUUUGUCACCAUCAAAAAGGGGGAGAUUGUUGGAGAAAUCUUCUUGAAGUGUUUUGAAGUUGACAAAACGAUUCUAUCAGUCUAGUCUGAAGGCUUGCAGACUCUGCUAUUUAAAGUCUGAAGACCUCCGGACAGCCAGACUCAAGACUCAAAGUCUAUCCUCAUUGACAGUCUCUAAUCCGUUGAAGAAAGGUUAUCCAGAACUGGAUGUUUCGUUAAGGAUUUGACCUUAUCAACUGGAGAAGAUCUCGUUGCUAGAGAAGACAUAACGGAGUCCUUUGAUUGAUCGAAGAUUGACUCGAUAAAUUGAAGAUCCAGUGAUUGCCUAAAUAUUAUUGGAAGGUUCUGCUUAUGGAAACCGAGAUACUGAUUGUAUAGGCGAACAGGAUUGAUGGGCUAUCAACACGUUCCUUUAAUAGCUUGAACAAUCUUCCUAAUUGAUUCCGUCCAACGGGUAGAUUGGAGGAAUUCCUUUGGUAAGUGCCAACGGGUAUGAUGGCAUAAAGGAGUAUAUAAGGAAGACUGUCUUAGUUGUUCAAGGUGUGCGCGAUAGAAGAAUUCCAAAGUCUGAAGCUCCUAUUUGUUUAGAUAAAUCCUUUGAGCGAAUACUUGUAUACAAAAGAGAGUCUAUAUUUGUGAGAGACCUUGAGGAGGUGUGGUAGAACAUCUACACUGUGGAAUCAAGGCAAAGCUAUGCUGUAACUUCUCUUUUGAUCAUAGUGAAAUCCAGCCGGUGGGCUGUCAGUGCGGAAGAGUGGACGUAGGCUUGGAAUAAGCCGAACCACUAUAAAUCCUGUGUUCAAUUUUCUCUUCCUCAUUCUCUCUACCUCGAUCGUAUUUCAUUUUGUUAAUUAAGAGAGAAUUUACUUUCUAUCAUAUGCUAAGAAUCGCUUCCGUAUUUCAAUAAAUUGUUUAUGCACCUAUUCACCCCCAUCUAGGUACUCAUACUAGCAAUAUCACCUUCUUCCGUCUGAAUACUGAGUCUAAUUUUUUUGGAUCUUCAAAUCCGGAAGGUUGUUCCACAUAGACUUCUUCUUGGAUAAAUCCAUUUAGAAAUACGCUUUUGACGUCCAUUUGGAAUAACUUGAAAUUUUUAUAGCAAACAAAAGUGAGUAAUAAUCUAAUUGCUUCUAACCUUGCUACUAGUACAUAGGUCUUAUCAUAGUCUAUCCCUUCUUCUUGCAUAUAUCAUUUGGCCACGAGUCUUGCUUUGUUUCUAACCACUUUUCCUUUUUUGUCCAUCUUGUUCCUAAAAACCCAUUUAGCUUCAAUAAUGGAUUUACCUUUUGGUUUAGGAGUUAAUUCCCAGACAUCGUUGAUGCUAAACUGUAUGAGUUUUUCUUUCAUAGCUUCAAUCCAGCUUUCGUCAGCUAAGGCCUCUUCUAUGCUUUUGGGCUCUAUUUUAGAAAUAAGUGCCAGAACACUAGAAUCUCCUCGCAUUUUGGAUCUGGUCCAAAUCCCUUCAUCAACGUUACCGAUGAUGAGUUCAUUGGGAUGACUAGACUUAUGCUUCCAGUUUAAAAGAGCUUCUAACAUGUUUUCCCAACACACAUGGUUUGCAUAAGUCAAACCUUUGAUACUUCAGGUUGGGCAGUCCACGAACAAGAUUCUUGGAUGAGAUCUUGGCAAUUUGCUUUAUGUUAACAUGGCCAAGCUUUCGAUGCCAAAGAUUUGCUUCAUCUUGAAUCAAUAUUAGACAUUGAGAUCUUUCUGGUUUUAUAUCCAGAAGAUAAAUGUUCUCAUGCCUUCGUCUAGUAAAAGAUUGAGAAAGAUCUUUACUAGUUCCCGAACAUAUUCCUUUUUGGAAGUUGAUUUUGAAUCCAGUGUCACACAAUUGGCUAAUGCUGAGUAGAUUGUAAUUUAGUCAUUCCACUAAGGAGACAUUGUUGAUUGUGAGACUUCCAAUUUUUACGGUUCCACACCCAACAAUUCUUCAUUUGUUGUUUCCACUGAAAGAGAUUUUUCCACCAUUUAUUUGCACAAGUUUUAUAAAACAACUUAAAUCUCCAGUCAUGUGUCUUGAACAGUCACUAUCCAAAUAUCAUUUAAUCUUUUUCUUGAUAGUGACCUGCAAUUACAAAAAGAUCUUAAGUUUUCUUUGGUACCCAAAUCUUUUUCGGUCCAAAUGAGUUAGUUUUAAACACAGUCUCUCCCCAAUCCUUCUUAACAUGUCUCCAAACCAUAAGACAAUCUUUCUCAAAAUGUUUUGAGCUGUUACAUUUUAAACAUUUGAGAGCACUUCGGCCAACAAGUUUUACAAAGACUUUUUAAAAAUGAUUUCUAUAAAAAGUUCUUGUAGGUCUUUGUUUGAUUCUUUUCUUUACCUUUGGAAAAUCAAUUAAAGGAAUGGUUUCUGGGGUCAUUCCCAAUCUUGACUUGUUGAAAUAAGGUCUUUGUACUGAAAGAAUAUUUUCCAACUUCUCAGAUCCUAUUGAAAAUCUUUUUGAAAUAUUUGAAAUUUCUUAUUUCAAAAAUAUAUUUUCUUUUGAAAGAGAGUUUGCAUUUUCUUUUAAAAUCACAAAAAAUUUGUCUAGAUUUUCAAACUUUUCUUUUCAAGAAAUUCUUUGUUGCUUAAGUGUAGAAUUCUCCCUUUUUAGCUUGAAAAUCCUCUUAAUAGAGGUUUUGAGACUAAGACAAAGUUCAUCAACGUAUUUCGAGAUUUUAGUAAGAAUUUUUAAAUUGCUUACCUUGAUUUCAUUGUCUAAGUCUGAGUUUGAGUCUAUUUUAGAGUUUAAGUCUGAUCUUGAUUUUGCCAUUAGAUAUAUAUUGGCAUAAUCUUCGUCACUUUCUUCACAUUCAGUAUCACUCCUUGUCUCUACUUUGAGAGGUUUUCUGUAUUUCUCAGCUUUUCCCUUCUUUUUCUUCAAUAGAGGACAGUUGAGUAUGAUGUGUCCAUUUUUCUUGCAUUCAAAACAAAUUACAUCUUUGUUGGCUUCAUCAUCCUCAGUUGAUUUGUUUUGAAACUUUUGAGUGCUUUGUUUUUUCUAAUUGAAUCUCCUUCCCUUUUUGUUCAGUUUCCUGAACCUCCUUAUCAUAAGUGCUAGCUCUUUAUCGUCCAUAUCAUCUUCAAAGUCUAUAACAUUAGAAUCAUCGUUAGAUAUUAAAGCAACUAACUUAUUACCUUUAGGAUCUUCUUCCUCAUUGAAUUGCUCCACUUCAUAAGACUGAAGUGUGCCAAUCAGCUCGUCUACAAAAAGCCGCAUGAUCAUUUGAGUUUCCCUUAUUAAAGUCUUCACGUAAUUCCAGUCUUUGGAGAGUGCACGUAGCAAUUUGUUAACAUUUAUUGGUCAUGAGAUUGGUUGUCCCUGAUACUCUAGACCGUUUACAAUCUCUGUAAAACGACUAAACAUGUCAGUGAUAGAUUAUCAUGGUUUCAUCCUGAAGGCUUCAUAUUGUCCGAGUAUAAUAUUGAUCCUUAUUUCUUUCACUUGAUUAGUGCCUCCAUAGGAAAUGUGCAGCCUAUCCCAGACUUCUUUGACUGUUUCACGAAAAGAAAUUAUGUUACAUUCAGUAGGAGAUAAAGCACAAUAUAAAGAAUAAAUUGUUUUAGCAUCAAGAGCUUGUCUCUUGGUUAUUUCUUCUUGCAUUAUCUCGCUAGCGUCUGCAACUUCUUUUCCUCUUUCUGAAGCUAUGUAGCUUUAGGAAUGAUUCAUUUUUUCUACUACAUCCCAUUCCAUAGAAUCUUUCGAUCUUAGGAAUGCCUUCAUUUUGUUUGUCCAUACGCUGUAUUCAUUUCCAUCAAAGUAAGGAAGUCUGGUGUUGCUUUAGCCUUCAACCAAACCUGGAGCCAACAUACUAGCCAUAGAUCCUUAACUUAGAAGUAAAAAACACUUCAAUUAAAUGAGCACACAAGUUCUGAUACCAAAUGAUAGGGCUAGUAAGAACACCUAAAGGGGGGUGAAUAGGUGUUCUAGCAAAUAUACGCUAGACUUUAACAAGUUAACUCGUCUUUCAAGAAUAACAUAUUGAAUAUGUAAAAGACUAUAAGCAGCUAGAUAAAUCUACAAAGUAUAAAGCAAGGAGUAUAGGGAAAGAGAAUUGAAACACAAGGUUUAUUAUGGUUCAGCUUAGACCAAGCCUACAUCCACUCUCCCGCACUGACAAUCUACUAGCUGAAUUUCACUGUGAACCAAAAGAGAUUUUUACAGUCUCGCGUCCUUAAUUCCACAGUGUAGAAACUCUACUAUACUUCCUCAAGGUCUCACAAGUGUUUAAUCUCUCUUUUGAGUACAACUUAAGCUUAGCAAUAGAGAAAGCAAAGAACUAAGAGCUUCAGACUUUGGAAUUUUUCUUUCACGCUCACACUCAAACAACUUGAGCGUCUUCCUUAUAUACUCCUUCAUGCCUCUAUGUCCGUUGGCACUUUCCAAAAGAAUUCUUCCAAUCUACCCGAUGGACAGAAUCAGUCAAGAAAAUCUCGAGUCAUUUAAGGAAUGUGAUGAUAGCCCACCAAUCCUGCUCGCCCAUACAAUCAGGAUCUAGGUUUCCAUAAGUAGCCUUCCAAGUAUACUUCGCCUUUCAAAAGUUCUUGAUUAUCUGAAUUGAUUCUAAUAAGAAUAAUUAAUCACAAGGUGUUAUCUCCAGCCGUAAGAUCUUCUUCAAACCGUACGAACCGAAUCCUUAAAGAUAAACUCGCAUUUGAAUAAGUCUUCUCUUAGUUGGUCAAGAAAUUGCCAGUGUGGGUUGACUUUGAUUCUUGAGUCUUGCAGUCUUCAAACUUUGACGACAGAGUCUGGAGUUCAUUAGACUUUAAUAAUUGAGUCUUGAAGUCUUCAGACUAGACUAAUGGAAACGUUUUAUCAACUCAAAAUAAGAGAGUUUUCUCCAACAUAUGAAUCUUCCAUUUUGAAUGAGGUUGUCUUGGGACCCUUGGGAUUGUCUCGAUUUGGCCUUUAGGCUAACGAUUAUGGACAACUAGCAGCAAUGGUUGGCUAAGUUUGGUGAUGCUAAUCCCUCAAAAAUGAUUCCAUAGGGAUUCAUAGUAUUAUCCAUAUUGUGCUUUUCUUUUUGUCGGCUAUUACUUUUGGCCACAGCAAUUUGUCUUAUUGUCUUUUUGCAUUGGAUCAAACAUAAACUCACACUUGUAUGCACAAUAGAAUUGAUUAAUUAGUUAUGUAUUUACUCUAUGUUUGAGAAAAUAUCAUUAAUGGACAGCUCGUAAUUAGGAAUUUCCACUAUGGUUGUAAUUGAUAAUAAACCUAUCUUAUUUGACCAUUUGGACUAAUGUGAGGCUUCUCUUAGUUAAUUCAACUCUUUUCAUGAUAUAAUUUUCACUUAAAUCUUUUGAGUGCUUGGUGUAAGCACUUUCCUUAAAUCCAAAAACGAAAAACAAUGCUUAGAAUUCAAUAAUACAAACCAAUCUAUGGUCCACUAAAGAUUUUGCUUUUUUUUUCUAUUUGGCAUUAGUAAAUACAUUUUGAAGCACUCCUUCAUUGAGUACACAUAUGAGAUAAAAAAAAUUGCUAUAUUUCACUUUUUGGGAUACAAAGAAGUAGUCAAUGAUUCUCAAAAGAGAAGAUCGUGUAUCAAAUGGCAACGUUUGGCCUCAAUUUGAUAGACUCACAUGUGAGAGGAGUAUAUUUAGUGCACAUGUGAGGCGAGAAAUAAAGAAAGCCUCACAUUGGGUAUUUGAAGUGAAAAGGAACGGAGCAAUUGUAAUACCCUAAUUUUCAAAAGGAGGUCAUGGUGAAUUAGAAAGAGUAGAUCAUGUGCACUAGUUAAAAUUGGAUGGCAUGAUGACAUGCUAAAUAAUCAGGAGUUAUCAACCACCACUCCUCAAAAUUAUGUCCUAAAUUUCCUUAAAUGUAUCGCAUUAAUUAGCUAAUUCAAGAUUUCACGAACAGUUGUGUCAAGAGAAAUGGACAUAUAUAUUUUUUAUUCAUAGGAGUUAACGGAAGCUAAAGGCAUUUCUUCUUUUGGUCCAUCAGCUUUGACGUCUGCAAGGAAACCUCCCGAUUAGAGAUACCAUUGACAUUUCUUCUUUCUCAAAAUGGAUAGAUAAAAAGGCAAAUGGAAACCCAAGUAAUCUGAAUGAACUAGUAUAUACAUCCCCAAUGAGCCUGAUUGCAAGGGUUACAAAAUUACCAGUUAACAUUCGAAUUCCUACCAAACAUAAGAUCAUCCAACAUCAAAGGUAAGAAAAGAGAUGAGCAUCUAUUGAUAUAUAUUCCAACUUCAGGAAAUGACCAAAAAUUAAGUCGAUCUAUAACCAUAGUAAAAGUAUGUAGUAUAUAAGUUCUUUUCAAUCCAUAACCAAAAGCUGAACAAUCAAACUGAUGAGCUAAAUGCAUCUUUUCAAUCCACAGGGGAUCCAACCUAGUCAAUAUAACUUCUUAUCCUCCCAAGUUCCUGAAGCAUCCUAUCACACCCGAUCCUCAAGCACGCGCCCAUCCCUCACCUAGUCAAUUAAUAGUGAUGUCCAAUGACGCAUCGCUGACCCUUUCAUUUUUAAUAUACACAUGCGGAAGCAUAUAUAAAUCCUCAGACAAUAAAAUAAUGGGAUAGGAAAGUAGAACUCCAAAUUUUCACACUUUGAAAACAACCACACUUAUAUACAUUGCAAACCAUAAUGCAUAUAUAUACAAGGUGAUUUAUUAAAUCAAGUCUUAGGCAGCCAGUUCACAAAAUAAAGUCUGCCAAAAGGAAUCGACUUCCAUCAAAAGGGAAAUGUCUUACGACCAGCUAGCCGGACAAGAUCACCGAUUCUUCAGGCUUCACCUCUUAAACUCCGGGGCUUCCAAUCCUUCACCCACACCAUUUAAGGAUCUGAAAAUGGUUAUACAAUAAUCAGUGAGACAAUGUCUCAACGAGUUCUACCCCCCCCCCCCCCCAAAAGACUCAAUUAGAAGACCAAUAUGCCACAAGGGUCGUCUAUGCACAACACAAGUCAAAGGACUUACCUUAGCCUUAGAUUCCACUUGCAAUUCAAUACAAUUCAAUAGGCACCCAAUCAAUCACCAUAGAUCGAAACAUCGAUCAAUCAAUCUAGUCAAUUACAUGUUAUCACGACCUUCCCCUGGUCAUUUUAAUAAAUAUCAUACAUUCUCUAAGAUGGAAUAUCUGGUCAUCAAGACCACGUGCAUUCUUCAAGAUAACAUACCGAGUCACCAAGCCCACGUGCCUUCUCCAAGAUGACAUACCUAAUCACCGAGACCAUGUGCAUUCUCAAAGAUGAUGUACCUAGUCGCCAGGCCCACGUGCCUUCUCCAAGGUGAUGUAUCAAGUCACUGAGUCAACAACUCACAAUGUCUUUCUUCGAGACGACAUGCUUAGUCAUCGAGCCCACAUAAUAUAAUGCAUUUCUCCAAGACGACAUCCUUAGUCAUUGAGCCAGCGUGAUAUAUUGCAUAAUCAAUUUCUCAUUUUUAUCAUGCCCGGUAAAGAUACACGUGUGUAGGUACACGUCCAGCCUUAGCCAAAAUAGUAUAAUUUCAUUUCCACAAAUCUCACUAUUUUCUGUAGUCCACUCAAAAAUAAUUAAUUUAGGAAUAAAUCCUAAAAAUCAUAAUUAAAUCAAUUCAACGCAAAUUAAAACUCAAAUAAAUAAAUAGACCGUAUCGUGGUAAUCAGCAUAAAAUUCCGGUCACCGACUAUCCCGGUUGAAUUUCCAGAAAAUAAAUAAUUAAUUAAUUAAUUACACAAAUUAAUUAUUAAAUAGCAAUAAAUCCAACUUAGGCCCGUAAUGCCUAAUUGGUCACCGAAACGGACCCGGAAAAAUUCCGAGGUUCGUUCAAUAAAUACUAGAACCUAUCUACUCGCUAAUGGCUACAUCUAACCACCUAACAUGCAUUGGCAAAUCACUAAUUUAAUUACUCUAAUCUAAUCUAACCAAAUAAUCAUGCUUAAAUAAAUCUAAUCAAUUCCUAAGCAUCAUUAGUCUACUAAGCAAGGAUUAGUGAGUUAAACUCACUUGUUUAUCAAACUGUUCGGUUCAAUUUGACAGGAACGCAACGGGAGCCGACUUUCUCCAAAGCGGCCUAGGUUUCGAGGCCCGGAACCAUCUCAAAACGAGCCAAACAACACCUCAGAAAACCACUAAUUUUCUAUUAUGUUCUUGCUAAAACAGAAGGGAACAAAGCCGGUUUAGAGCGGGAAUUGAUCGGGAAAGGGUGAAAGAGUCAAACCAGGCUUUGGAGAAGGCUUACCGGCGGAGGAACGGCGAAGGACAGCUCCGGUUGAGCUUCACACGACCCAGGGCAGCAGCUGGGAUGUGCGCUGGAUAGGGAAACACGCCUGGAAGGCAAGCUGGACGCGGCUGCGGGAACGGGAUCGCGCGGGUGGCGUGCGAUGGCGCGAUCGGCGAUGGGCGGCUCCUGCUAUCUCCGGCAAUGCUGCUAGCUUCUUGCUAGCUGCCGGUGGUUGAAUAGGCUGGGAGGAGAGGGAAUGGCUGCCAGUUGGCUUGAGGUGCAAGGAGACGGGACAAGGGCUCCACCAAUGUCCAAAUUUUCCAUUCCUUGGUCUCCCUUGACCAUUCUCAGCCACCAGUCCUUCCUUGGCCUCCAUUAGGCCACCAAUGCUCCCCCUUGCAACCUUGAAAUGGUCCAAAAGGCUAGGCAAUGGGGGGCAUACGAAUUUCCUUUAAUUUCUUCUCAAUUGGCCAUCAAUCCUUCCUUGAAUCAACACAAACUGGCCUUAAUAAAUUCAAUUGACAUCUCAAUUAUCAAAUUGGUAUUUUUCAUCACCAAUUGGUCCAUCUUGCAUCACCAUUGCGUGAUCAAAAACGAUCUCGGCCUUUUUUCCGAACAAAAACGACCCUCCCUCGACUUUUUCCCAAAAGGUCUCGGUUUGCAGAAAAAUCUUCUGAGACUGAGUCGACGUUCCUAUAAUUUAUUGUGACAUGACAGAAUCUUCAAUUUUUGAAAUCAUACUCAAUUUCGCGAUAAAUUUUCAUUUGGCGCGUUUUUAGCGUGAACUAGGCUACCAAAUAACUUUCAGAACUUUUUCAGUGCAAUUGACCCGUAAUCAAUUUUCUUCGAACCACAAUGAACCUACUCAAUACAUUGGCAACUCUUGGUUGUCAUGAAAAUCUUGAGGAUUCAAAUACGGACACAGGGUACCAAAACAAUAAGAAAAUUAGUCUAGUGUCAGCCAACGAGAAUUUUCCAAUUUAGUAGGGUCACCCACGAUUAGCCAUAUAUCUCAAUCGAACCAACCUAUCUCUGAUCUAAAAUCAAUUUUUAACUAUACCGUAAUAGCCUCUAAAGCUAAGCACAAUUGAGUAGCCGAUUUCUGGUUGAAUUCUCAAGUCUAUUGUCUUAAAAUUCCUUAACAACUUCCUUAGAUAGUCUAGUUAUCUCAAGAGUGAUCAGCUUUGAGAACAGCCCUAUAAGCACAUCAAUGAAAUGCCCGAUUAAUUCAAUAGAAAAUAUGAUGGAAAAUUCGGGAUGUCACACAUACCAUCUCUUUUCCUCAAGAACACAAUUGCCAUUGGAUCACUCUGCAAGAAUCCAUUAAUCAAAGUCAAUUAACCUUUAAGCAAGGUCAAAUUUAGGGAGAAGAAUAUAGAGGAAACGCAAAAAAGCAAAAAUCUCUUGCAAUUGACUGUACUUUUUGAAAAUUUUAUGACUCAAUUGCAUUUUCGCGAUAAGUUUUAGAGCUUCUGGUGCAGUUAUUCUUUCAAUUGUUAGAUUUGUAACUACAAACAUAUUACAUCUAAUUCAGCUCUUAAUCAUCAAAUUCAAAUUAUUGCACUAUUCCAUUUACAUUGCCAAAAGACAUAUACCUAUAAUCUCCCUUUCCACAUAGACAUAUAGAUAUAGAUUUUAACACUUUUUGUUCCUACGGACGUGGACUUGUAAACUAAGCUGCGAGGACUCGACGGAUUGGCUCUAUUCCAUAAAAUUGGCUUCUAUUCCUCUGCAAGCCCUUCGGUCUCUCCUUUGUUUAGAUUUCCCUUGCCUGGGAUUCUUUAGACCAUGUUCAUAAUUUCAUUAAAAUUUUCUCUGACCAAAAAGGAAGAACUUCACCUUAUCUCUUGCCCUCAUAAAAUGAUCCACAUGAGUCAAUUCUUUCUUUUCUUUCUUGGGUCCAUCCAACUUGUCCAAAUCAAUAAUUGCGAGUGAGCAUCGGACGAAGAAGAUAAGACAAAACAAUGGCAACAAUUAUUUAAUUCUAUGUUUAAACUUUUCAACUAACGGUGGCCCGUGAGUUGGUUAGUAAUGAAAAUUCUUAUCUUUCGGCCAAAAAAAAAAAAAACCCACCCCGUGAGGGAGGGAGGGAGCGUCGUGGGGCAUAUAUAAUGCUAUCCUCCUAGGAGGAAGCGUCACGGGGCAUAUAUAGCGCUAUCCUCCACCAGGCAAAAAUUCUCACUUCUUUGCAGGUCGCGUAAGCAUUGACGCAACAUCAUUCAUCAAUUGGCUCGGUUCUUCUUGUGAGGGUAUAUGUGCAAGCAACUACUUCCACUCACAUUAUAUCUCGCUAAAUUCCGUGUUGAAUCAUUUCAAUCUCGUGCCCGGAUCAUAUGAUCAAUUCAUCAUGAUGAAAAGGUAAAUUGGCUCUUGGAUUGAUGCUUCAUAGUAUGUUUGUAGACUCACUGUUCGCAUUGAACUACCUCCACAGAGUUCUCUUGAUGGAGAACAAUAAUUGUCCACAAAAUCAUCCGAGUUGCCAAUACUUUCCUCCUCCUUCGGCAUGGAUCGAUCAGAAUCCCAUACCAUACGAUGACUAUAAAACUCCAACGUGGGUUAUUGUUGGUUU